GUUUUUCUUCACAAAUUAUGAUCCGGGACUUAGGUUUUAAGCCCUAAUCUCAAUUACGCGAUAUGAUAGUAAAAAUCUCGAUUUCAUUGUGUAUUGUAGUAGAAGAAGAGACACUUCAAGUGGGUUCAGAAUUUAUUUAAAGAAUUACGACUCAGUUUAAUUAUAUAUCGACUUAAUAUGAAGCUCUGCAUUGUUUUUCAGUUAGCAAAGGUCUACAAGAAUGUGGUGGGCACAGACACAAGCCAAAAACAACUUGAUUUUGCUGCCAAUUAAAACUAUACUUGCUAAUACUUCAAGAUCGGUUUAAAAAGUCCAAAACUUGCUAUAUUUUCAAAUGCCUCACUUGCUGUGUGUGUGUGUGUGUGUGUGUGUGUAUAUAUAUAUAUAUAUAUAUAUCAUGGCAUACUUUAUAUGCAGUAUUCGACUUGACUAAAGAUAUAAAAUUUACCUAUAAAGAAAGGCAUUGUCUGAAUACCUCCUUUACGUCUAGCGAGCGGCGCAGGAGUCUUUUCCACUUCUGAAUUCUCCAUAUUUUCUCAACUGGGAAGAAAAACCCUUUUGGUUUACAAGGGAAAUGAGUUGAAGGAGAGAAGGAGAGCUCAAUUUCUACAUGCUCCAGGAAACAAGAAUAGUUUGUUUCUUCUUUUAUGGAUUAUAUGGGGUGGAACGGCUAUGCUAUUUAUUUUUCUCUUCAUUAAAUUCAUAACUAUAAUUUUUGUUUUGUAUCGUGGAGCACUAAUUGCAAAAGCCAAGGAAUAUAAUAUUAAAUAUCAAUGAAUUAUAAGAGAAUUGAUUGCCAACAUUUGUGUUUUCCCUGAACAUUAGCAUUAUGGGAAAAUCCCCCUUUUUCCAGUGAAACAUCGUCACUCGGUUCUUGAAUUUGAAACAAAACCCUAUAGCAUUUUGAUAACUAGAAGAGUAAUGAAUACUUUUCGUAGAAAGAAUUUACAAUGUAGAACAAUGUGAAAGUCAUAUCAAGACUCACAACAUCUCCAAUUUCUCCUCUCUCUCUCUCUCUCAGCGGCAAUCCUCUCUGAUGCAAAAUUGCAGAUAUCCUUCUGGUCUAAGUACAUAGGCAUUGCACAUUGCUCCUUGCAUAUUUUAAUUCAAACAUUCGAGAUGAAAUUCAAGAUUUCAGUUGGGAUUUUGGGGACGAUUGCUAGGGUUCAUGAAGUCAGGGUUCCCUUGUUUAGGCUACAUAAUAGCGUGUUAUUAUAUUGCUGGGUUUGUAGCGAUUUUGGCCCAAUUGGCCAGAUUUAAAGUUUGUACACGUGGCAUAUUCCGUUAAUUGAAGUUGGUGGAGAUUAAAUAGGUGAUGGAUAGGUAAGUAAUUGAAUAAAUGAGUGAGUAAUGAGAUAUAUUUUAUAGUUUGGUGAUCAAGUAAUAAUGUAAACUAAAGUUCAGCGAGCAUUGAUUAAAUUUACUCAUACUUAAUGUGCAUUGGAUGGAGAUUGUGAGGUGAAUUGAAUUGAUUGAAUUUUAAAAAGAUUUAGCCAUUAUUUGAGCCCCAUUUUGGGGAAAAUAAUGCAUUUUGAAUAUUAGAUUGGUGAAAAAUGUGUGAUUCAAAAUUAAGGAAUUUUUUAUUUAUUUACGUGUAAUAUUAUUUUAUUGAAGAAUGCGUGAUUGGAAAUGAGUUUUCAAAAGAAUGAAUUUUCAAAAUUUUUAUGAUAAUUUUUCUUUUAUUUUUAAUUAGUUUCUUUCCUUUUUUAAAAAAAAUCAUUUAAAGAUAGAUAAAAUUCGCCAUUUUAAGUGGUUAGAAUAGUAGAAUGACAAAUUUUGCUAUAUUUUGGAAAAUUGAGAUAUUUGGUGCAAAAAUAUAAGGUUGAUGGUAGAUAAAAGUACAAAAAUAUUUUUCUUACGUCGUGAAAUUUAGUCCAUGUUUGUUUACCAUUAUUUCAAAAUUCUUUUUUGCUCAAACUCAUUUUAAAUCACAUAUUUGCACAAUAAAAUAUUUUGUACGUAAAUUGGAAACUUUUUAUUUUUAUAUUUUUACUUUUUAAUUACACAUUCUUUAAAAAUUCACAAUUAUAAACUUAUUUUAACUGAAUAAUGAUAGACAAACAUUCUGUGAUUGCCAAUUAAAAACUUCAAGUGGAUUGUCUUGACACCACUAGGUCGGGUGCUAUGGUUUUCAUUGACGACAAAACAACUAAGGAUCUUGAUAGACCUUAUUAGAGGGUAAAUAGGAAGUAGCUAACAUCGAAAAUGAUGCAGAAAUGCAUUUCGAAUGGUGUUAAAUUUCAUCAAGCCAAGAUUGUGAAAGUAAUUUAGGAGGAAUUGAAAUCUUUGUGGAUAUGUAAUUAUGGUGUUAUUAUCUAGGUUGCUGUGGUUUUAGAUGCAACUGGAUUUUCCAGAUGUCUUGUACAGUAUGAUAAGCCAUAUAAUCCCAGCUAUCAAGUAGCCUAUAGGAUUUUGGUAGAAGUGGAAGAGCACCUUUUUGAUGUCAAUAAAAUGGUGUUCAUGGAUUUGAGCUAGGGAUGUCAACGAGCGAGUCGAGCCGACUCGCGAGCCAAAAUUUUAAGCUUAAUCUUGGCUCGAGUAAAAUGAUUGAGCUUUUUCUAGGCUCGAGUCGGACUCGGCCAGAAAAUUUAGGCUCCACCCGAGCUUUGGAGUCGAGUUGGGCAAGCUCGAUUUUGGUGUUUUUUCCCCUAUUUUAUCUAUGAAGAAGGCAGCCCUUAAAAAUAAUUUUUUUUGUAUUUUUUUUAAAUAUAGGCUUGUGAGCCCAAGCCGACAAGCCAUACGGGUCGGCUCGGGCUUUGCCUCGCACCCUAAAAUGGGGUUCGGCCCAAGCCUUGGCUUGAAUCUUCCGAACUUCGAGCCGAGCGAGCUCAACCUUUUUCAAGUCGAGCCACGAGUGGCCCGAGCCGACGAGCCAUAUUGCCAUCCCUAAUUGGCGCGACUUAUACCUCAACAAUAAUAAAGAGCUGAAGGAGAGAUAGUAAGAUUCCAACUUUUCUCUAUGCGAUGCCAUUUUCAUCGAAGAGAAUAUUCCUUGAAGAUACAUCCCUUGUAGCUCGUCCUGGAGUGCUUAUGGAUGAUAUUAAGGAAAGAAUGGUAGCUCAGCUGAGUCACUUAGUUAUUAAAGUUAGGAAUAUUAAAGAGGAUGAGCAUUGUGUAAUUCCAAUGGGGGCCCUCUUCCAGUGUUACCUCAAAGAGUUGUUGGGAUUGGCGGUACAGCUGGGAUGGUGCACCCAUCGACUGGAUAUAUGGUGGCAAGGACUCUGGCUGCUGCUCCAAUUGUCGCCAAUGCAAUAGUUCAAUACUUAGGCUUUGAGAGAAGCCUUUUGGGUUUGGAAUUGUCUUCAGAAGUUUGGAAAGAUUUGUAGCCAGUAGAAAGGAGAUGACAAAGAGAGUUCUUUUAUUUUGAUAUGGAUAUUCUUCUCAAGGUUGAUUUGCAAGCCACCCGAAGGUUUUUUAAUGCAUUUUUCGACUUGGAACCCCGUUAUUGGCAUGGAUUCUUGUCAUCUCGGCUAUUUCUUCCAGACCUCAUACUUUUUAGACUCUCUCUUUUCGCUCAUGCCAACAAUACUUCUAGGAUAGAGAUCAUGGCAAAAGGAACUGUUCCCUUGGUAAAGAUGAUCAACAAUUUAGUACAGGAUAAAGAAUGAGAACCCCCAAUAUCUGUUCCCUGUAUGUAAACCCAGAGGUGCAGUAUCUGUUUAUUGUUUUGACCUUUUAAGCAAAUGCAAUAUGAGUUAGCUGCUUUUCAUUGCAUCUUUUUCGAGUUCCUGCAUUCUAAGUUAGGGAUUAAGUUGACUGAACUUAUCAUUGUACAUAACUGCAGAACAAAUGAUCAUGUCUUUCUGCACAGAAGUGUAAUUUUUUGUAACAGUUAAGUCCAUUGGUAUCAUUUCGAUAAGCUAUUAAUUUCAUUUUCUUUGCUAGCUAUGUCUACUGGAUUUUCACUACUUGUAAUGUUUAUCUUACCUCUAUUAUCUCUAUAAAAUCCCAUGGUUUCUUUUUUUUUUUCCCUUUUUUUUUGUUCUUUUUUUUUUUUUUUUUUGGUUUUUUUUUAUCUAGGUAUCCACCUUACAGUGACUAAAUCCUGGAGUCUACACCUUAGCCCCUCAAGCUGCAAACAGUUUAAACCGCAGGUUGUGCCCCAAACUGACUAGUGCUCAAAAGCCCCCCAACUGAUCUGCCAAAGUGUCAAGCAAGUCGUUUCCCAUUUUUGCACAUUGCCUUCCAGUAGAGCUCCUGCCUUUCAGGAUAAAUCCUGCCUUCCAGGUUUUUUUUUUUUGUGGCAUAAAACGGACAGUGGUUUGUGAGCAUAUUAUCAUAGUUAGAUUAUAGUGGUAGGUGUUAAUAUGGUCACGUCAUAUAGCCCAACAAUAUUCAUCAUCAUCUAGGAUUUUUUUAACUUUGUUUUACUUUCUUUGUACUCAUACCAAACAUACUGUUACUCUUUUGCAUGUUAGAAUCCAUCCUAGGUGGAAUUAGUGCUGCUUUUGAACUCCUAAACCUGUGUAGAAUUGCCUUAAAAUGUCGGAUAAUGUGGCAAUGAAGGCUGCAAUUUUUUUAGGCUAUUUCAAAACUUUGUAUAGGUUCAAAGAAGUUUGCGUCUUGCUUAGUGAGGAAAGUUAACUUAAAUAUGAAUCCCUUUUAGGUGACUUAUAGUGAAUAGAACAAUAAAAGAACUUUAAAAAACUAUAGUUUUCGACUGCCUUGUCUGUUUUAUCAUUAGCCGUCGCUAUUUCUCCUUACGUGAAGGCUCAAACUUGCAUUCGCUAGUUUUCUUGCUUCAGAAUGCUUUUGUAACUCAAGAAGGCCUAUUCACAUCUUCAUAUAUCUCGUGUUGGUACACUGAAGUUCACCUUCUAUGAACAGUUGUGCCCUUGAAGCCAUGAAUAGAUUAAUACGAUAUAGCGCAGAAUAAGUCACUACUUUAUUCCCUUGAUCAUUCCAAUUUAUUUAUUUUGAUCAAUCGCACAUGCUAGGCAGAUAUGGCCAUCUAAGCCAUAUCAAUCUAAAAGAUUUCUAUCUAUGCCAAGAUUGAAGCAAUGUUCAGCAUUCAAGCCAAUAAUUUGAUUUGAGACUUGUGUGUGAGCCAAAGUGAGUAUUUCAGUUGUUGUACUUUCCAAGGCAGCAGCCAUAGCUCUGUCUGCUAGAACCAAUAGCAACAAAUUAACAAAUUAAGUAUCGGCCCAGAGCACCAACAAAUGUCAACUAGUUCAGGGGUGGAGGGUUGUGGCAUUGUGGUAAUUUUUCCUUUUUCUCCAUUUUCAUAAUAAGAUUUUCAUGAUUAUAGCAAUAAAUGGCAAGACAAUGAGCAAUAUCACACAAAAAUUAGUUGCAGUCAUAGAAUAUUUUCUUUUUAAUGUAGUAAUAACUGAAAAUUGGCUUGUAAAAUGUAUAUAUUUUCUUUUUCAAGACUCAAUCAUCUAAACUUCUUUAGUUUUCUAAAACUCGUUACACAGCCAUACUAAUUCCGCCAUGUGUAAAUACAUUCUAGUUACGCUAAACCAAGAUUUCUCUCCCCAAAAAAUGGCAAGAGGAUUAAUCAUCUUUACCCUAGGGGUUCUGCUUCUCAAACAGACAUAUGUGCCCCCUCUCUCCCUAUUGGCAGGGUGCCUAUCGUCCCCCUAGAAAAAAACAGGGCCUAUGUAGCCCUAUUUGAGUAGAAUAAUUCUUACCCCAGAAUUGAAUUGGGCAUGUCGGUUCAACUAGAAAAAAAAUGGAAAAUGAUCCAAAAUCUGGUCCCCUAACAUAUAAUUUCCACAAGAUGAAAAUUAUAGAAAAUGGUCGUUUUAGGAAAUUUACACGAGGGAAGGGAUUUUUCUUCUCAAUAUUUUGUUAAAUAUCUUCAAGUAGAUGUUAUACAGUACACCAACAUACAAGGAAUUGAUGAAGUACACAACAAAAUCCAAACAAACAGUAAAAAAAAUGAACUUUUACAAAUGAAGAGCUUUUCCUUGUAGGAGAUGCUCGUCUCUUUAGGAUCGUGGAAAAACAGAAAAAUAUGUUUGCCCCGUACUAAGGGCAAGGGCAAAAAUUGCAGCUAGAAAGGCAAGGACGGUCCAAGGACUGCUGAAAUGUUUGUGCAUCCAUUCAGCUAUCCAAAAUCGGCAUUUGUUCUUGCAGUGCGUUUCAAUCUGGCACUUAGCAAGUGCAUAUGCAGAAGGAUCAGGUACCAAACCAUUAGCUAUCUCGUUAAAGAGUGUGGCCAAGUGUUCGUCACUGCCUAGAUUGUUGUUGAGAAUUCCCUUCUUUCGGAGCUCUUUAACAUCAUUGGCAUGAUCAAUGAGUGAAUCCAUUAGCCAAACGUAUGACGUAAUGAGAGAAUCAUGAGGGCCAUUAGGACUCAUUUCAUAAGCCACUAAGUUUAAUAGCAGAGGUUUUGUUGUAUCAUCAACCACCAAAGGAGGGAGCAUCAUAGUUCCAUAAACAAGGUGAUCUUUGAACGUUACAUCAGUAACACAAUGAGUUUUACUUGCUUUGAAAUGAAUUCCCGCUUCUUCGAGCUCUGUUACUGAACGAUAGGAAUUCCAUUGAUCUGAUUUCUUUAUGAUUAUGUCCUCAAAGUUAGGUGGCCCAAUGAGAUGUGUCCGCAUUAGGUCUAGAAGGUGAGGGUUUCCAUCCAAUUGUAAUUCUCUUUCGUCAUUUGUUUGACCACCAAGGCAGCAUUCAUUGACAAAUUUCUUGACCAAAUUAGUGCAUGAAGAUUUUUCAGGUGGCUUUAUGCUGGUGGCAAGGUUAAUGAAAUCCUUAAUCAAAUUUGUAUCACCUCUGAACCUGAAUUUCAACAAAACUUUUAGUACUAGUAAAGGAAUUUGAUUCUCUAACAAGAACAAGUCCCUCCACACAAAAGCACAGAGGUAACUCUUCAUUGUGGGUAGUUGAUCUUCUUCUUUUGUUUCUGCCUUUGUUAAGAUGCACAUAAACUGAAGCACAAAGCAGGCAUCAAGAAACAUCAUUUUGGUGAACGAUUCAUCGUCAUAUUUUGUAGUUGAGUCUUCCUCGUAGCAUUCUCGAGCACAGUGAACCACCUUCGCUACCUCUUCAUAUAACUGAUUCAUCGACGAUACUCGAUCACCACAGGCAAGGCGGAAUUGAUUUGCGAAUUUAAAUUUAAGCUGCUCCACUGCUUCUAGCUCCUUCUUUCCAUGAUGAUAAGGGCCUAUUGAAACUACUAGAGGAUCAUAACAUUUUUUGUUGGAUUCGACCUCUUGCAGCAUCGAUGGAACCUUUGCUAUUCGUUGUUUCUUUGUUGGUUCUUCAUCACCCUCCUCUAUACAAAUCAACCACUCAUCCUUGGACAUUUUGUUGCGAGCAUGAAAUUUUGUCUGCACAUAUUAUUAGGUUGGAAAUUUGAAAAAAAGCAUCUUGUGUAUUGAUAAUAAAAUUCGAAUAAAUAUACUGUUCUCUCUAAGGAUUGAAAUUUGUAAUGAGUUACUUGAUCAUGAUAUAAUAUAAUUGUAGGACUUGAUGAUAAAUGAACUCGAUGACAGCAUCAAUCAACUAUUAUCACGCAAGUAUUAGUGGCUUAUAGGCCGUUAAUAAGGUGGUUUGAUGAUAGGACAGUGAAAGUCGAACAAAAUAAAAUUGAUAGUCUUCCAUCAUUGAAGAAUUAGUAAAACAUUGGUUUCCUAUCACAUUAAAUUAUACAUUAUAAAAUUGAUACCAAAUAUUUUACCAUAUCAAAAUGGUUCGGCUGAAUGUUUGGCAAAGCUUAGAUUUUCAAUUUUUAUUUUUUAUUUUAUGUUGGUUACACAUGCUUUUAAUUCACACAUUAUAUAGGAUAUAUAUAACUUAAUUUCUGCUUAUUCUUCAUAGAACCCAAACUUAUAUAAGUACUACAAACUACAAAACAUACAACCCAAAAAGUACUUACAUCCCAUCUUGAUAUGAAAAUUAUAUUUAUUUUUUUAGUCAUGUCAAAAUGAGUGGACUAGGUCGCCCAGUUAACGUUGCUAAGCUUUUUUGGGGCGAACCAAGCAGUUUAGGGUUGGCUGGCUCAUCCAAUUUGACAUAUCAAUAUCUUUAUACUGAAUAUCCUUUAAAUGUUUUUCAAAAAUUGUCUAUUAUACACUCGAAACAAUGGAUAGAGCAAGUAGCAAUAAAGUUUCCACUUGGGGUGGACUAAAACUUUUUUUGGCCCAACCUUUUUACCAUGCCUUACUUGAAACUGGCUAUCGACUAAAAUAAUUAACCUACAAACGUAUAAUAUCUUUCAAAUUGAGAAUUUAUGUGAAUGCAUGAAUUUUGGAGGAGAAUUGUUACAUUUAUGAAAUUACAAUGAAAUUAGACUUAGAAUUUGACCGUAUAUAUUAUUUUCUCAUUCAAAUGACUUAAUUUUAUAUAUAACUAACCCUUGAAAGAAUAAUUUAUGAUUAUUUUUCAUGUAACACAGAUUAUUUAAUAGGCAAUAAGGAUUAACAUUAAUUAGCUAGUAGUAAAAUGUACCUGUAUUAACAAUUACGCAUUAUCAUAAGCAAUAUAAGUUAAAAACACAAACUUUUAAGAAAAAUGUUACCAUUCGUUCCGGAGGUGAGCCUUGCAUUUUUAUGUCGUGCAGAGACUUGGGAAAUAUAGUGUUGGAGUGCAAGAAAAAUAUGUUUUUUUAAUUGUAUGACAUAUGGAACAUAGUCUUGUAUUUAUGCUUGUCAUAAGAAGGGAAUCUGUUAGACAAAUUUAAUUUUGUAAAUCACUUUAGAAAACUUCCUGCUUAGUUUUGAGCAAAUUAUAAGCAUAGAAUAAUUUUACAUAGUAAAGAUUAUGCUUUUUAGAAUAAAAUUUAUCUUUCCAGCUAUCUUGAGUUACAAUGUCUCUUUUUCUUUUUUGCUUCUUUUCUCCAUUUUUAGAGUAUGAUAUUGUAUACUCUUAGGUACAUUGUAAAUUCAAGCAAGCUUACAAAUUCAAUAAAUAUUUAAUUUGACCAUAAACAAGAUAUGAAUGAGCUUAAGAUACAUUAUUUUGGUAACUUGCUAGUAGAGUUCACGAGAUAUUGUUACACGACCAUAGAACAAAGGUAAGUACUUAGAGUUUGAACAAGUAAAUAAGUUUCAUUAAACUAUCUAAAUGGAUGAUUGACUUGAUUUCUCGAUGAGUUUCAAUACAAUAUUAAAGUUUGAUUUGAACAACAAAAAUAUUAAGGUGUUUGCCAAAAGAAUAAUGAUACUUGUAUAUAAUGGAUUUACAUAAGGUUUAUAUAUAGAUGAGGUGUCAAAAAAAUGAUGGAAUAUAUAUAUAUAUACUAUCAUAUCUCACCACAUCAUAUGUAUAUAAAUCAUUAUGUACGUAUAGCACAAACGUUGCAAAAACCUCUUGUCAAAAUUCAUUUUAACUUUUUAAUUUCACCAUUUAAAAAUCUGAUCAUAAAAUCCCGUGUUAAUAUAAUUGAUUACAAUCGUAUUAUAUACACUUUUACAUCAUGUAUCUCAUGGGAAUCCUAGUAUUGAAUAUAACACAAAUAGAAUUUUUUAAAACAACUUUAACAAGCUUAGAAUUGUACUUUGAUUUGUUCCCACUUGAUGCUUUUUUUGGCAACAUCACAAGUUUGGAAUUAGAGGUGGACACGGUCCGGUUUGGAUCGGUUCUAACGAGAACUGAACCGGACCCAAAAUUUUCGGACAUUUAGUUAGUGGAAUCAUCGGAUUCAAAUUUAGUUAUGAAACUAAAGGUUCAAUUCGAUUUGAUUCGGUUUUCAGGUUCCGUAUUAUAAUUAAAUUUUUUAAUAUUUACAAAGUUACAUUAAUUCAACUAAAGAUAUGUUCAAUCUUAGCUCUUAAAAUUAAAGUAUUCCAAUCUUAUGUAUCUUUUGCGUCUCUCUUUGUUGAGUUUUUAAAAUCACAAGAAAAGAAAGAUAUCGAGCUCAAAAUAAUUAAGAGAGGCGUUGUCGAGUUUCAAUUUGAUUUCUUCAAAACGGUAGAAACAGUACUAAGGUAGAAUAACAGAUUUGGAUAAAACUUAGGCUAAUUUGAUUAAGUUGGCUUUGAACUGAAAAUUAGAAAUAGAAAAAUUAAAUUUUUGGGAUUGAGCUAAAUUAACUAGUUAGCAAAUUAAUUUAGAAAAAUAAAAUACUUUAGCUUAUUUAAAAUAAAUUAAUUAAAAAAAUAGGGAAAUUCAGUUCUUAAUCUAGAAUCGAGAACUGAACUAAACCCAUCGAUUUUCGAUUCAGAUACCCGUUCGAGUAUUUAAAUUAAAAGAACUGCUCGAUUCGAUUCGAGAGUUUUAUCCAGCCCUAUUUGAAAUACAAACAUGUUAAACACGAGGAAUUGUCAAACACAAUAGACACACAAAGCAAGGUGUGACACUGGAAGUUAUUAAAAUAUUUUGAUAUUUUUUUUUUUUUUUUUUUUUUUUUUUUUUUUUUUCUUUUUUUUUUUUUUUUUAAUUAAGUAAAGAUAACAGAAAAUCGAGAUAUACAAGAAUGAAAUUUUCAUUUAUCAAGUGGUGGAGGUUAUUUUCAAUGACCCAAACAUAGUAAAGUGAAGUAAACAAUAUUAUUUGUGCUCCUGUUUUUAAUUAAAACCAAAGUCGACAAUUAAUUUUAACCAAAUAUUGACUCACAGUUUUUCAGCUACAUAUUUUAUCAAGUUUUAUUAAAAUUUACUAAAAAUAUAAUCUCUAUUAAAUAGGGGCUAUUUAUAUAUUAAAGAAGAAAGAUAGUUAUAAUCUUAUUUUAUAUUGCUAAAACAUAUUCAGUGCUUCACUCCAACCAUGUUUUGCUAAUAACUGACAUGUAUAGGGUAGCAUAGAUAAGUAAUAAAGUGAUCUAAGAGCCUGAAUUAUCAUUUUCACGAGGACUGCAUGCUUAUUAUUAACUUUAACUGAAAUAGCAAAAUUGUAUGGUGACUGUGAUAGUAAAUUUAAAGUCUAUAAACAAACUAAAUAUAAAGCGUUAAACUAAACUACGAAGCGUUUAUAAACAUUUCUUAAUUAAAAUCACUAGGACCUCGAAUUUCCCUAUAUUCUUCCAUUUUAAUAUCAACCAAAGUAAUUGUCAAUACGUAUUUAAACUCGACGAUCAAUUGUUUUAUUUAAUAAUCUCUCUCAAGUAAUGUUAAACAUAUUUCCACAUAUAACCCUAUUAUAUUUGUUCGAAGAAUGCGAAUGUAUGAAAAUGGAUUAAAGUUAAAAAGAUCAUGCAAAACAUAUUGGUAUAUUUAUAUUUUUUUGUCAAAUUGUUACUACUUACUACAAUUCCUAUUCCUUCUCUCAAGAAAAAAGAAUCACGAAUUCACAAGGAUGGAUCCAGGAUUAAAUCCAAGAUCGGGCUACAAAUUUUCAAGCCAGGUUUAUAUGCGAAUUUUAUUUAUUUGUUUGUUUUACAAAAAAAAAAAAAAUGUCUACAAAAAAAUUUCUUGGGCCUUGGGGGAUUACAGCCCAGCCCAGUUACCCCUACAUCCGUUCUUGCGAAUUCAUUCAAUUAUUGAUCAAGUAAUUAAACGCAUUAAUAACCUAACAAUCAAUCAAGCCAAACAAAUAUUUAACAUCCAAGUAAAAUUCAUAUUAAAAUUUCAAAAUAUAAUGUUAUCGUCAUCCUAUUAUCUAAAAAAUUAGUCAAACAUCAUAAAAUUACAAAAACGUGUUUGGAAUAGUAAGAUAUCACCUGAAUUUCAAUUUAUAGUUCCAAAUCGUGCACGAAUCACAAUAUUCCAUGUAGAAGUUGACUUAAAUUCGGCAAUUUUUUAUUUAUUUAUUAUUAUUAUUAUUAUUUUUUAUGGCGAUAUAUUUUCUCUUCUCGUGUGCAUGUAGUAUAAACUCUGCAAUCGCGUGGUCUAAUGCUUUCGUUCCCGUUCAAGUUGGUCCCUAAAUUUUCCUAUUGGUUUACCUCAAGUCCCUUCCUAUUUGCAUUGUGAAUCCUUCAUCUUUCAAUUAUAAAAUAAUUUAAUCCCCCAUAUUCCGUAAUUUGUUCCUUUUUAGUUGUUAUCAAUCGAUUACGUUUCCUUUCUUCAUAUAUCAUCCAGCAUCAGAUUUUUCUUAAAAUAAUCAAUAUACAAUCAAAAUUAAGUAUCGAAGCAAUACAAGUACUCCCCAAACGUCCAUUUUCAAUUGCCAAUAUAUGUUAAACUUAUCUCAAGUAAUUAAUUAGAGACUAUAUUCAACAAAAUGGGGAAUAAAUCAGUCCUUUAAAUUUAACUUGCUACGGGGAAAUUUUUUUUCCUUUGAGAAUUUUAUUAACAGCCUAUUUUCGAUGAAAAAAAAAAUAGAAAAAGUAGAUUUUUUUCCAAAUGUGUAUUUACAUAUAUUCCUCUAAAUAGAACCGUUAAUAAUACACUACUAUGUUUUAUGGUUAAAGAGUUCAAAGUAACUUCUAUACUAUCAAAUUAAAUAAGUAGUUCUUUAUUAUUUUUUUUUUUCACGUUAAAGAAAAUAUUAACCUUUUAAAAUAUGUUUAAAAACUUGGCAGGAGUAAUCCACAACGGGCUCCCCACAAAAGGUACUAGUCGUAUGCAUCAUAUCACUUAAGGGUCAAUGAUAGUCAAAUGUUUGUUGAGAGUUCGAACGAUGACAACAUUUUGCCAUUAUUAGUAGAGAUCAUGCUAUAUGUACAUAAUUUUUUUUUUAUUUAAUCCUUGACCUACUACUCCCAAGAGAGGGUGUGGACCACAUUUGGAGAUUUUUAUAUUCACGUGGAGCUUGCGUGCGGGGAGAGGGGGGGGGGGGACAACUUUCAGUACAAAUGAAAUUGUCCCAUUAGUAGUUUCUACUGCAAUUUGCAACGAUGAUGAUAGGAAUUGGAUUGAGAAUAACAAAAAAUAUUAGUAUGUAAUUGAAAAGUAGCACGAGGAGUUGAAAAAAGUAAAUUAGAUAAAGAUAUGACGAUAAUAGUAAUUUUUUUAAAUAAUAUUAAACACUAAUCCAACGAUCUAAUAGUAUGGCUAGAUUCAUGACUGAAUCGAUUCUCACAACUAUACAUAAGUUAAUAUAAUACGGUGGACGGAUGAAUGUCCUAUAAGGGAUGUUCUAAGCAUACUCUCCUUGCAACGUGUAAGUAAAUUCAAAUUACAAAACCAAUUUUGCUUUUGUUUUUAUGAUGCAUGGUCCAUUGAAAUUUGUUGACAAUGAUAAGAUGCCAAGUUCAAGUCUCCUAUUUUUCUUUGGCAACUUAGUUCAAAUUUUUUACAAACUCAAACUUUGUAUAAAUACCGAUUCAACUUUUUCUUUUUUUAAUAGUUUAUGAAAUGGUAGGGUCAAAAUAUUUUCAAUGUCAAAACUCUUUUUAUUAGUAUGUAAUUGAAGAGUAGCACGAGGAGUUGAAAAAAGUAAAUUAGGUAAAGAUAUGACGAUAUUAGUAAUUUUUUUAAAUAAUAUUAAACACUAAUCCAACGACCCGAUAGUAUGGCUAGAUUCAUGACUGAAUCGAUUCUCACAACUAUACAUAAGUUAAUAUAAUACGGUGGACGGAUGAAUGUCCUAUAAGGGAUGUUCUAAGCAUACUCUCCUUGCAACGUGUAAGUAAAUUCAAAUUACAAAACCAAUUUUGCUUUUGUUUUUAUGAUGCAUGGCCCAUUGAAAUUUGUUGACGACGAUAAGAUGCCAAGUUCAAGUCUCCUAUUUUUCUUUGGCAACUUAGUUCAAAUUGUUUACAAACUCAAACUUUGUAUAAAUACCCAUUCAACUUUUUCUUUUUUUAAUAGUUUAUGAAAUGGUAGGGUCAAAAUAUUUUCAACGUCAAAACUCUUUUUAUGUCUUUUGUGUUUGUUGAAAUUUGCAAACAAAAUGUUGUAAGACUAGUUGACUAGCCGAAAAAAUAAGGAAGGUUGGUUGGCUGAAGGCACUUUGAUGCUUAAGUUAAUUUUGUUUAUGUAGAAAAAUCUAAAAUCAAGAAGAGUUUUAGUAAAAUGUGUCCCCAUGUGUAUAAUAGAUUGGAGUUUCUGAAUUAAGAAAAUGAGUCAAUAGGAUCAUUGUUCUUAGCCGAAAUUCUAUGUGCCGAGCAAUUGAGAUAUUGAGUUUUACGUUUAUAAUUUUAAGUUUUAUCGGCAGCUUUAGAAAAAGCAUCGUCUACCUCAGUAACAUGAAAUGUGUGAAAAUACAUUAUUAACUUUGAGUUCGAUUUUAAUCAGCUUUUUAUAACUGAACCAAAGUGGAGCUAUACGUUUUUGGCGAAAAUAAAAAUAAUGCCAGAAAAUAAAAAGACAUUAUUUUGUAAAUCGAGGUAGGCCAAUGCCGGAAGGGAAAUUGAACACGCCCAUCUCACGAGGGUUGGUCAAAAUUGAAGAAGCUUCAGUGUUCAUGCCUUUUUUCCUUGCAUCCCAAGUAGAACCUAUAUAUAUAUAAUCCUCGUCGAUCAUUGAGAUAUAUACAUAUACAUAUACACAGAGAGAUAGAGAAAGAGAGAGAAGAGAGAGAGAGAGAGAAAAUGGCAGAUUUGUUUAUUGAGCAGGCAAAGCAAUAUUCAGAGACAAGGCCCAGUUAUCCACAGGAAUUGUUCCAAUUCAUUGCAUCAAAAACUCCAUCUCACGAUCUCGUUUGGGAUGUUGGCACUGGAAGUGGCCAGGCUGCAGCAUCUGUGAGUCUUUCUCCUCGAACUGCACAAUUUUGAGCUAAUUUUGUGUUUAUCCGGGACUUAGGUUUUAAGCCCUAAUCUCAAUUACUCGAUAUGAUAGUAAAAAUCUCGAUUUCAUUGUGUAUUGUUGUAGAAAAAGAGACAUUUCAAGUGGGUUCAGAAUUUAUUUAAAGAAUUAUGACUCAGUUUAAUUAUAUAUCGACUUAAUAUGAACCUCUGUAUUGUUUUUCAGUUAGCAAAGGUCUACAACAAUGUGGUGGGCACAGACACAAGCCAAAAACAACUUGAUUUUGCUGCCAAAAUUCCAAAUGUGAGAUACCUUUGUACACCUCCCAAAAUGUCCAUUUCUGAGAUUGAACACACCAUUGCACUACAAUCCAGUGUUGAUUUAGUGACCAUUGCUCAAGCCAUGCACUGGUUUGAUCUUCCCACUUUCUACCAACAAGUGAAAUGGAUACUGAAGAAACCCAAUGGAGUAAUUGCUGCUUGGUGCUACACUGUACCAGAAGUCGACCCACAGAUCGACUCUGUGUUUGGAAGAUUUUACUCCGUCGACAGUGGUCCGUAUUGGGAACAAGAACGAGACUUCGUUGAUCUUAAAUACAGAACCAUUGAUUUUCCAUUUGAGCCAGUUGAUGGAGUCGAUCAUACUGGGCCAUUUGAAUUCAAGGCUGAGAAGUUAAUGGAUUUGGAUGGAUAUUUUACAUAUAUAAGAUCAUGGUCUGCCUACCAAACUGCCAAAGGAAAGGGUGUGGAGCUAUUGACUGAUGCUGUUUUAGAGGAUUUUAAGGUUGCUUGGAAUGCUGAUGGGAAAAGCCAAAAGAUUGUCACUUUUCCUGUUUAUUUGAGGAUUGGCAAAGUUGGGUUAUCAAGUUGAAAGGCUAAUCGUCUAUCGUGAAUAAAAUUUGAUAGACAAUGGCAUCUUUGUAAUAAUCAGUUAACUUCGAUGAGUAUUUCAAUGCUCAAAUAAAAUAAGUUCCUAAACUUAGAAGUGGUGCCAACCAGAUCUAUACUCGAUUGCAAUGGCAGUGAACAGAUUGUAAACAUCUGUCUUUAUCAAAGUGCUUCCUCUUCGUGCUGGUUUUAUUAUCCACCGAAUUUUUACUAUAUGUACUCAACAAGCAGCCUCCCAUAUUUAUUGAAAGGAUUUUAAUUAUCUUACUCGACUGUCAAUUUCACAAUCAAGUCUUCAUGACAUUAAAAAUCACGGUUACCUACACAGGUACAAAAUAUAUAAAAUGAAAAAAAAAAAAAAUUGCUUAAAGAAUUAAAGUCUUUGCAUCCAUUCUUUCACUGCACGAUUGUUCUCUUGCUUCUCUUCGUUGUCCAGAAGUAUAUUUCGAACCAGGGUCAUGCUUGUUUCGAGCUUUUUCAAUUCCUUUUCUAAGCCCAAUGCUAAUCCAGAUCUGGCUCAGAGCACAGAAUCCGAACUUCAAAACAAGUCUUUUGACAAAGCUGAAGAGAAUUUGCUCUGCUAUGUUCAGUUAUAAUGCAAAAAACUAGACAUCAGAAAAUUCUGAUUGACAAAGGCCUUCCCUCAAAUGGAGAAAAACAUUAGAACUAUAUAAACUUUCACUAUAUGAUAUUUAUUAAGACUUUGGAUAGCUAACUUCUGCAAUUUGCAGUUUAACUGAAAAAUUGACUAAGGAAGGUGAGGAUUGGCAGAUGCUUUUCAUGUUAGGCAAGUGGAGCCUUGUUGAUGUCAACUCUACACAAAGGAGGGACUGUAAGAUAACAAUGUCUAAUAGAGGAGUCUUUUUUUAUAAUAAUUUUGAGAUCUUUUUUCCAUUCUCAUUGUCAUAUCAGCUUGAAGAUCCAACUCAAAUAGAUCAUUAACACUCGUUAUGUCAAGAGAUAAUGUCUAACAAGUGCGAACUUUUUAUUUUUAUUUUUAUUUUUAUUUUUUUAUCUCUCUCUCUCUCUCUCUCUCUCUCUCUCUCUCUCUCUCUCUCUCUCUCUCUCCCUCCCUCCCUAAAGGACUUCUUUACUGAGCAACAUUGUAGAAAUCGACCCCAUUUGGUCGUUGAAAUCAAUCAGAUUUGAGCACUCUCCCUACAGUAGAGGCACCUUUCAUCAAAAGAAUACAUGUAUCCGUCUGAUAUAUUAACCCAAUUAUUAUUCUAAGCAACACUUGCAUUGACUAAUUUGGCAGUGUUGUGAUUCUACUCAGGUGGUUUAGAAUAAAUGUGGUUACCCAUAAGUUAGAGUGCAAGGUGUAGACUCAAUUUAGUGGUGCUCUCGAGUUCCAGACCAUCUUCCCAUCUUCAAAAUAAAUAUUUACUAUUGAUGACGUUAGGUCAAAUUUGUAAUUAGGAAUUUCUAAAUUUAUAAUUGGCAAUUUUCGUAUUCAAAAUCAAAAGUUAGUUGAGCUGUAAUUAAAGUUAAAAUCAUGGUUAUUUGAGCUGUAAUUAAAGUCCAAAAAUGUCGUGGUUGGUAGAGUCCUAAAAUGAGUUGACGAAAAUCUAGAAAGUUAAGCAACGGAACAACCACUGCUCGCUUGGUGCUCGAGCAACGUAUCAAUUCAGUUGGAAUCCUGAAUCGAUUUCAAUGUUGGAUUUCAAUCAUAUUUCACCCCCAAACACUUCCAUUAUGAGUAUACAACCCAUGGAAUGUCCAAAUGUGUGGUUGAACAUUAUAUUCAUUAUUGAGAUCAUUUUCUAAAGAUCAAUUGCUCAUUCCAAAAGAUCUCUUGAUUCAGUCACAUCAUAUUCCUAUAUAUUGUUCCAUCAUUGGUAGAGCCUUGUUUAAAGUCAAGAGAUUAUCCUUUGAAAUCCAAACAUAUAUUCCAAUGUAUCUUGCAUCAGCCUACGGAUCCAAACAUAGAAAUGCCAUUAGAUCAAUCACCAAAAAGACCUACCUGUAUUUAUAGGCCUUCAGAUUUUUGAAGUUGAGAGAAGAGGAGCUUAGAGUUCUAGCACUCUGGAUCGAGUUCGUUCUUCGUUAUCCAAGCAGAGAGAGAAAAAAAAAGCCCAAAGUUGCUAGAAAGUGCUAGUAGCACAAUCAAAGUUCCUUGGUGAUUUACAAGUUAGGUGGCCAGAGUCGGCUAAAGUUUAGUAAUGUUUGAACAAAUUAUAAGUUAACCUUUCUAGUGGAUUUUACUAGCAAGUUUGCCGGAGGCUUUUGAUUCAUGUGAAGAGUUCUUCAAGGGAUUUUCCUGUGUGAUCAAUUCUUGGUGUUAUUUACUUUAUUGCUUUUGAUUUGCAUGUUUACUAGUUGACACAUAGAAUUUAAAUUGAAUUUAAACUUAAUCGUGUAGAAACAAUAAAUAAGUGACUUGUUAUUAAUUAACCCUGCACACUUGGGUCUAAAUAAACAAUGCUAACAAGUAGUGUCAAAAUGUUAGUAAUAUAGCUAUUUAUUUUAUUUUUCAACUGGUAUCAGAGUGCUAGCAUUCUUUCUUCUUUAGGCGAUAAAAAAUUUAAAGAUCAUUUAAAUAACGUAAAUGGCCUUGGUGGUAAUUUAAUUUGAAUUGAUAGUUUAUUGUAAAGACAUUUGAGCAUGAUAACCCACAUGGAAUCUACUUCAAAUGAUAGACAAUAUAAAUAUUCUCCAUAUUAUUAUCUUCUAAUUAAAGGAAGCACUCAAAGGUUAAAAAAUCCACUAACUGCUAAAAUUGUUCUUUUGUCACUUCCACAAAUAUAUUUAUUGCUUUUUAAAUUUACAUUUCAUUAAUCACAUUUUAAGUUUAAUAUUUCAUAAAUAAAGUUAUAACAAUUUAUUGAUAAAUAUAUUAUUAAUAAUCAAUCACUAAUUAAAUUAAUUAUCGCCAUUUAUGUUAGUACUGGAGAGAAAAAAAAAAUUUCAAAAAAAAAAUUCAUUAUUCAUUAUCUCUAUUCAUCCAACAAGAGAGAACCCAACUCCUAUUCUUAAACAAACACUAUGACGUUCGCCUGAAAGGGUAGCAAUUUUUCAGCCUCUAUCAGCAGUGAUUUAUUUAUUUAUUUUUUCUUUUGCUUGAACUCCUCCCUACUUCAUUCAUUCAAAUACCUUGUGUUGUAGUUCGAGAAUUUGUUGAACCAUAACCCCUUACAACCCAAUUCUUAAUUGGUGUUAACAAGGAGUGUAGAUCAGGAAUCUCGUUUGAAGGAUGAUUAUAAGGCUAGAAAAACACAGGAUAAAAGAAAAAGACCCAUAGCACAGAAAGAUGUUCGGGCAAAAAUUCUCAACAAACCCAAUUCCAGUAAAAAAUCUAGUUUGAAGAAGGUACAUCAAUUUGGUUUUAUUUUUUGUUGUUUAAUGCAUUCAUUCGAGUUUAUGAGAAAGUCUUAUUUGAAUUUUAUUGGGUAAUUAUGAUUUUCAUAAUAUUAAUUAACUGCUAACCAUAAUUGGUUCUUCUAAUAGUGACUUGAUUUUGUAUUGUGACCAUGCCUCUCUAUUAUUAUUAUUAUUAUUAUUAUUAUUAUUAUUUACGGAAUGUUCUUCACUUAUUUUGUCAGUGUGACUUGGCCUUUGCUUUUAUUGUGACCUGAAUGUUUUGUGGGAUUUCGAAGACUAUGACCUAGUUUUAUAUUAACAUUAUGUUUGUCUGAAUUGAAUCUUGUGAUCGAUGUAUAACUAGAUAUGUUGAAAGGUAACAUUUGAUGAAGAAUGAUAUGGUUGGCAAAGUCACAUUGUUCUUAUAGUAUGUCCUGCUUUUUUGUUGUGUCAAGAAAUUUUGCUAUUAUGACUUUGUUAUUCGAUAAGUGUAUUUUUGCACACUUACUUAUUAUUUAAACUAAACUUAUUAUUGAUUAUAUGAGUUGAUUUUUACUCACAAUUGCGUAAUUUAUGCAUUUAUAGGUAAAAGUCAUUAAAAGGAAAGAGAGCAAGAUAAAGGAAGAGAAACAAGAAUGAAAUCGUACAAAAAUCAUGAAGUUGGGGACCAAAUUGAACAAGUCAAAAAGUUGAAAGACUUCAUUUGCAUUUUCGGAAGGCCUAAUUGAGAGGAAAGUAAAAAUCUUAGGACUAUAUCAUGAAAGAUCAAGGUGGAAGGACCCGAUUGCAAUUUAUAUAGGGACUGAACUACUACUACUCGAAACCUAGGUCGGACGCGUGCCUUAGCCUCUUUUAAAGUUUACUGAGGGCAGCUAAAUUGUUUUGGCCCACACCUCAUGUAUAGCAAGGCAAGCGUCUGGUUCGGAACCUGAGACAAUUUUAACAAAUAUAAAUAAAUAAAUAAAUAAAUAUAUAUAUAUAUAUAUACAUACUUAUUUUUGGAAAAUUCUAAUGGCCCUUGUUGCAAUUAAUCUGGCUUGAUUUCAGGGUUUUGACGCGUGCCUUAGCCUCUUUUUAUGGUUUGUUGAGGGCAGCCGAAUUGUUUUGGCCCGUACCUCAUGUUCAGCUAGGCAAGUGUUUGGUUUGGAACCCGGGACAAUUUUAAUAAUUUUUUUUUGAGUAAAUUUAAUUAAUGCUCACCCAACUUUAACCAAUAUUUCUACUUGCUCACCGAACAAUAAAUGAUAACAUGUUGCUCACCCAUCUGUCUAAUUCAUUACUUAUUCAUCACCCAUUUAACUUCUGCCACCCUCCACUAACAAAACAUGUCACGUGGCGGUUGGAAAUUCGAUGUGGCAAAAUCAGGCCAGACAUGGACAAUUUUUCAGAAACACGUCAACUACCUGCACCAGCCAUUCUUCUCCUCUCUUGCCAAAUGACCAACCAAAAACACACAAAAAUGGCGACAACGAGUGGAACGUGAGUCGGAAUUUCCACCACAGUCAGCGUUGCAUGCUACUUUCUUAACAACAGUGGGAACAGCAAUUGAAGUAGGAAUAGCAACGACCAAAAUUCACCUUCCAUCGUCUAUAGCCGUACCAUCGUUACCCUCACCGUCGAAUCCUGGAGAACCCAGAAAUCACCCCCAAUUCUAGCUUUCAUUUUUUUUGGGCUAAGAAAGUGUUUGAAGUUUGUGUUAUUUCAGUCAUCACAUGAGCUGAGCAUUUCAAAUGAUCAUUCAAAUUGAUUGGAAACAGUUGAACUGUCCCCAUACAUCAAAAUCGGACUGGGAAAUUUGAAGUCCAAUAUAUUAGAAGAAAGUUUCUGUAAUGACGACGUUCAAAAUUCACCACUAUAAUCUAAUGUGUUGCUUCCACCAAUUUCUCAUUGUUCUUCUUGCCUCCCGUGAAGAACUUGUACCCUCCAAAGAAAAGCAAACCCCCUUUUUUAAGGAAACAAUCACGAAGUGCUCUUCCUUCCACUUGGAUGGACUCAUCAGGUCUUUCCAGAAAUCAACCUUAGGUGGCCCAUGAUGAUCAGUGACGCCAGCGAGGCUACGAUGGGAAUCAUAGAGGCGGACCAAGCGAAGGUUCCUACUCGACACGCUGUUGUUUCAGCCAACGAAGUAGCCAUGGCUUUGUGCUUUUUCUUUCCAAGAUGGAACGUGCAUCAAACAGUAAUUCCAGCUUUCAUUUUCUUGCCACAAUGUACCAAUUAACGAAGCAUCCCAAAUUGAAACCCAAAUUCGUGAAGAACCCUAAAAAUUUUCCCCAAAUUCGCCUCCAAAUAUGCUGCACUUACUAGGCUGUAUUCAGGGUCCAAGAACUGGAGGAAGAAGAUGAAGGUCUGGGAGUGGCUUUCUAUACUUUUGGCCCAUUUCAUAUGUGAUGCGUCACAUUGGUAGAUUUCUUUAGUUUAAAGUGACGGAAAUCAAAUGAGUGAUCAAUGAGUAAGCAACUUGAUAGAUGAGUGAGCAAUGAGUAAUGUUUUAAUGUUUAGUGAGCAAGUAGUAAUAUAAUAUAAAGUUCAAUGAGCAUUCAUUAGAUUUACUCUUUUUUUUCGAAAAAUUCUAGUGGCCCUUGCUACAAUUAAUCUGGCUUGGUUUCAGGGUUUUGAAGGUAAAAAAUUGGCAGCCAGUUUUUGUUUUCUUUUCAUUCUUCAUUUUUCUAUCUUAUUUUUCUCUUCAUUUUUGUUGAAUAAUUGACCUUUGCCAGUUUGUGUUUUCUUUUCAUUCUUCAUUUUUCUAUCUUAUUUUUCUCUUCAUUUUUGUUGAAUAAUCGACCUCCAAUUGGUGAAAUUUCGGGCUCAGGAUACCAAUCUCAAACUUAUCAAUACACCCAAGCAAUCACAACCCAAAACUUUUAACUUCUUUCACAUUCCAAUUGCUCAAGACUUGUACCCACUUAGAACACAAAGGGACGGUGUUUACAACCAUAAAGGGGGUGCCACAAAGGCUAGAGAAGAACAAGAAGAAAAACCAACCAAAGCAAGAGCACAAAGCAAGGCAGGAACUUUUUCUCUCAAAACACAAAGGCAAAACACACGUGAAUGAUAGAAGACCAAGGAGGCUAGUGUUCACAAAAUAAUUCUUUCGAUUAAAAACUAUCGCAAGUGUACGGAUCGUGACAAGUAAUAAAGUGGAUUUUUAAAAGUCCGAAUAUCGUCCCACAGAGAUUGAAUAGUUCAAUUCUAUAUAAUCUAGCCUUAACCGAGUCUAAUUGAGUGAAAAUAUGGUCCAAAUGCAAAAAACCCUAAUUUCAAUUAAAAACCCUAAUUUUCCAAUAAGAAACCCUAAUCUCAAAAUUUCUAUAAUUAAACGACUCAAACACUCAAAUAAAUGAAAUUAUGCAAAUUUAAAAGCUAAUUUAUGGAAAUGAAUCAAAAUAAAGUCACUAGGAUCACGAAUCCCCAAUUGAAGUUAUAAAAAUCCUAAUUUCAUAAAAUCAAUGAUCCGAUGGAAAUUUGCCAAUUCAAUGUUCCUAAAUCUAUCUAAUAUAUUCUCUUGAUAUAUAUUAGACCUUUCUUGCACACCACCAACCUAUAUCUCUAUAGAUGAUGCAAAUAUACAAGAAGGCAUGUGAUUUUGUGAACAAUUAGAGAAUUGCAUAAAGCAUGUGGUUUUGAUUUACACCUUAUCGAACCUAUUCCACUUCUCUCGAAUGUAAGAAAUAAGUUUUCAACACUCACACAAUCAUUGGCCACUAAUUGCGGAAGAAAAUCAAUGCAUAUAAACCAAUCAAAUUGUCCAAACGAGUCUUUAUCUUAAAAUCAUGAAAUAUGGAAUUAAAAUAACAAACAAUGGUUCAUCGAUCACCUAGUGAAUUAAAAACCUAGCCUAGAAUAUUCAUAAUCACAGAAUAAAAAACGAAAUUAAUAAAUUGAAAGAAUAGCACCCGUAUGAAAAUUUCUUGAAAUCUUGAAUAAAGCCUUGAAAACCCGCUUGAAUUCUUGUGGAAUCGGCUUCAAGAUCGUGUUUCUUGCCUCCAAAAGUUGUAAUUUUCUUCUCCCUAGACAUUUUCUCCUAUUUCUGAUGAGUUUUGACUUUUAUAUCAUGUCUUCAUGGAGCCCCAAAAAGUUUCAAUCAAAAACGCAAGUUCAGAAUUUUUUUAUUUUUUUAUAGCCAUGCGGUCGCAUGUUGUUAAAUCAUGCGACCGCAUGGUUCAAGUGAAAUGGCCCAUGGAAUCCCUGCAACCUUUUGUGUGGCCGCAUAGCACAGUUCUGUGCGGCCGCAAGGUUGUAACUUUCAACUUUGCUGUUUUGGUCCCUGAACUUCGUUUUCUCUUUUCUUGAUCUCUUUUCUUUCUUUCAUUUGUUCCAUCAUCAAAUAUUGACUCCUAAUUGAUGUUUGGGUCAAUCAAUUCCUUGAUCACUUGCUCGGCUCAUUUUUUGAUUAAUUGCAAUUUAGUCUUUCAUCUUUCACUUUUCUUCAAUUCAGUCCAAUAUUACUUCUUUCUUUCUCCGAUCGUCUUGUAUCAUCCUCAAGCUCAUACUUGGCAUAUUUUCAUUCUCGUUCUGCACUUUAGCUCAACUUUUCAAUAUUUUCACCUUUGGUCCCCGAACUAUCGCUUUGUUCCGUUUUGGUCCUUUUUCGGCUUUUUUCUUCUGAAUUUCAUCUUUUCCAUAGAAAUAUCUACAUUGCAUGAAUUUAACGAGAUUAAGUUACAAUUCAACUACUUUGUCUAUGUUUAAGUCAUGUUUGUGAGCUAAAUAAGUGUAUAAAAACACACUUAUCAGCCAGCAUAUAUAGGUUAGGUUAGGUCAAAGUGGUAGGGCCAAGCCCAAUACGAAUAUCGAUAUGUGGGCCAACAUACAUAAGCCAUCCAAAGAGUGUGAAACCGGGCCAUGAGCAACACUAAUUAAUUAUGUUGCUCUCAUUGGCCCAAAUAAUCUUAGGGUCGGGUCAUCAAUUUUGGGUGUCGAUAUUUAUUUUUAUCCAACAUCGGUUUAACAUCAUCGUCCGGAUUAUUGGGUAUCAAAACCUAACAAUUUUCACUUGCAAUUUUUGGAGAAAAACCAAGAGUACAAGGAGAAUCUAUCAAAAGAGUUUGAAAAACAUUGGGAAAAUCAAGAGCUAGCCAUUAUUAUCUUCACAAAUCCAACCAACAAGGAUUUUUUCUAUAAUCAUGUAUUUUUUCCAUUGUUUGGUCAAAUUUGCAAUGUAUUGUGAUAAAUAUUCUCAUUUUUAUCAUUUAUAUAACAUGAGCUAAAUAUUUGCGUUGGGAUUUAUGGUUGAAGUUUAACUUAGCUUUAAUUAAUUUCAAUGUUUACUAUUUAAUGUUAAAAUUACUUAUGAUCAUGUGUUUUUAUUAUUGUUAUUAUUGCAUUUUCAUUUAUAUGGCCAAUAAAUGAUUGUGUUUAGUGAUUUGUACAUUAUUCAAGCGAAGAUUGUAUAUUUUAGACCAAAUAGUAGAAAUCUCAGGUUCUUGUACUAAGGGGAAGAGUUUACUCCUAACUCUAGGUGUUUCAUUGAGUUAUUUUUAUAAAAAUUUAAUGUAAUUGUUUGGUUUUAAUCGACAUAGAGAUAUAGUUAGUCAAGCCAAUUAAUCAGGGUUAAUUUCGCUAGAAAGAGGUAAUUGACCAAACUUGAAAAAUUGGGCCUAACAUUGUAAAUGAGUAAUUUAUUAAUUGACUUGUGCAGACAUUAAUUAGGCAACGGUUAAGCGACAACAUGAAUCACAAUCACGUUUUCCUCCAAAUUUUUUCAAGUGUUUAUGUUUUCUUAGUUUGUAGAGUUUUAGUUUACUUUUCCUUAUUUUCAAAUCAUAAUAUUAAUUGUGUGUGUUUAGUUUUAUUAUUAGAAUUAAAUUAAUUGAAGUUGUGUAAUUGAAAGUAAACAUUUCUCGAAUAAUUGACAAUUCGGACUCAAAAAAUUCAAUUUAUACUUGAACGAGACCGUACACUUGCGGUUUGCACUUUCGUAGUGAAUAUUAUUUGAAAUAGUUUUAUCAAUGUUUUUUUUACAUGUUUAUCUAUGCAUGUGACCCGCAUGUUGUUCCAGUAUUUUAGAAUUUUUAUAACCAAUGCGACAAAGAAUGUUUUGACUAAUUUUGCAUCAAAAUUCAAUGAUUCACAAAGGGAGAUUUUGAUAGGUACGUGUUUCUCCUAUAAUAUGGAUUGCCAUGAAAUUGUAUCAAUCCCAAUUGAUACAUUACUUUAUGUUAAGGGAGGUUAAGCAACUGAAUCUCGAGGAGGUGUGGUUCAAGAUUGAGAGAGAUUUAUCCCCUCUUUUUUCUUUAGUUCUACUUAGUUACAGGACUCGAGUAUAUUGGCGACGAUAAUAGAAAGAAACUUAAAUCAAUACCAUCAAGUACAAAUGACGAAUAUUUUAGUCAACAAAAAAUUGUGACAAAUGAAGGCGUUAGAGAUGUGUUUCUUUUUCUAGUAGAUGUUCGAUAUACUGUAUUUUAUAAUAUUGUUUCUGUUCUCCACAUUGUAUAAGAAGGUGUUUGAGCAUUAUUUGUUUGCACUUGUUGAAGAUUAAGAUGUCAUGGAGAUGUUUUCGUGGGGGGAAAGAAUUGUUUGAGAUCUUUGUAAGUUAUGUGAAAGAGGGAUUGAGCAAUAAAUCAACCCAUUAUAGGCCUAAACGUUUUCUAGUAGCAUUUCAAGUUUGGUUAUACGAAUCAAUUCAAAGUCUAGUAACCACAACAAUGCAAAGUAGGUACCCUCGCAUCAUGAGCUAGAUAUCGAAUAAUCAUCCCCCAGAUGCUAAAUUGGAAGAAGAGUUCUUUUCCAAUCCUAAUGUAAGUGCUUAAGUAUCUUUGUUAUUCGAGAUAGUUUUCUCUAUGUUUUUUUUAAUCUGUUUUAUCUAUGUAUGUGACCUGAAUGUUGUGCCAGUAUUUGACCUUUUUAUCAUUUUCUAUUCGAUAUUGACGUAAGUGUUAUUGAAUAUUCUAUUACAGGAUUGGCAAUACAUUAUCCUUGAAGACCUUCGAUUUUCAAGAAAAAUUAUAAUCAAUGCGGUAAAGAAUGUUCUAACUAAUUUUGCAUUGAAAUUCAAUGAUGCACAAAGGGAGAUAUUGGUAGAUAUGUGUUUCUCCUAUCAUAUGGAUUGCCAUGAAAUUGUAUCAACCGCAAUCGAUACAUUACUUUAUGUUAAGGGAGAUUAAGCCACUAAAUCUCGAGGAGGUGUGGUUCAAGAUUGAGAGAGAUUUAUCCCCCUUUUUUUCUUAUGUUCUGCUUAGUUACAAGACUCGAAUAUAUUGGCAAUGAUAAUAGAAGGAAACUUAAAUCAAUACCAUCAAGUACAAAUGACAAAUAUUUUAGUCAACAAAAAAUUGUGACAACUGAAGAUGUUAGAGAUGUGUGUCUUUUUCUAAUAGAUGUUCGAUAUACUGUUGUUUAUAAUAUUGUACCCGCUCUCCACAUUGUAUAAGAAGGUGGUUGAGCAUUAUUUGUUUGCACUUGUUGAAGAUUUCGAUGUCAUGGAGAUCUUUUCAUAGGGGAAAGAAUUGUUUGAGAUGUCUAUAAGUUAUGUUAAAGAGGGAUUGAGCAAUAAAUCAACCCAUUACAGGCCUAAAGGUUUUCUAGUAGCAUUCCAGGUUUGUUUAUACGAAUCAAUUCAGAGUCUAGUAACCACAACAAUGCAAAGUAGGUACCCUUACAUCAUGAGCUGGAUAUCAGAUAAUCAUCCCCUGGAUGCUAAAUUGGAAGAAGAGUUCUUUUCCAAUCUUGAUGUAAGUGUUUAAAUAUCUUUGUUAUUCGAGAUAGUUUUCUCUAUGUUUUUUUAUAUGUUUUAUCUAUGUAUGUGACCUGAAUGUUGUGCUAGUAUUUGAGCCUUUUUAUCAUUUUCUAUUCGAUAUUAACGUACGUGUUAUUGAAUAUUCGAUUGCAGGAUUGGCAAUAUGUUAUCCUCGAAGACCUUUGAUUUUCGAGAAAAAUUAUAAUCAAUGCGGCAAAAAAUGUUCUAGCUAAUUUUGUAUCGAAAUUCAAUGAUGCAUAACGGGAGAUUUUGAUAGAUACGCAUUUCUCCUAUUACAUGGAUUGCCAUGAAAUUGUAUCAACCACAGUUGAUACACUACUUUAUGUUGAUGGAGGGUCAGCAACUGAAUCUCGUGGAGAUGUGGUUCAAAAUUGCGGGGAGAUUUAUCCGAUUUUUAUUGCAUGAGUUCUGCCGUGUUCUCCACAUUGUACAAAAAGGUGGUUGAGCAUUAUUUGUUUGCACUUGUCAAAGAUUUUGAGGCCAUGGAGAUGUUUCCGUGGAGGAAUGAAUUGUUUGAGAUGGCUAUAAGUUCUGUGAAAAAGAGUUGAGCAUUAAAUCUAUCCAUUACAAGCUUAAAGGUUUUCUAGUAGCAUUCCAGGGUUGGUUAUAUGAGUCAAUACCAAGUCUUAAUGAUCUAUGACCACAAUGAUGCAAAGUAGGUACCCUCGCAUCAAGAAUUGAAUAUCGGAUAAGCAUCCCUUGGAUGCGAAAUUGGAAGAAGAGUUAUUUUUUCCCCAAUCUUGAUGUAAGCGUUUAAAUGUAUUUGUGACUAAUAUAGUUGCAAUGUCAUUCAAAAAAUUCUAUUUGAUAUGCUAAGUAUUUUUAAUGAUUUUAGGGUAAUAGAUUGAAGUAAAUGGAAUUGAUCCGCUGAGCAUGGAUAUGGUGAUACCAUAUAUGAGUGGUGUACCACACACCAAAUCACAACCACGACAUCUUCCACGUGAAGUGCAUUUCCAGGAGAAUUUAGGUCACAAUCGCUUGAGUACUCAUGCAGGCACAAGUGCAAAUGUUCAUUCAUCAAGUCAGAAAUCUACAACAUUGCUGCUACUGAACAUAGAUAGAAGAAUGCGAAAAUCAAAUGACAUUGAUGACGAAUUUGUUAACCUCCCACUAAGAUGGUAAAAGACUUCACGUGGUGUCCAUUCUCCAAUGGAACCACAAGUAAUACAUUGUGUUGAGGGUUCAUUAGAGAGAUAGAGGUUUUAGCAACCACAGAGAUGGCGUAUAACACAGCAGAUGAUACAUACUUGGAAAUAACCGGAUCAUUUGAUAACCUAAAUCCAUGCUACUAGAGAAAGUAUUUUGAUAGAUAUUUGAGAAAUUCAAAAAGGAGUUCAAUAUCUAUACAAUUAAAGAACAUAGAGUUGGUGAUGGAGCUAGAUGAUGAAAAGUCUCAAAUAUUAGCAUUGAAAUUGGAUAGAAAUCAACAAAUGAAUGAUAUUAUCCGCUCUCAAAGAGAUGUUAAAUUUGAUUUCUUCGGGAGAAGGUCGAAUAUGAACUAGUUUAAGGAUUCUGUGAUUGCUAUCGUAUCAUGUUCAAUUGAGGAAAUUCUAAAGAAAUGACUGAAACAAGUAGAGUGCAAAUUGGUCGAUAUUCUGAAAAUGAUGAAGAAGUAAGUUCGUGAGAUUACUAAGCUUUUUCCCGUUCGUUAGUUUAAUUUUGACAUUUAAAUUUUUGUUGUAUAGAAGAAUAAAACAUUAGAAAAGCAAGAGUAAGAUGGAAUCUGAUAACGAACCUCCACAUCAAGAUCUUAUUCAAACUCCUUCAUUUGAUUUAGGCGUUGGAUCCACUUAAAUGCCUAUGAAUUUAGGCGAGCCGAGUGAUCAGUUCACAGACAAACAAGUCCAACAAGAAGUAGGCGAUGUCAUAGCAAGAGUAUUGAAGGCCAUUGUGCUUCGUGAUCCAUAAAAAUUUACAUAUGAAAGUAGCAAUAAGACAGGUCACAUGCACAUUAAAUGUCAGACGUCAAAGGUCACACACAUACUACAUGUCUCAAUUCACAAAUGCAGUUACAAGUUACACAAUAGUUAGAGGUCAUAUAAAUAAAAAGUCACAGGUUACAAAUAUAAUACAAUUUACAUAUCACAAACUCAUCACAGUUCACAAAUUACAACUCACAAAGUAAUACAAGUCCAUAACAAAACAAAUGUGCAAGUAUCUAUUCACUUAACAUAGAUCAAAUACAUUUAGCCCAUGUUUGAACCUUAUUUUUUUCAAACUCAUUUUCAAUCGCACAUUCUUUCAUAAAAUAAUUUUACACGUAUACCUAAAGCUUUUUUUUUUUUUUUACCACAUUUUCCCAAAUAAUCAUGGGAAAAUUGUAGCAGUUCUCUCUAAUCUUUCACUUCUUUUUUGCAGAUUUUACCAUAACAUUCAAUUUGUGCCACCCACAGUUCCAAACCUUUCAAAAAUAUACGCAUCGAAAUCGUUCAUUUGACCGUUAGUUGACCAAUAAAAUUAAGUUUUGACCAAUUUAAAAGGAUAAAAGAGUAAUUUUGCUAUUUAACCCUAUAAAAAAAUUAAAAUAAAUAACUAAAACAAAAUAAAAGGAAAAAACUAUUUGCCUCUUUCUUUACCCCACCCAAAACCACCGCCCAAAUCCACUGAAACAAGACCUCCGCCUCAACUCUCCAAAUAGAGGUGACCCACUAGAGGUGAGCCAGUAGCUGUACUCGUUGCACUAUCAUUCUCCCUUUUCUCCGCUACGUGCACAAUGGCACUCUCCGUCUACACCACAGUAUAACUAAAUUUUCUACUCUUAUAUUCAUCGCCAAGGAUAUAAUAAUUUAUAUAUUUGCGUUUGUUUUGGAGUUCUCAGAAAUUGGAGAAGACGCCGAAAUCGUUCCUCUUUUAUUUUCUCUUCUUUUUCUUGCAGUUAUUGUGAGUGGGUGAUGAUGCUGGAGGGAAGGUGGAUCGAGGUUGCAUCGGGAAAAAGUGGAGAUGGUGGUGGACGAGAUGUCACUGUUUUCCAUGACGGAGAGUAUUUUGAAGGAGAAAUUGCGCUCUUCGGAUCUCAACCCUAUGGAUAGCGGUGUUCGACGGAGGCGAAGGUCUUGUUUAGGUGGAUUCGGCAAUGGGAUGGGGUUGGAGGUGAAUAGUUUUUUUCUUUUAUUUUUAUUUUGUUUUAAUUAUUUAUUUUGAUUGUUUUAUAGGGUUAAAUAGCAAAGUUGUCUUUUUAUCCUUUUAAAUUGGUAAAAGUUUAAUUUUAUUGGUCAACUAACGAUCAAAUGAACGUUUCCAUCCAUUUGGACUUCAAAUGCAUAAUUUUGAAAAGUUUAGGACUGUGGGUGGCACAAAUUAAAAAUUAGAGUAAGAUUUGCAAAAAAAGAAAGGUUAAAGACCGCUGCUACAAUUUUCUCAAAAAUCAUUAGGCCAAAACCCAAAAAAAGGGGCCUCAAAUGAGGCUUAAACCAUAUUUGUUGGGCUUUUUUUUUUUUUUAAUUUUGUUUUUAAAUAGUUGUUUUCAUUUACACAUUUUAGCCCCCGUUUGGUGCACAUUAUUUGAAAAAAUAAUAUAUUUUUUUCAUUAAAUCAACCUACAAUAUUUGACUUCAACACUCUAAGAUAGGACUCAUGAUGUGAUGUUUAAAAUGCAUUUUUGUUGGAAAAAUGUGGAACAAACGACCCUUAUCCGUUAAAAUAUAAUGCAAGUAAAUUCCAGACUUUUCUAUUUUUUAACAGCAUAUUUUUCAAAAUUUUACUAUUUAAUUUUUUAUUAUUAUUAUUUUAUUUAUAUAAUGGCCAUCAUCAAUAGGAGCUUAACGUUGUGUUGACGCUAUGAUGCUGGGAUCUCUUCAGUACAGGAAGAAGAAGAUAAAACCGUGGAACUCUCGGGACUCCUAGGGAAAAGGGCACCUAAACCAGCUAAGAUACUCCGGUUUCUGUUCGUCGCUGAUGAAGGAAAAUCAAUGUUAAAUACAGCUAAGUUGGAUGGUGCAACGCCUAUUUUUCAAAACUAUUCUACUCAUGCCAAAGAUGCAGUUCUGGUCACAUUCCACAACUGGUUGACAGGGGAUUUAUUGAAUAUUUUUUAUGAGAUUUUUAUUUUUUCCGGUUCUUUUGUACCAUUAUUUAUUGCCUUAAAUCUUGUAUAUGCAGAAUUUGUUCUUCAAUUAUUGCAAUGAGUGGAUAGCUCUGCUUUGAGAAUCCAAGAAAUUCGUUGAAUUUUGAUUGUCAUUUUCGAGAAUUAAGCGACCCAUUUGAAAUUUAUUUAUUAUUAUUAUUUUUUUAAAACUCAUAAUAAGCUAAAAUUUUUGCACCCACGUCAGGGUUUGCAAAUAAAGUUAGCGCCUUUGGUUCCUUGAAGCCUGAGAAUCAGGACGUUAGGUUUGAUUCGAAAGAGACCAUAUAAAAUUGGGGAAAAGUGUUUGUGUUAACGCCAGUUCUAGUACCCUUUUAGAACUUGUGCCUGAAACCAGGAAAAUUUUGAAUUUGUGAUUCCCAUGUAUGAUCCUUCUAAGGGCCUUGUGGUGGAUCUAGCUGUUAUAGGUGGUGGCCCUGCAGGACUAGCGGUCGCCCAGCAUGUUUCAGAAGCUGGGCUAUGAGUUUGCUCGAUUGAUCCUUUACCCAAAUUGAUAUGGCCCCAAUAAUUACGUUGUUUGGGUUGAUGAAUUUGAGGGCAUGGAUUUGUUGGAUUGUCUUGACACCACCUGGUCGGGUGCUAUGGUUUUCAUUGACGACAAGACAACUAAAGAUCUUGAUAGACCUUAUGGGAGGCUAACAGGAACCAGCUGAAAUCGAAAAUGAUGUAGAAAUGCAUUUUGAAUGGCGUCAAAUUUUAUCAAGCUAAGAUUGUGAAAGUAACUCACUAGGAAUCAAAAUCUUUGUUGAUUUGCGAUGAUGGUGUUACCAUUCAGGCUGCUGUGGUUCUUGAUGAGACCGGAUUUUCCAGAUGUCUUGCACAGUAUGAUAAGCCUUGUAUAGCUUACAAGAUUUGGGCAGAAGUGGAAGAACACCCUUUUGAUGUAAAUAAAAUGGUUUUCAUGGAUUGGAAUGACUCACAUCUCAACAAUAAUAAAGAGCUGAAGGAGAGAAAUAGCAAGAUUCCAACUUUUCUCUAUGCAACGCUAUUUUCAUUCGAAAAGAAUAUUCCUUGAAGAAACAUCCCUUGUAGCUCGUCCUGGAGUGCCUAUGGAUGACACUAAGGAAUGAAUGGUAGCUCGGCUUAGUCACUUAGGUAUAAAUAUUAGAAGCAUUGAAGAGGAAGAGCAUUGUGUAAUUCCAAUGGGGGGCCGUCUUCCAGUUUUACCUCAGAGAGUUGCUGGGAUUGGCAGUACAGCUGGGAUGGUGCACCCGUUGACUGGGUAUAUGGUGGCAAACUACUGGCAAUGACUCUGGCUGCAGUUGUCGCCAAUGCAAUAGUUCAAUAACUAGGCUCUGAGAGAAGCCUUUUUGGGUCGGAAUUGUCUUCAGAAGUUUGGAAAGAUUUGUGACCAAUAGAAAGUAGACGCCUAAGCGAGUUCUUUUGUUUUGUUUUGGAUUUCUUCUCAAGCUUGAUUUACAAGCCACCCGAAGGUCUUUUAAUGCUUUUUUCGACUUGAAACCUCGUCAUUGGCAUGGAUUCUUGUCACCUGGGCUAUUUCUCAUACAUCUCAUACUUUUCGGGCUCUCUUUUUGCUCCUUCCAACAAUACUUCUAGGAUAGAGAUCAUGGCAAAAGGCACUGCUCCUUCUGUAAAGAUAAAGACAGAGAGCCCACAAUUUUCAUCCCUGUAUGUCGACCCUAGUUGCGAUAUCUCUUUAUUGCUUUAACCUUUUAAGUAAAUGCAGUACGAGUUAGCUUCUUUUCAUCGCAUCUUUUUCGAGUUUCCUCUUUCUGAGUGAGGGAUUAUGUUGACUGAACUUACCAUUGUACAUAACUACAGAACAUAUAAUCAUAUCUUUCCAUACAGAAGCGUAAUUUUUUGUGCCAGUUAAGUCCAUGGGUAUCAUUUCGGUAAGCUGUUAAUUUCAUUUUCUCUGCCUGCUAUGUCUACUGGAUUUUCUCUACUUCAAAAUUUCGUCAUGUCUCUAUUAUCUCCAUACAAUCCUAAGUAUAAAAAGUGAAAAAUAAAAGACUCGACUUGUUUUCCGGUGGACGUAUUGCUGCCUCAUCUCAAAGUUAAAUGCAACCCAAAUCAUGAAGCCUCUGGAAAUCAAAAACAUAUUUUUCCUUUUCUCCUUUUUCAUAGAGCAGAUUCUCAUGAUUGUAGCAAUAAUCUGGUGUACAUUUGAAUACUACCAGACAACAUGGCAAGACAAUAAGCAAUCACCCAAAAAUUGGCUGUAGUCCUAGAAUAUUUCCUUUCCAAUGUUGUAAUUACUGAAACAUUGGCAUGUAUACUGUAUAUAUUGUCUUUCUCAACACUCGAUCAACUAAACUUCUUUAGUAUUAUAAAACUCAUUUCACAGCUAUACUAAUUCUGCCAUAUGGAUAUACAUUUUAGUUACACUACACCAAGAAUUCUCUACCCGGAAGAUGGCAAGAGGCUUAAUCUCGUAAUUUAAGACAUUAAGGCUUGUUCAUUAUCAGACGGAAGAUCCUUGAAUUGACGAUCUCAGUACUCCAUUAUUCUCAACAUAUCCAUCCAUAAUGCUAUUGUAGUAUUGCCUUGUUUUUGUUUUUAUUUUUUUAAUGCAGUUAAAUCUUGCCCCUCACUUGAUUUAAUUUCUUGCUCCGCCUCUUGCAGGAUUAGUUACAGUAAAAAUCAAUGAUUAAGGAAUUAAACAAAUAGUUUGAUUAAACAUGCACAUCACAUACAAUACCACAAAAAUAGGAAAUUAUUUUGAUUGCUUUAAAUGGACAGUGACAUACUAAAUUGAGCGAAAUUUUAUCCUAGAAUCAAAUUGGGCUCGUCGGUUCAACUGGAAAAAAAAUGGAAAGUGAUCCAAAAUUAGGUCCCGUAACAUGUGAUUUCCACAAGAUGAAAACUAUAAAAAACGGUAGUUUUAGGAAAUUUACAUGAGAGAGGAUGAUUCUUUUGAAUAAUUUGUAAUAUCUUCAAUUAAAUGUUAUUCAUUACAACAACAUACAAGGAGUCCAUUAAGUACACAACAAAGCCCAAAUGAAUAGUAAAAAAAAAAACCAACACACAAAAAAACCCAAACGAACAGUGUAAUAAAAAAAAAAAAAAAAAAAAAAAAAUUACAAAAAAAAAUGUUUCCCCAAAAAACAUUUGCAAAUGAAGAGCUUCUCCUUGUAGGAGAUGCUUGUCUCCUUAGGAUCGUGGAAAAGCAGAAAGAUAUGUCUGCCCCGCACUAAGGGCAAGGGUAAAAAUUGCACCUAGAAAGGCAAUGACGGUCCAAGGCCUCCUGAAAUGUUGGUACAUCCAAUUAGCUAUCCAAAAUCGGCAUUUAUUCCUGCAAUACGUUUCAAUCUUUCCCUUAGCAUAUGCAUAUGCGUAAAGAUCAGGUACCAAAUCAGGUACCAAACCAUCAGCUAUCUCGUUAAAGAGUGUGGCCAAGUGUUCGUCACUGCCUAGAUUGUUGACAAGAAUUCCCUUCUUUCGGAGCUCUUUAACAUCAUUGGCAUGAUCAAUGAGUGAAUCCAUUAGCCAAAUGUAUGACGUAAUGUGAGAAUCAUGAGGGCCAUUAGGACUCAUUUCGUAAGCCACUAAGUUUAAUAGCAAAGGUUUUGUUGUAUCAUCAACCACCAAACGAGGAAGCAUCAUAAUUCCAUGAACAAGGCUCUCUUUGAACAUUACAUCAGUAACACAAUGAGUUUUACUUGCUCUAAAAAGAAUUCCUGCUUCUUCGAGCUCUGUUACUGAACGAUAGGAAUUCCAUUGAUUUGAUUCAUCCAUGGUUCUCUCUUUAUGAUUAGGCUUAGCUGGCCCAGCGAGAUGUUUCCACUUUAGGUCUAGAAGGUGAGGGCUUGCAUCCAAUUGUAAUUUUCUUUUGUCGUUUGUUUGACCACCAGGACAGUGGUCAUUGACAAAUUUCUUGACCGCAUCACAACAGCUUUUAUUGACAAAUUUCUUGACUGCAUCACAGCAGCUUUUAUUGGCAAAUUCCUUGACCAAAUUAGUGCAUGAAAUUUUUUCAGGUGGCCUUAUGCCAGGGAAAAGGUCAAGGAAAUCCGAAAUCAGCUUUGUAUUAUCUCCGAACCUGAAUUUCAACAAAACUUCUAGUACUAGUAAAGGAAUUUGAUUCUCUAACAAGAACAAGUCCCUCCACACAAAAGCACAGAGGUAACUCUUCAUUGUAGGUAGUUGAUCUUCUUCUUCUUUUGGUUUUAUCGUUGUUAAGAUGUACAUAUAUUGAAGCACAAAGCAGGCAUCAAGAAACAUCAUUUUGGUGAACGAUUCAUUGUCAUAGCAUGUAGUUGUGCCUUCCUCAUAGUAUUCUCGGGCACUGUCAGCCACCUUCGCCACCUCUGCAUAUAAUUGAUUGAUAGAUAUUUGAUCACCACAGGCAAGGCAGAAUUGAUUUGCAAAUUUAAAUUUUAGCUUCUCUACUGCUUCGAGCUCUGGAUUUCCAUGAUGAUAAGGGCCUAUUGAAACUACGAGAGGAACAUAACAUUUUUUGUUGGAUUCAACCUCACGCAGCAUUGAUGGAACCUUUUCUAUUCGCUGUUUCUUUGUUGUGUCUUCAACAUAGUUCUUUAUAUUGAUUAACCACUCAUCCACUCUAAUUUUGUUGCAAGCAUGAAAUUGCGUCUGCACAUAUUAUUAGGUUGGAAAUUUUGGUAAAGCGUCGUGUUUGUUGAUACUACAGUUUGAAUAAAUAUGAUAUUAUACAUUUGUACACGAAAAUGAUACACAUGUUAAGACUUAAUGAUAAAUGAACUUGAUGACAACAUCAAACAACCGACAUCAAGCAACUAUCAGUGGCAUAUAGGCCAUCAACGUGGAGAUUUGAUGAUAGGAUGGUGAAAGUCGAACAAAAUAAAAUUUAUAGUCUUUCAUUAUUGAAAAUUAACAAGACAUUGGUUUCCUAUCAAGUAUAGAUACAAAUUUUACAUUAUAAAAUUGAUAUCAAAUAUUUUACCAUAUCAAAAAGAUCGGGUUGAAUGUUUGGUAAAGCUUAGAUUUUCAUUUUUCAUUUUUUAUUUUGGUUACACAUGCUUUUAGUUCACACACACACACACACACACACACACACAUAUAUAUAUAUAUAUAUAUAUAUNNNNNNNNNNNNNNNNNNNNNNNNNNNNNNNNNNNNNNNNNNNNNNNNNNNNNNNNNNNNNNNNNNNNNNNNNNNNNNNNNNUAUAUAUAUAUAUAUAUAUAUAUAUAUUUCAUAGAACCUAAAUUUCGGGUUGGCAACGGUUCGGUUCGGUUCGGUUCGGUCCGGUCAAAAUCAUCACCGAACCACCAAUUUUUUGGCCUUACCAUAACUGCACCAUAACCACUUAAGUUAGAUCGAUCUGACUCGAUUCGUAUCUUAGGUCGGGCUAUUAAUAACCACAAAAUAAUUUAUUCUUUUAUAGGUCCAGCCAUCAAAUUGAAAAAAAAAAAUUAUGAAAAAGAAAGUCAAUGAAAACAAAAGCACAAUACUAAGUCAAUUUAGCAAAAACAAUAGUCGAAACAAUGGGUAGAGCAAGUAGAGAUAAAGUUUCCACUUGGGAUGGACUAAAACUUUUUUUUGGGCCAAACUUUUUACUAUGCCCUACACAGAACUAUCUAUUUUCUAAAAUAAUUAACUUACAAAUAUAUACCAUCUUUCAUAUUGAGAAUUUAUGUGAAUGAACUAGAAUUUUGGUGGAGAAUUGUUAUGUAUAUGAGAUUACAAUGAAAUUAGAUUUAGAACUUGACGAGACUUUUUGUAUCCCGUAUAUAUUAUUUUCUCGUUUAAAGGACUUAAUUUUAUAUAUAACACUCUCUUGAAAGAACAAUUUAUGAUUAUUUUUUGUGUAACACGGUAUUAUUUAUAAGCAAUAAUGAUUAAGAUUAAUUAGCUAGUAGUAAAAUGUGCCUAUAUUAACAAUCGGACAUUAUCAUAAGCAAUAAAAGACAAAAACGCAAAGUAAAAAAGUUUUAAGGAAAAUGUUACCAUUCGCUCCCAAGGUAAGCCUUGCAUUUUUAUGUUGUGCAUAGACUUGGGAAGUACAGUGUUGGAGUACUAAGAAAAAUAUUUUUUGUUAUUGUAUGACAUAUGAAAUAGUCUUAUAUUUAUACAUGUCAUAAGAAGGGAAUCUCUUAGACAAACUUAAUUUUGUAAAUCACUUUAGAAAACUUCCAACUUAAUUUUGAGCAAAUGAUAAGCAUAGAAUAUUUUUACAUAGUAAAGAUUAUGCUUUUCAGAAUAAAAUGUUAUCUUUCCAGCCAUCCAGAGUUAUAAUUUGUCUCUUCUUCCAUUAUAAUGUUUUCCUCUUUUGCUUCUCCUCCAUUUUUAGAGUAUGAUAUUGUAUACUCUUUGGUACAUUGUUAAGUCGAGCAAGAUUACAAACUCAAGAAAUAUUUAAUUUGACCAGAAGCACAAUGAGCUUAAGAUACAUUAUUUUGGUAACUUGUUAGUAGAGUUCACAAGAAAUUGUAACACGGCCGUAGAACAAAGGUUAGCACUUCGAGUUUGAACGAGUAAAUAAGUUCCAUUAAACUAUCUAAAAGGAUGUGACUUGAUCUCUCGAUGAGUUUUAGUAAAAUAUUAAAGUUCGACUUAAACAACAAAAAGAUGGUGUAUAUAAUAGAUUUACAAAAUGGUUUAUAUAUAGAUGAAAUGUCAAAAAGACGGUGGAUAAUUUUUUUUUGUUGAAGAAGUUCUGAGCCAAUCAUAUCUCACUACAUCAUUUAUAUGUAAAUCAUUAUAUACAUAUAGCAUAAUCGUUGUAAAAGCGUCUUGUCAAAAUUCAUUUUAACUUGUAUCUCAAGCAAAUCCUAGUGUUAUAAUUGAUUACAAUCGUAUUAUAUACACUUUUACAUGUAUCUCGUGCGAAUCCUAGCGUUGUGUAUAACACAAAUAUAAUUAUUUUAAACAACUUUAACAAGCUUGGAAUUGUACUAUGAUUUGUUCCCACUUGGUGCCUUUUUUCUUUUUUUUCAUCAUUAUCAUCACAAGUUUGGAAUAUUAACAUGCUAAACACAAGGAAUAAUCAAACACAACAGACACACCAAGCAAGGUGUGAAACUGCAAGUUAUUAAAAUAUCUUGAUAGAUUAGUGUUUUUUUUUUUUUUCAUUAUAAUCACUCUUUCGUAUUUUGUCAAGAUAAUAGAAAAUCGAGAUAUACAAGAAUGAAAUUUUCAUUUAUCAAGUAGUGGAGAUUAGUGUCAACGUCUCAAACAUAGUGAAGUGAAGUAAACAAUAUUAUUUGUGCUCCUGUAUUUUAUUUAAAAUCAAAAUCGACAAUGAAUUUUAACCAAAUAUUGACCCACAACUUUAUCAAUUUUUAUUAAAGUUUAUUAAAAAUAUGAUUUCAAUCCCUAUUAAAUAGGAGCUAUUUAUAUAUUAAAGAAGAAAAAUAGUUAUAACCUUAUUAUAUAUUGCUUAAACAUAUUUAGUACUUCACACCAACCAUGUUAUGCUAAAAUCUCACACAAGUACAAAGAAGCAUAAUAAGUAAUAAAUUGAUCUAAGAGUCCAAAUUAUCAUUUUCGCGAGGAUCUCAUAUUCUGCUUAAUAUUAACUUUAACUGAAAUAGCAAAAUUGUAUGGUGAUUGUGAUUGAAUAUUCAAACUCUAUGAACUGACUAAAUAUAAAGCGUUAAACUAAACCACAAAGCGUUUAUGAACAUUCUUUUAACUAAAAUCAAUAGGACCUCGAAAUUCCCUAUAUUCUUCCAUUUUAAUAUCAACCCAAGUAAUUGACAAUAAUUAUUUAGACUCGACGAUCAAUUUUUUUAUUUAAUAAUCUCUCUUAAGUAAUGUUAAAUAUAUUUCCACAUAUAACCUUGUUAUAUUUGUACGAAGAGUGUGAAUAAAUGAAAUUCCCUAUAUUUGUACGAAGAAUGUGAAUAAAUGAAAUUCCCGAUAUUCUUCCAUUUUAAUGUGAAAUAUAUUUCCACAUAUAACCUUGUUAUAUUUGUUAGAUCAAUUUUUUUUAUUUAAUAAUCUCUCUUGAGUAAUGUUAAAUAUAUUUCCACAUACAACCAUGUCAUGCAAAAUAUAUUGGUAUAUUUAUUUAUUUAUUGUCAGAUUGUUACUACUUACUACAAUUCCUAUUCCUUCUCUCAAGAAAAAGAAUCACAAAUUCAUUCAAUUAUUGAUCAAGUAACUGAAAGCAUUAAUAACCUAACAAUCAAUCAAGCUAAACAAAUAAUUAACAUCAAAGUAAAAUUAAUAUUAAAAUUUCAAAAUAUAAUGUUCAUCGUCAUCAUAUUAUCUAUAAAAUUAGGCAAACAUCGUAAAAUUACAAAAACGUGUGUGGGAAUAGUAAGACCGUAAUGCUCCAAAACCUAUGCACCGGAGGUUACUUGAAUAAUCGCUUUAACCAUUAUAAAAGUUGAUUGGCACAUUAUAACAUAUAAAAAAUUUUGAAGAAACAUAGCGGAAUACACUAAACUAUCUUUUGUCUCAUAAAAAGUCACAUAAAUUUAAAUCACUAAUGAAAUAUAAAUUUAGCACUUAUUUUUUUAAAAUUCAACAUUGAUUUAAAAAAAAUUCUAAUUUAAAUAAAAAAAUGUUUUCUAGCUAUAUACUAAAUAUUAAAAGAAAAUCUUAAAUUCUUGAUCUAGCAACACGGACUCUAUUAGCAGUCUCAACUUCCAACUCCGAUCCAUCAAGCGUCUGUAAAAAUAAUUUAAAAUAUGGAAUGAGCAUAUGAAUAUACUCAGUAUAGAUUUCAUCUCAGUAUUUUCACGAUUUAAUAUGAAAAGAAAGUAAAAAUACUUACAUAACAUAACUUUCUUAGUGGGAUAAAAAUCUGAUCGUCUCAUUCUCACUUAAAUCAUAUUCAUUCUCAAUCUCUACUUAAGGUAUUUAACCAUGUGGCUGAUUUUCGUGUAGAUCUACAUAUUAGUACCCCAUGGUAUUUCCCACAACAUCUUUCUUUACUUUGGAUCACAUAAUAGCACAUAAAAUACUUAGCUUAAAACAUUAAAAAGUGGAAACACAAAAUCAAUCGGUAUUUAGAAAAAUUCAUACCUAUUCGUUAAAUUCCUUGUGUGCUUGAGCUAUUUAGGAUUGAAAAUUCUUGCGAGCGAAUCUCGAAUGCGCCGAAAAAUUUUCUUUUCUUUUCUUUCCUUUCUCUCUCUUUCUUUCAUACGUUUUUUCUUUCUUUCUACCUCUCUAAAUUUGCAUGAAUUAAAGUGCACAAUAAGAGGAUAUUUAUAGGUGUGAUAAUGAUAAUGAUAUACUUAGAAUUUAAAUUGGACUCUCAGCAAACAACCUUAUCAAAUAAAAUUUAAUUACAUGAGGAUAAUAUUCUAGUAUAAAUAUGUUAAAAUCCUAAAUUUAUCUAAACACCUUUAUAUUAAAUCAUCCGAUAAUAAUUCAACAUAUAUCCAAACAUUAAAUUUUAAUUUCGUUAAAAAUCUUAUUUUCAUAGGUAUGAUAAAAUUCUAACCUUCUUUAAAUACUUUCAUAUCAGAUAAUUUAAUUAUAAUUUAUUAGAUAUCCCAAAUUUAAUUUUAUGUAAAACUCAUAUAAAUUCAAUUAUUAGGAAUAUUAACACAAGAUCCUAGAAAAUGGUUAAGUUGCUUAGUCACCCUAAAAUUUCAAAACGUAGAGUUAUGCCUCAUAAUAUAUUGUACGAAUAUUUUGGGUAUUACAUCCUCCCCUCCUUAAAAAAUUUCGUCCUACAAAUUUACCUUGGUUAUCGAAAAGUUGUGAGUAUUUAGCUUUAAUAUCUACUGCCAUGCGUUUUAUGCAACGUGAUUUAUACCGCAAGUGUACGAUGUCAAGUUUUGUAAUAUAGUAUUAGAGUAAGAGUAUUGAACCCAUAGGGAUUGAUAUUUAAAUCAUUUUGAGUACUAUAAUUAUUUCGGCUUUCACUUUAUUUAGAAAAUCAAACUUUAACACGAUGUUUUAUACUAAAUGAAAGUAAAUGGGAUGAACGAUGCAAGUAAACAAGGGCAAUUUGAAAAGUUUCUUAUCAAAUUAUGAAUGCCUAGGGAGUGAUUUCACUGUACUAUCGACAAUAUUUUUCAACCGUUAUAACUAUUUCUAUCAAUGUUUCCAAAAUUUAUAGGCAAGAACGCUAAAUUAAUUCCAUUUCCCUCUCUCAAGAGUCAAAUAGAAUCUAUUUCUAUAUUUUAAUUUCAAUAUCUCUAUUCCGAACUAAUACAUAAAAAUCAUCAAGAACUUUGUUCUUAAUUUAAACAAGCCUCAAAAAUAUCGCAUUUUCUCGUGAAACCUACAAAAUCUAGGUUAUAUUGUCUUAGAUCACGCUUAAAUUUGUCUCUCUCGAGCCCCGAAAUUUAAAGCAUCAAUCAUUCAAUUAGUGGCCAGUUAAUUGAAAGUAUUGCACAAGAAUCAACAUAAAUAAAUAAACGAAAAUAUUAAAUAAAAUAAUUAUAUCGGAAUCAAAACAUGUCUAAGUAUGUUACAUCAAAAGCUAGAAUUAAUGUUUAGUUCAUGAUGGAAGAAUUAAAUCUAAACAAAUUGAUGAAUAACAUAAAGAGAAAAAGAAAGAAAAACUCUUUUGAAGCUUUUAAUUGGAAUUUCCCUUGAUGUUCUUCAUGCCUUAUUGCCCUUGAUGAAUUUUCUUCAAUCUUUUCCCCUUCAAUUGUUGUGUUUGGCCCUCAUCUUCUUCUUCAAAAUAGGGUUUUUUGAAUGGUAUUUAUAGUAUGUUGGGAUCUUGGACAAAUUAGGGUUGAAUUGGGCCAAGAAAAGAUUCCAAAAAUAUAAAAAACGUGUUUUCCUGCAUAUCCGACAUCGAUAUGGACACUGCGGCACCAGGCUUGCUGCUCAAAUUCAGAUUCAUGGGCAUUGCGGCACCCAGAUUGGGCGACUCGGCACUCAGUUCGGUCGGAAACGAUAGACUGCACAUUCUUCAAUAUUUUUAAUAUAAUUUCUUCGUCCGAUGUCCAAUUGAGGUGAUUUAAGAUGCAUUGAAAAGUUAACUCAAAGAGCUACAAUUUUGAUUCAGGCAUUAUUCUCCAACUCAAUCGUUUAAUUUUUCAAAAAACAGGUCUCAAUGUGAGGCUAAAAUUCUGGAGCGUAACUUUUCGGUUGGAAAUUGAUUUGUGAUCAUAUUUUGCCUAAAUAUGAUCCCUUUGACAUCUUUCCUCAUCCAGUUGACUCCUAACACUCUUGAAUCUUCAUCGUGAGGUUCGAUACAAGUUUUGAUUAUUUUCAUUUUAGUCCCUGAACUUUGAAUCUCGUACAAAUUGGUCAUUUUUCUUCAAUUUCACCAACUUUUGCUUAUUUCUUUCAAUUUCAUCAACUUACAUCACAAUACAAAAACACUCGUUAAAACGCUCUAAAACACUCUCAAGGAUAGGAAAUAACGAAUGAAGUGGUACAAACAUAAUGAGUAUGUAGCACUCAUCAUCUACCUCAUGUUUCCAAGUGGACUUUUCCAUCGUGUGAUUCCGCCACUGGACCUUUACUAAUGGAAUUUCUCUAUUUUCGAAGUGUUCGAAUCUUCCUAUCCAAGAUGACGCUUGGAGUUUCCUCGUAAGUUAGAUCUGAAUGAAUGUCUAACGAUUUAGGAUUAAUCACAUGGCCAGUAUCUGAUACGUAUUUUUGAAGCAUAGAGAUAUGAAAGACAUUGUGUACUACUAAAAGCUCAUAAGGCAAUGCCAACUCGUAAGCCACAAAUCCCACACGUUUCAAAAUCUCAAAAGGUCCUAUGUAUCUUGGUUGGAGCUUUCCGCUUUUGCCAAAUUGAACAACUCUCUUCAUAGGAGUUAUUUUUAGGAAAACUUUGCUACCAACCUCGAACUCAAGAUCCUUCCUCCUAUUAUCUGCAUAACUUUUCUAUCAAUCUUGGGCGGUCUUUAUUCUAGCCCAAAUCUUCUCAAUACCUUAAAUUGUUCGCUCAAUAAUCUCAUGCCCUAGAAUUCUUCGCUCACCAAACUCAUCCCAAUGAGUUGGAGAUCUACACCUUCUACCACACAAAGCCUCAUAAUGAAUCAUUCAUAUAGUAGUUUGAUAGGUAUUAUUAUAGGCAAAUUCUACUAAUCAUAGUUGUUUUUCCAGUUUUCUCCAAGAUCUAGGACACAUGCUCGAAGCAUGUCCUCAAGAAUUUGAAUAGUCCUCUCCGACUGACCAUCUGACUGUGGAUGGAAAGCUAUUCUGAAGUUUAGCUUAGUCCCCAUUUCCUUGUGCAUACUUUUCCAAAAUUUUGAAGUGAUCUCGGAUCUUUAUUUGACAAAAUAGAGAGGAGGGUCCCAUCUAAUCUAAUCACUUCUCUAACAUAUAAUGUAAAGAGUGAACCGACUUUGUCAAUCUAUCAAUAAUAACUCAGAUUGCAUCAUUUCCCCUAUUUGAUUUUGGAAAACCAAUUAAAAAUCCAUGGCAAUGUGCUCCCAUUUCCAUUUAUGAAUUUCUAGUGGGUUUAAUAAUCCUAACGGUUUUGAUGUUCUGCUUUCACUUGCCGGCAAAACAAGCACUUCUCUACAAAUAGACCUAUUCCUCUUUUCAUAUUUCGCCAUCAGAAUGUGCUUUGAAGGUUUUUAUACAUCUUUGUUCCCCCGGGAUGUGCUGCAUAGAGGGCGAAGUGAGCUUCUUCUAAUAUUUCUUUUUGUAUUUUCUCAUCCUUCGUUACACACAAUCUUCCUUUAAACAUCAAUGUAUUAUCUUCAGCUAGCUCAAAACCUUUUCGUUUGCCAGUGCCAACUUUACCUCUAAUCUUUUGUAGAAAUGGAUCACUAUCCCGAGCUUUCUUAACUCGAUCUCGAAUAGUAGGUUGAACUGUAAGAGUAGCAAUUUGUGCUGCAAUAUCUAUUGGAGGUAAGAUCACCUCAAGUCGUAAGUUAUCUAUAUCUUUGAUUAAUGAUUUCUGUGUAGUAGGUAAAGCUAUCAAAUGUCACACCAUCUUUCUGCUUAAUGCAUCAGCCGCUACAUUGGCCUUUCAUAGAUGAUAAUGAAUGGCACAAUCAUAAUCUUUCACCAUUUCUAGCCAUCUGCAUUGUCUCAUGUUCAAUUCCUUUUGGGUGAAGAAGUACUUUUGGCUCUUGUGGUCCAUAUAAAUGUCACAUUUAGCUUUGUAGAGAUAGUGUCGCCAUAUCUUUAGUGCAUGAACUACUACCGCUAACUCCAGGUCAUGCGUUGGAUAGUUUUCUUCAUAGGACUUUAGUUGUCUGGAAGCACAUGCGAUAACUUUACCGUGCUGCAUAAGUACACAUCUUAGACCGUGUUUAGACGCAUCGCUAUAGAUAACAAAGCCUUCUGACCCUUUGGGUAUGGUCAAAAUUGGAGCUAAGAUCAAUUUUUGUUUUAGUUCUUAAAAGCUCUAUUCGCACCUAUCCGUCCAUUGAAACUUCACACUUUUUCCCGUUAAUUGAGUCAUUACGAUGGCAAUCUUUGAAAACCCUUCAAUAAAUCGCCACAUAGUAACCUAUUAAUCCCAAGAAGCUAUGCACUUCUCUAACAUUAGUUAGUCGAGGCCAAUUGGUAAUUGUUUCUACUUUACUCGGGUCAACUUCAAUUUCUUCGGCUGUAAUUAUGUGGCCUACAAAUCCCACUCUAUUGAGCCAAAAUUCGCACUUUUUGAAUUUAGCAUAGAGCUUCUCCUUCUUCAGUAUUUCGAGAAUAAUCCUUAAGUAUUCUGAAUGUUCAUGCUCACUCUUCAAAUAGAUUAGUAUGUCAUCAAUGAAGACGAUAACAAACUAAUCCAGAUAGUUGUGGAGGACUCGAUUCAUGAGAUCCAUAAAGGCAGCUAGUGCAUUUGUCAAGCCAAAGGGCAUCACCAAGAACUCAUAGUGUCCAUAUCGAGUUCUAAAUGCGGUUUUAGAAACGUUAGUUGCUUUAUUUUUCAACUGAUGACAACUUGAUAUUAAAUCAAUUUUUGAGAAGACCUUGGCAUAUUGUAGCUGGUCAAAUAAAUCUUCAAUUCUAGGAAGGGAAUAUUUAUUUUUAAUUGUAAUAUGAUUCUACUCUCAAUAAUCGAUACACAUUCUCAUCAAUCCAUCCUUCUUCUUUAUGAACAAUAUUGGAGCUCUCCAUGGUGAGACACUAGGUCUAAUAAAAUCCUUGUCUAGCAACUCCUGCAAUUGUACUUUCAAUUCUUGAAGUUCUACUGGUGCCAUACGAUAAGGAGCCUCCGAAAUUUGCGUGGCACCCGAUACAAGGUCAAUAGUGAACUCGACUUCUCGAUUUGAAGGCAUUCUGAGUAAAUUUUCUAGAAUACAUCUGAAAAAUUCCUAACCACUAAGACUUCAUCAAUGGUUAACUUCUUCUAAUCAGUGCUGGUCAACGACUCUAAGAACCCUUAAGCUGACUUGUACAGCCUGCACCGCUGAUAUAAGUUGGGGUAGAGGUUUUACCCUUGUUCCAAAGAAAUGAAAUUCUUCUUCACCAAGUCGUUGAAAAAUUACGUCCUUCUCGAACAACAAAUGGUUACAUGAUUUUUCGACAACCAGUCCAUUCCAAAUAUAACAUCAAAAUCUUUCAUACCUAGGACCACUGAAUCUAUUUUUAUAAUCUUUCCAUCCAUUUCUAAAUUUAGGUUCCUCGCUAUGUAAUUUGCAUUAAGCACAUUCCCAGACGAUAAUGACGCUUCUAAUAUGUUAUCAAGGGGUACACAUUCUAUAUUUGACUUUGAAACGAAUAUCGAAGAAAUGAACAAGUGUGUUGCUCCUGAAUCAAUUAAUAUAAAAACGACAUGUCAGAGAUUGAUAUGAUACAUGUCAUUACAUUGCAGUCGAGCUCUACCUCUUUUUGUGUCAAAGCAAAAACUCUAGCCUUGCCCACCUUUUGAGCUUCAGCCUUCUUAGAUUGUCCCUCAAUGCAAUCUUUGGCGACGUGUCCUGGCUUGCCACAUUUGUAACAGAUACUCUUUCUUGCCAAGUAUUCUCAUUUGUGAAGUUUCUGACAUUUAAGACAUAGAGGUUAUAGAUUCUUAUCACGAAUAUUGGCAUCUAUUUCUGUCCUUCCUUUCUUGUUGGGACCUUUUCCAUUCUUUUGGCUAUUGUCGUACCAUUUGUGCUUAUCCAAGUAGACAGUAUGCUGCUUACUACUUUUACCAAUUUGGUCAUCAUCAAAGGCGUAUACUUGAGCCUUAUCCAAAACUCCCUGAUAAGUACCUAGUUGGAAUACUAACACUGCUUUUCUAAUGUCAGUUCUCAGUCUACACUCAAAGUGUCAGUUCUCAUACCUUAGAUCAUCAGUAAAUUUAUCUAAACUCCUUAAUAUUAAAUCAUCCGAUAAUAAUUCAAUAUAUUUCCAAACAUUAAAUUCUAAUUUCGUUAAAAAUCUUAUUUUCAAGUUAUAAUAUGAUAAAAUUCUAAACUUAUAUAAAUACUUUCAUAUCAAAUAAUUCAAUAGAAAUUUAAUAGAUAUCCCAAAUCUAAUUUUAUGUGAAACUCAUAUUUAUCCAAUUAUUAGAAAUAUUAACACAAGAUGCUAGUAAAUGGUUAAGUUACUAAGUCACCCUAAAAUUUCAAACAGCGCAUGUUAACGUAUAUAUAGUCAAAUAUAUUUGGUAAGUAUUUUUAGGGAUUAUAUUUAUCUAGUUUUCUUAUAUAUUAAAUGACUACACACACACAAAAAAUUGAGAACACAAUGAACGAGAAGUUUUUGCAAAAAUUAUCUCAAACGUUCAGUCCCUCUUUGUCAUGGUAUCAGAGCUGGGGAAGGAGUUCUAAAGCGUUGCCUUCCUCUUCCUGUUCGACGUGUUGGUUGCUAGUUGUUGGUGGCUGUGUGGUUUCCAGCCCUUGGUUUGCAUUUUUUUGGGUUCCGGUGCCAUUGUUUGUUGUUCUCUCUCGAAUCGUCCCAUUGGGUUCUCUCUUGUCAGCACGAACCCUUUGUUUCGAUCUUGGUGACGUCACUGUCUAAUUUCACUCGUCUCUUUGCAUCUCUCAGGUUCCAACAACAUUGGUGGCGGCUUUUCCAGUGAAUUCUGGUUGGUUUUUGCAGCUGGUGUCUUAGGUCACCGUCGUCCUUUCUUCCGAUCGAGAGAUUGUGAUGGUGAGAGUGUGUUUUUGGGUACCGAGUACAUUUUCUUUGGUUUAAGGCAAGCGUUCACGGUUUGGGCCUUAUUUGAUUGGGCCUUCUUUUGGUUUCAAUUUGUUUGAUUGGGCUCUCAUCCGAUUGAGUAUUUACUUCAGUCCUAUGCUUCAUCAUGUCAUCAGAUAAAUUAGAAUUCUUUCCCGUUCGUUUUAAUGGAAAAAAUUACUUAGCUUGGAAAUUUCAAUUUCAAUUAUUUGUCAAAGGUAAGGAGUUAUGGGGUCAUCUUGAUGGCAGUGAUCCCGCCCCUAAAGAUGUAGAAGCUUUGUCCAAAGGGAAAAUUAAGGAUGCUCGGGUUAUGACCUGAAUCCUUAGUUCAGUUGAACCUCACCUUAUUCUCAAUUUGAGACCUUAUAAAACUACUGCUAUGUGGGAUUGCCUUAGUAAUCCCACAUAAACAGGACAACACGGCUAGAUGUUUUCAAUUAGAGUAUGUGAUGGCUAAUUUUACACAAGGAAGUCUCUUAAUUGAAGAAUAUUUUUCAGGUUUUCAAAACCUUUGGGCCGAAUAUUCUUAUAUAAUUUAUGCUAAUGUUGCCGCUGAAGCUUUAUCGACUGUUCAGAAAAUGCAUGAGACAAUCAAAAGGGGUUAAUUCUUGAUGACGCUACGUCUUGAUUUUGAGGCUGCUCGGUCUAAUAUGAUAAAUCGUCAUCCUGUAUCAUCAUUGGAUACUUGUUUGGGUGAACUUCUUCGUGAGGAGAAACAUAUAGUUACUCAGGCUACCAUGGAAUAUAGGGAUACUAUUAGUACUCUUGUUACUAUGAUUAUGCAGCACAAGAAGGAAUUAAGGUCGAGACAUGUGUGCUGUCUAGUGCUAUAACUAUAAAGCUUUUGGUUACAUUGCUCAAGAUUGUCCUAAGAAUUACUGUAAUUACUACAAGAAACAAGGUCAUCACAUAUUUGUUUGUCCCAUUCGACCAGAAAAGAAGCAUACUAAUGUCUAUCAUGCCUCUAUCGAUGCCUCUAGCUUUGCGACAUUACCUAUUGCCUUGUACAUUGUUCCUAAUCCUGUUUCUGCAUCCACUCUUACUCUUGAAAGGGUACAAUAGAUGAUCAAUUCUGUUUUCUCUUCUUUUGAACUUUCAGGUACUCAUUCAACCUCUUUUAAGCUAUGGUUCUUUGACUCUAGAGCCUCUAACCAUAUGACCAAUAAUGUUAUUCCUCUGUCCAAUGUAAGAUAAUAUGAUGGGAAUCUAAAAAUUCACACCGCCAAUGGCAGUUCUAUGCUUAUCAGUGCUAUUGGUGACCUUUCUGCUUCUUUAACUGAUUUUUUUAUGUCUUCCACCCUUUCUACAAAUUUAAUCUCGGUUUGUCAAUUAGUUGAUAAUAAUUAUGAUGUUCAUUUCUCUCGUUCUGGUCAUGUUGUGCACGAUUCGGUGUCCGGGAAGAUGAUUGCGAAGGGGUCUAAAGUCGGAUGACUCUUUCCCUUGCAUAUUUAUCCUUUUCCUAGUGCUCAUUUACUUUCAUUUGCAUGUAAUGCUGUUAGUACUGAUAAUACGUAGUGGCAUAAACGUUUAGGCCACCCAAAUUCUGAUGUACUUCGUACUUUAUUUCGUUCUAAUUUAUUAGGUAAUAAAGGAUGUUCUUCAGAUCAUUUUUUUUAUUGUACUGCAUGCAAAAUUUUGCAAAAGUAAAAGUCUACUAUUUUUCUCUCAUGGAUCUCGUGCCUCACAAUGUUUUGAUAUUGUUCAUAGUGAUGUUUGGGAGAUUUCACCUAUUAUUUCUCAUGCAUGUUAUAAGUACUUUGUUACAUUCAUAAUGAUUUUAGUCAUUUUACUUGAGUUUAUUUUUUAAGAGCCAAAGUCAAGGUCUUUUCAGUUUUUAAGCGUUUUCUUGCUCUCAUUGAAACUCAAUUUUCUAGCGACAUAAAGAUCUUAAGAUCUGAUUUUGGGAGAGAAUACAUGUUAAAUGAGUUUCAGAACUUUCACCAAAGCAAAAGUAUCACAUCCCAACAUUCUUGUCCUUUGAUGUCGUAGCAAAACAGUGUUGCUGAGAGAGAAUCUUCACCUUCUAAAUAUAGCAAGAAUGCUUUUAUUUAAAGCAUCCAUACCCUCUCGAUUCUGGUGUGAAGCACUUUUCACAUCGGUUCAUUUGAUUAAUCGUUUACCCUCUCCUAUUUUAAAUCAUGCUCCUCCUUACUUUACGUUGCUUGGACAUUCACCGUCAUAUUCCGAUCUACGUAAUUUUGGUUGUGUUUGUUUUGUGCAUCUUCUUAUUCAUCUGUGACAUAAAAAACUUACUGUUCAGUCUGUUAAGUGUGUUUUUCUUAGCUAUGUUGUCUCUCAAAAGGGUUAUGUUUUCUUUGAUCCUCAUGCUUAACGUAUCCAUAUUUCUAGGAAUAUGGUUUUCUUUGAAAAUCAGUAUUUUUUUCCGUCUCAUGUUGAGCUGCCCCCUACAUCUUUAUCUAUCCUACCUAGCUUUUUUUAUUUUCCAAAUGUUGUAACACGAUUUAAACCAGGACUUGUGUAUGAACGACGUAAUUGUAAGUUUAGCACCAUUUCUUCUGUGCCCCUUUCAAGAUCUCGACCCGGCUCCAAAUCUUGCUACAACUCUUCGUCGAUCUACACAUCCUUCUCGUCCACCUGAUCAGUAUGAUUUCUCCUCUCCUAUCUCUCUUAUAGUUACUUUAUCUGCUAUUUUCAGUCCCACUUGUUACAAAGAGCCCAUGGAACAUGAGUAUUGACAGAAGGCAAUGUAAGCAGAACUUCAGGAACUUGAGGAGAAUCAUACUUGGAACGAUGUACCUUGUCCUCUUCACGUGAACCCUAUUGGGUGUAAAUGGGUUUUCUCUGUAAAACUUCAUUCUGAUGACUCUUUGGAUAAGUAUAAAGCUCGUCUUGUAGCUCUAGGUAACAUACAGAAAUUUGGGGUUGACUAUGAUGAGGCGUUUACUCCUGUCGUCAAAAUAACCACAAUUAGAGCAAUCUUAGCGGCUGCUGCCUCCCAGUCAUGGAAAUUCAUUAGUUGGAUGUGAAGAACGUCUUUCUUCAUGGCGAUCUUCACGAAGAGAUUUAUAUGAAGCUUCGCUCUAGUAUGACUACUUCAUCUUCUCAUAAUGUGUGUAGACUACAAUGUUUUCUUAUAGGCCCCCGAGCUUGAUUUGAAAAGUUCCGUACCACACUCAUUACCUUCAGUUUUACACAGAGUCAGUAUGAUUCUUCUCUCUUCGUCCACAAGUCUGCCUCAGGUAUUGUACUUUUUUUUGGUUUACGUGGAUGAUAUCAUCAUUACUGGCACUGACUGUGGUUUCAUUUUCAAGCUUCAACGAUUAUUGCAUGCCGCUUUUGAUAUAAAAGAUCUUGGUCAGCUCAUAUACUUCUUAGGACUGGAAGUUCAUUAUCGGCCUAAUGGUAUUUUCUUAAAUAAGCAUAAUAUAUUCAAGACCUUAUUGGGUUGGCUGGGAUGGAGGAGUCUUCUUCUGUGGAUACUCCUAUGGAAGUCAAUGUAAAAUACUAGAAAGACGAAUGGUAUCUUUUAGACGAUCCAAGUUUAUAUCGUCGCCUCGUUGGGAGUCUUAUCUACUUGACCACCACUCGUCCAGAUAUCUCCUAUGUCGUCCAUCAGGUUAGCCAGUUUAUGUCUUCUCCUCGACAUCUUCAUCUUGCAGCUGUUUGUCGUAUUGUUCGCUAUCUUCGUGGAUCACCUACUUGUGGGUUGUUCUUUCCUAAAGGGUCUUCUCUUCACUUUUUGGCCUACAGUGAUGCUGAUUGGGCUGGAUGUCCGGAUACUUAUCGUUCUACUACGGGUUGGUGUACGUUUUUGGGUGAUGCAAUGAUCUCUUGGAAAUGUAAAAAAUAGGAUCGUGUUUCUAAACCAUCUCCUGAGGUGAGUAUCGUGCUAUGUUUAUAGCUUGUUCAGAUAUUAUUUGGUUACGUGAUCUUCUGGACGAACUUGGGCUUUCUCAAACUUAUGCUACUCCCCUUCAUACGGAGAACACUAAUGCUCUUCAGAUUGCAAGCAAUUCCGUAUUUCAUGACGCAUCAAGUACAUUGAGGUUGAUUGUCACUUUAUUCGUGAUACUUUGAUGGAUCGAGUGAUAUCUCUUCCCUACAUUUCUUCUGAUCUCUAAGUGGCAGAUGUGUUCACCAAAGCACUAACUCGACUACGGCAUCAAUUCCUUGUUGGUAAAUUGUUGCUAGUUGACCUCCUAACAUCAAUUUGAGGGGGGAUGUUACCGUAUAUAUAGUUGGCUAUAUUUGGCAGUUAGAUUAUUUUUAGGGAUUAUAUUUAGUUAGUUUCCUUAUACAUUAAAUGACUGUACAUAUAUAUACACAAUAGAGAACACAAUGAAAGAAAAGUUUUUACAGAAAUUAUCUCAAUUGUUCGGUCACUUUUUGUCAGUGCAAUUAUGGCUCAUAAUAUAUUGUACGAAUUUUUUGGGUAUUACAGAGACACUAAGACAUCACCUGAAUUUCAAUUUAUAGUUCCAAGAUUAUUUUAAAUUGUGGACGAAUCACAAUAUUCCAUGUAGAAGUCGACUUAAAUUAGGCAACAAUUUUUUCUGUACGUAUUCACCUUGAACACCGGCAAUAAAUUUUCUCUUCUCGUGUGCGUAUAGUAUAAACCCUGCCAUCAUGUGGUUUAAUGCUUUCCUUCCCGUUCAAGUUAGUCCCUAAAUUUUCCUAUUGGUUUAGCUCGAGUCCCUUCCUAUUUACAUUGUGAAUCCUUCAUCAAUCAUCUUUCAAUUAUAAAAUAAGUUAAUCCCCAUAUUCCGUAAUUUGUUCUUUUUUAGUCGUUAUCAAUCGAUUAUGUUCCCUUUCUCAUCUAACAUCAGAUUUUUCUUAAAAUAAUCAAUAUACAACCAAAAUCAAGUAUCGAAGCAAUACAAGUACUCCCAAACGUCCAUUUUCAAUGCCAAGAUAUGUUAGACUUAUCACAAGUCAUUAAUUAGAAACUAUAUUCAACAAAAUGGGGAGUAAAUCAUUCCUUUAAAUUUAACUUGUAACGGCGAAAUUUUUUUCCUUUGAGAAUGUUAUUAACAGCCUCUUUUCGAUGAAAAAAAAAAAAGAAAAAGUAGAUUUUUUUUCCAAAUGUGUACUUACAUAUAUUCCUUUAAAUAGAACCGUGAAUAAUACAUGACUAUGUUUUGUGGUUGAAACGUUCAAAGUAACUUCUACACUAUCAAAUUAAAUAAUUUUUUUUUCACGUUAUAGAAAAUAUUAACCUUUUCAAAUAUGUUUAAAAACUUGGCAAGAGUAAUCGACAACGGGCUCCCCCACAAAAGGCACUAGUCGUGUGCAUUAUAUCACUGAAGGGUCAAUGACAGUCAAGUGUUCGUUGAGAGUCGAACGAUGACAACCUUUUGUCAUUAUUUGUAGGGACCAUGCUAUAUAUACAUAAUUUUUUUAUUUAAUCAUUUACCUACUACUCACAAUAGGAGGUGGGGCUACAUUUGGAAAUUUUUAUAUUCAUGGGGGGCCUGCGUGCAUUGUGAGAGGGGGACAACUUUCGGUACAAAUGAACUUGUCCCAUUUAGUAGUUUCUACUGUAAUUUGCAAUGAUGAUGAUAGGAAUUGGAUUGAGAAUAACAAAAAAAAUAUUAGUAUGUAAUUGAAGAGUAGCACGAGGAGUUGAGAAAGGUAAAAAAGAUAAAGAUAUGACGAUGAUAGGAAAAUUUUUAAAUAAUAUUACACACUAAUCCAACGACCCUAUAGUAUGGCUAGAUUCAUGACUGAAUCGAUUCUCACAACUAUACAUAAGUUUAUAUAAUACAUUGGACGGAUGAAUGUCCUAUAAGGGAUGUUCUAAGCAUACUCUCCUUACAACGUGUAAGUAAAUUCAAAUUACAAAACCAAUUUUGCUUUUGUUUUUAUGAUGCAUGGCCCAUUGAAAUUUGUUGACGAUGAUAAGAUGCCAAGUUCAAGUCUCCUAUUUUUCUUUGGCAACUUAGUUAAAAUUGUUUACAAACUCAAACUUUGUAUAAAUACCGUUUAACAUUGUUUUUUUCUAUAAUAGUUUAUGAAAUGGUAGAGAAAAUAUUUUCAACGUCGAAACUCUUUUUAUGCCUUCAAAGUUUGUAGAAAUUUGCAAACAAAAUGUGUGAGACUAGUUGACUAGCUGGAAAAAUAUGGAAGGUUGGCUGGCUGAAGGCACUUUGAUGCUUAAGUUAAUUUUGUUUAUGUAGAAAAUCUAAAAUCAAGUCGAGUUUUAGUAAAAUGUGUCCCCAUGUUUAUAAUAUAUUGGAGUUUCUGAAUUAAGAAAAGGAGUCAAUAGGAUCAUUGUUCUUAACUUAAACUCUAUGCGCCAAGCAAUUGAGAUAUUGAGUUUCACGCUUAUAGUUUCAAGCUUUAUCGACGGCUUCAGAACAAGCAUUGACCUCAAUAACAUGAAAUGUGUGAAAAUACAUUAUUAACUUUGAGUUCGAUUUUAAUCAGCUUUUUAUAACUGAACCAAAGUGGGGCUAUAAUGUUGUGGCGAAAAUAAAAUAAUGCCAGAAAAUAAAAAGCAAAUUACGUUGUAAAUCGAGGUAGGCCACUGCCGGAAGGGAAAUUGAACAAGCCCAUCUCACUAGGAUUGGUCAAAAUUGAAGAAGCUUCAGUGUUCAUGCCUUUUUUCCUUGCAUCCCAAGUAGAACCUAUAUAUAUACAAUCCUGUCGAUCAUUGAGAUAUAUACAUAUACAUAUACACACCGAGAGAGAGAGCGAGUGAAAUGGCAGAUUUGUUUAUUGAGCAGGCAAAGCAAUAUUCAGAGAGAAGGCCCAGUUAUCCACAGGAAUUGUUCCAAUUCAUUGCAUCAAAAACUCCAUCUCACGAUCUCGUUUGGGAUGUUGGCACUGGAAGUGGCCAGGCUGCAGCAUCUGUGAGUCUUUCUCCUCGAACUGCACAAUUUUGAGCUAAUUUUGUGUUUUCUUCACAAAUUAUGAUCCGGGACUUAGGUUUUAAGCCCUAAUCUCAAUUACUCGAUAUGAUAGUAAAAAUCUCGAUUUCAUUGUGUAUUGUAGUAGAAAAAGAGACAUUUCAAGUGGGUUCAGAAUUUAUUUAAAGAAUUAUGACUCAGUUUAAUUAUAUAUGGACUUAAUAUGAACCUCUGUAUUGUUUUUCAGUUAGCAAAGGUCUACAAGAAUGUGGUGGGCACAGACACAAGCCAAAAACAACUUGAUUUUGCUGCCAAAAUUCCAAAUGUGAGAUACCUUUGUACACCUCCCAAAAUGUCCAUUUCUGAGAUUGAACACACCAUUGCACUACAAUCCAGUGUUGAUUUAGUGACCAUUGCUCAAGCCAUGCACUGGUUUGAUCUUCCCACUUUCUACCAACAAGUGAAAUGGAUACUGAAGAAACCCAAUGGAGUAAUUGCUGCUUGGUGCUACACUGUACCAGAAGUCGACCCACAGAUCGAUUCUGUGUUUGGAAGAUUUUACUCCGUCGACAGUGGUCCGUAUUGGGAACAAGAACGAGACUUGGUUGAUCUUAAAUACAGAACCAUUGAUUUUCCAUUUGAGCCAGUUGAUGGAGUCGAUCAUACUGGGCCAUUUGAAUUCAAGGCUGAGAAGUUAAUGGAUUUGGAUGGAUAUUUUACAUAUAUAAGAUCAUGGUCUGCCUACCAAACUGCCAAAGGAAAGGGUGUGGAGCUAUUGACUGAUGCUGUUUUAGAGGAUUUUAAGGUUGCUUGGAAUGCUGAUGGGAAAAGCCAAAAGAUUGUCACUUUUCCUGUUUAUUUGAGGAUUGGCAAAGUUGGGUUAUCAAGUUGAAAGACUAAUCGUCUAUCGUGAAUGAAAUUUGAUAGAGAAUGGCAUCUUUGUAAUAAUCAGUUAACUUCGAUGAGUAUUUCAAUGCUCAAAUAAAAUAAGUUCCUAAACUUAGAAGUGGUGCCAACCAGAUCUAUACUCGAUUGCAAUGGCAGUGAACAGAUUGUAAACAUCUGUAUUUAUCAAAGUGCUUCCUCUUCGUGCUGGUUUUAUUAUCCACCGAAUUUUUAGUAUAUGUACUCAACAAGCAGCCUCCCAUAUUUAUUGUAAGGAUUUUAAUUAUCUUACUCGACUGUCAAUUUCACAAUCAAGUCUUCAUGACAUUAAAAAUCACGGUUACCUACACAGGUACAAAAUAUAUAAAAUGAAAAAAAAAAAAAAAUUGCUUAAAGAAUUAAAGUCUUUGCAUCCAUUCUUUCACUGCACGAUUGUUCUCUUGCUUCUCUUCGUUGUCCAGAAGUAUAUUUCGAACCAGGGUCAUGCUUGUUUCGAGCUUUUUCAAUUCCUUUUCUAAGCCCAAUGCUAAUCCAAAUCUGGCUCAGAGCACAGAAUCCGAACUUCAAAACAAGUCUUUUGACAAAGCUGAAGAGAAUUUGCUCUGCUAUGUUCAGUUAUAAUGCAAAAAACUAGACAUCAGAAAAUUCUGAUUGACAAAGGCCUUCCCUCGAAUGGAGAAAAACAUUAGAACUAUAUAAACUUUCACUAUAUGAUAUUUAUUAAGACUUUGGAUAGCUAACUUCUGCAAUUUGCAGUUUAACUGAAAAAUUGACUAAGGAAGGUGAGGAUUGGCAGAUGCUUUUCAUCUUAGGCAAGUGGAGCCUUGUUGAUGUCAACUCUACACAAAGGAGGGACUGUAAGAUAACAAUGUCUAAUAGAGGAGUCUUUUUUAUAAUAAUUUUGAGAUCUUUUUUCCAUUCUCAUUGUCAUAUCAGCUUGAAGAUCCAACUCAAAUAGAUCAUUAACACUCGUUAUGUCAAGAGAUAAUGUCUAACAAGUGCGAACUUUUUAUUUUUAUUUUUAUUUUUUAUCUCUCUCUCUCUCUCCCUAAAGGACUUCUUUACUGAGCAACAUUGUAGAAUUCGACCCCAUUUGGUCGUUGAAAUCAAUCAGAUUUGAGCACUCUCCCUACUGUAGAGGCACCUUUCAUCAAAAGAAUACAUGUAUCCAUCUGAUAUAUUAACCCAAUUAUUAUUCUAAGCAACACUUGCAUUGACUAAUUUGGCAGUGUUGUGAUUCUACUCAGGUGGUUCAGAAUAAAUGUGGUUACCCAUAAGUUAGAGUGCAAGGUGUAGACUCAAUUUAGUGGUGCUCUCGAGUUCUAGACCAUCUUCCCAUCUUAAAAAUAAAUAUUUAGUAUUGAUGAUGUUAGGUCAAAUUUGUAAUUAGGAAUUUCUAAAUUUAUAAUUGGCAAUUUUCGUAUUCAAAAUCAAAAGUUAGUUGAGCUGUAAUUAAAGUUAAAAUCAUGGUUAUUUGAGCUGUAAUUAAAGUCCAAAAAUGUCGUGGUUGGUAGAGUCCUAAAGUUAAGCAACGGAACAACCACUGCUCGCUUGGUGCUCGAGCAAUAUAUCAAUUCAGCUAGAAUCCUGAAUCGAUUUCAAUGUUGGAUUUCAAUCAUAUUUCACCCCAAACACUUCCAUUAUGAGUAUACAACCCAUGGAAUGUCCAAAUGUGUGGUUGAACAUUAUAUUCAUUAUUGAGAUCAUUUUCUAAAGAUCAAUUGCUCAUUCCAAAAGAUCUCUUGAUUCAGUCACAUCAUAUUCCUAUAUAUUGUUCCAUCAUUGGUAGAGCCUUGUUUAAAGUCAAGAGAUUAUCCUUUCAAAUCCAAACAUAUAUUCCAAUGUAUCUUGCAUCAGCCUACGGAUCCAAACAUAGAAAUGCCAUUAGAUCAAUCACCAAAAAGACCUGCCUUUAUUUAUAAGCCUUCAGAUUUUUGAAGUUGAGAGAAGAGGAGCUUAGAGUUCUAGCACUCUGGAUCGAGUUCGUUCUUGGUUAUCCAAGUAGAGAGAAAAAAACCCAAAGUUGCUAGAAAGUGCUAGUAGCACAAUCAAAGUUCCUUGGUGAUUUACAAGUUAGGUGGCGAGAGUCAGCUAAGGUUUAGUAAUGUUUGAACUAAUUAUAAGUUAACUUUUCUAGUGGAUUUUACUAGCAAGUUUGUCGGAGGCUUUUGAUUCAUAUGAAGAGUUCUUCUAGGGAUUUUCCUGUGUGAUCAAUUCUUGGUGUUAUUUACUUUAUUGCUUUUGAUUUGCAUGUUUACUAGUUGACACAUAGGAUUUAAAUUGAAUUUAAACUUAAUCGUGUAGAAACAAUAAAUAAGUGACUUGUUAUUAAUUAACUCUGCACACUUGGGUCUAAAUAAACAAUGCUAACAAGUAGUGUCAAAAUGUUAGUAAUUUAGCUAUCUAUUUAAUUUUUCAAUUGGUAUCAGAGUGCUAGCAUUCUUUGUUCUUUAGGCGAUAAAAAAUUUAAAGAUCAUUUAAAUAAAGUAAAUGGCCUUGGUGGUUAUGUAAUUUGAAUUGAUAGUUUAUUGUAAAUACAUUGUAAUACAAUGAUCAAAUGUUGAGCAUGAUACAAGAAAGUAAAUUGAACUCUCUAUUGAACUCAAAACUUCAUAACCAACAUGGAAUCUACUUCAAAAGAUAGACAAUAAAUAUUCUCCAUAUUAUUAUAUUCUAGUUAAAGGAAGCACUCAAAGGUUAAAAAAUCCACUAACUGCUAAAAUUGUUCUUUUGUCACUUCCACAAAAAUAUUUAUUGCUUUUUAAAUUUACAUUUCAUUAAUCACAUUUUAAGUUUAAUAUUUCAUAAAUAAAGUUAUAACAAUUUAUUGAUAAAUAUAUAUUAAUAAUCAAUCACUAAUUAAAUUAAUUAUCGCCAUUUAUGUUAGUACUGGAGAGAAAAAAAAUUUCAAAAUAAAAAUUCAUUAUUCAUUAUCUCUAUUCAUCCAACAAGAGAGAACCCAACUCCUAUUCUUAAACCAACACUAUGACGUUCGCCUGAAAGGGUAGCAAUUUUUCAGCCUCUAUCAGCAGUGAUAUAUUUAUUUAUUUUUUUGCCUGGACUCCUCCCUACUUCAUUCAUUCAAAUACCUUGUGUUGUAGUUCGAGAAUUUGUUGAACCAUAAACUUACAACCCAAUUCAUAAUUGGUGUUAACAAGGAGUGUAGAUCAGGAAUCUCGUUUGAAGGAUGAUUAUAAGGCUAGAAAAACACAGGAUAAAAGAAAAAGACCCAUAGCACAGAAAGAUGUUCGGGCAAAAAUUCUCAACAAACCCAAUUCCAGUAAAAAAUCUAGUUUGAAGAAGGUACAUCAAUUUGGUUUUAUUUUUUGUUGUUUAAUGCAUUCAUUCGAGUUUAUGAGAAAGUCUUAUUUGAAUUUUAUUGGGUAAUUAUGAUUUUCAUAAUAUUAAUUAACUGCUAACCAUAAUUGGUUCUUCUAAUAGUGACUUGAUUUUGUAUUGUGACCAUGCCUCUCUAUUAUUAUUAUUAUUUUUUUUAAAAGGACCGAAUGUUCUUCACUUAUUUUGUCAGUUAGUGUGACUUGGCCUUUGCUUUUAUUGUGACCUAAAUGUUUUGUGGGAUUUCGAAGACUAUGACCUAGUUUUAUAUUAACAUUAUGUUUGUCUGAAUUGAAUCUUGUGAUCGAUGUAUAACUAGAUAUGUUGAAAGGUAACAUUUGAUGAAGAAUGAUAUGGUUGGUGAAGUCACAUUGUUCUUAUAGUAUGUCUUGCUUUUUUGUUGUGUCAAGAAAUUUUGCUAUUAUGACUUUGUUAUUCGAUAAGUGUGUUUUUGCACACUUACUUAUCACUUAAACUAAACUUAUUAUUGAUUAAAUGAGUUGAUUUUUACUCACAAUUGCGUAAUUUAUGCAUUUAUAGGUAAAAAUCACCAAAAGGAAAGAGAGCAAGAUAAAGGAAGAGAAAAAAGAUUGAAAUCGUACAAAAAUCAUGAAGUUGGGGACCAAAUUGAACAAGUCAAAAAGUUGAAAGACUUCAUUUGCAAUUUUGGAAGGCCAAAUUGAGAGGAAAGUAAAAAUCUUAGGACUAUAUCAUGAAAGAUCAAAGUGGAAGGACCCGAUUGCAAUUUAUAUAGGGACUGAACUACAACUACUCGAAACCUAGGUCGGACGCGUGCCUUAGCCUCUUUUAAGGUUUACUGAGGGCAGCUGAAUUGUUUUGACCCACACCUCAUGUACAGCUAGGCAAGCGUCUGGUUCGGAACCUGGGACAAUUUUAAUAACUAAAUAAAUAAAUAAAUAUAUUUAUUUAUUUUUGGAAAAUUCUAAUGGCCCUUGUUGUAAUUAAUCUUGCUUGAUUUCAGGGUUUUGACACGUGCCUUAGCCUCUUUUUAUGGUUUGCUGAGGGUAGUCGAAUUGUUUUGGCCCGUACCUCAUGUUCAGCUAGGCAAGUGUUUGGUUCGGAACCUGGGACAAUUUUAAUAAUUUUUUUGAGUAAAUUUAAUUAAUACUCACCCAACUUUAACCAAUAUUUCUACUUGCUCACCGAACAAUAAAUGAUAACGUGUUGCUCACCCAUCUGUCUAAUUCAUUACUUAUUCAUUACCCAUUUAACUUCUGUCACCCUCCACUAACAAAACAUGUCACGUGGCGGAUGGAAAUUUGAUGUGGCAAAAUCAGGCCAGACAUGGACAAUUUUUCAGAAACACGUCAACUACCUGCACCAGUCAUCCUUCUCCUCUCCUUUGCAAAUGACCAACCAAAAACACACAAAAAUGGUGACAACGAGUGGAACGUGAGUCGGAAGUUCCACCACAGUCAGCAUUGCACGCUACUUUCUUAACAACAGUGGGAACAACAAUGAAGUAGGAAUAGCAACAGCCAAAAUUCACCUUCCAUCGUCUAUGGCCGUACCAUCGUUACCCUCACCGUCAAAUCCUAGAGAACCCAGAAAUCACCCCCAAUUCUAGCUUUCAUUUUUUUUUUGGGCUACGAAAGUGUUUAAAGUUUGUGUUAUUUCAGUCAUCACAUGAGCUGAGCAUUUCAAAUGAUCAUUCAAAUUGAUUGAAAACAGUCGAACUGUUCCCAUACAUCAAAAUCGAACUGGGAAAUUUGAAGUCCAAUAUAUUAGAAGAAAGUUUUUGUAAUGACGACGUUCAAAAUUCACCACUCUAAUCUAAUGUGUUGCUUCCAUCAAUUUCUCAUUGUUCUUCUUGCCUCCUGUGAAGAACUUGUACCCUCCAAAGAAAAGCAAACCCCAUCUAGAUAAGGAGACAAUCACGAAGUGCUCUUCCUUCCACUUGGAUGGACUCAUCGGGUCUUUCCAGAAAUCAACCUUAGGUGGCCCAUGAUGAUCAGUGAUGCCAGCGAGGCUACGACAGGAAUCAUAGAGGCGGACCGAGCGAAGGUUGCUACUCGGCGCGCUGUUGUUUUAGCCAAUGAAGUAGCCAUGGCUUUGUGCUUUUUCUUUCCAAGAUGGAACGUGCGUCAAACAGCAAUUCUAGCUUUCAUUUUCUUGCCACAAUGUACCAAUUAACGAAGCAUCCCGAAUUGAAACCCAAAUUCGUGAAGAACCCUAAAAAUUGCCCCCAAAUUCGCCUCCAAAUCUGCUGCACUUACUAGGUUGUAUCGAGGGUCCAAGAACUGGAGGAAGAAGAUGAAGGUCCGGGAGUGGCUUUCUACACUUUUGUCCCAUUUCAUAUGUGAUGCAUCACGGUGGUAGAUUUCUUUAGUUUAAAGUGACGGAAAUCAGAUGAGUGAUCAAUGAGUAAGCAAUUUGAUAGAUGAGUGAGCAAUGAGUAAUGCUUUAAUGUUUAGUGAGCAAAUAGUAGUAUAAUAUAAAGUUCAAUGUGCAUUCAUUAAAUUUACUCUUUUUUUCCGAAAAAUUCUAAUGGCCCUUGCUGCAAUUAAUCUGGCUUGGUUUCAGGGUUUUGAAGGUAAAAAAUUGGCAGCCAGUUUUUGUUUUCUUUUCAUUCUUCAUUUUUCUAUCUUAUUUUUCUCUUCAUUUUUGUUGAAUAAUCGACCUCCAAUUGGUGAAAUUUCGGGCUCAGGAUACCAAUCUCAACUUUAUCAAUACACCCAAGCAAUCACAACCCAAAACUUUAAACUUCUUUCACAUUCUAGUUGCUCAAGACUUGUACCCACUUAGAACACAAAGGGAUGGUGUUUACAACCACAAAGGCGGUGCUACAAAGGCUAGAGAAGAACAAGAGAAAAACCAGCACAAAGCAAGGCACGAACUUUUUCUCUCAAAACACAAAGGCAAAACAAACGUGAAUGAUAGAAGACCAAGGAGGCUAGCAUAUAUAGGUUAUGUUAGGUCAAAGUGGUGGGGCCAAGCCCAAUACAAAUAUCAAUAUGUGGGCCAACAUACAUAAGCCAUCCAAUGAGUGUGAAACCGGGUCAUGAGCAACACUAAUUAAUUAUGUUGCUCUCAUUGGCCCAAAUAAUCUUAGGGUCGGGUCAUCAAUCUUGGGUGUCAAUAUUUAUUUUUAUUCAAUAUCGGUUUAACAUCAUCGUCCGAAUUAUUGGGUAUCAAAACCUAACAAUUUUCACUUGUAAUUUUUGGAGAAAAGCCAAGAGCACAAGGAGAAUCUAUCAAACGAGUUUGAAAAAUGUUGGGAAAAUCAAGAGCUAGCCAUUAUUAUCUUCACAAAUCCAACCAACAAGCAUUUUUUCCAUUGUUUGGCCAAAUUUGCUAUGUAUUGCGAUAAAUAUUCUCAUUUUUAUCAUUUAUAUAACAUAAGCUAAAUAUUUGCGUUGGGAUUUAUGGUUGAAGUUUAACCUAGCUUUAAUUAAUUUCAAUGUUUACUAUUUAAUGUUAAAAUUACUUAUGAUCAUGUGUUUUUAUUAUUGUUAUUAUUGCAUUUUCAUUUAUAUGGCCAAUAAAUGAUUGUGUUUAAUGAUUUGUACAUUAUUCAAGAGAAGAUUGUAUAUUUUAGACCAAAUAGUAGAAAUCUCAGGUUCUUGUACAAAGGGGUAGAGUUUACUCCUAACUCUAGGUGGCUCAUUGAGUUAUUUUUACAAAAAUUUAAUGUAAUUGUUUGGUUUUAAUCGACAUAGAGAUAUAGUUAGUCAAGCCAAAAAUUGAGAAAUUGAGCCUAAUAUUGUAAAUGAGUAAUUUAUUAAUUGACUUGUGCAGACAUUAAUUAGGCCACGGUUAAGCGACAACAUGAAUCAGAAUCACGUUUUCCUCCAAAUUUUUACAAGUGUUUAUGUUUUCUUAGUUUGUAGAGUUUUAGUUUAAUUUUCCUUAUUUUCAAAUCAUAAUAUUAAUUGUGUGUGUUUAGUUUUAUUAUUAGAAUUAAAUUAAUUGAAGUUGUGUAAUUGAAAGUAAACAUUUCUCGAAUAAUUGACAAUUCGGACUAAAAAAUUCAAUUUAUACUUGAACGUGACCGUACACUUGCGGUUUGCACUUUCGUAGUGAAUAUUAUUAGAAAUAGUUUUAUCAAUGUUUUUUUACACGUUUAUCUAUGCAUGUGACCUGCAUGUUGUUCCAGUAUUUCAGCCUUUUUAUAACCAAUGCGACAAAGAAUGUUUUGACUAAUUUUACAUCAAAAUUCAAUGAUUCACAAAGGGAGAUUUUGAUAGGUACGUGUUUCUCCUAUCAUAUGGAUUGCCAUGAAAUUGUAUCAAUCACAAUUGAUACAUUACUUUAUGUUAACGGAGGUUAAGCAACUGAAUCUCGAGGGGGUGUGGUUCAAGAUUGAGAGAGAUUUAUCCCCUCUUUUUUCUUUAGUUCUACUUAGUUACAGGACUUGAGUAUAUUGGCGACGAUAAUAGAAAGAAACUUAAAUCAAUACCAUCAAGUACAAAUGACAACUAUUUUAGUCAACAAAAAAUUGUGACAAAUGAAGGCGUUAGAGAUGUGUUUCUUUUUCUAGUAGAUGUUCGAUAUACUGUAUUUUAUAAUAUUGUUCCUGUUCUCCACAUUGUAUAAGAAGGUGUUUGAGCAUUAUUUAUUUGCACUUGUUGAAGAUUAAGAUGUCAUGGAGAUGUUUUCGUGGGGGGAAAGAAUUGUUUGAGAUGUUUAUAAGUUAUGUGAAAGAGGGAUUGAGCAAUAAAUCAACCCAUUAUAGGCCUAAAGGUUUUCUAGUAGCAUUUCAAGUUUGGUUAUACGAAUCAAUUCAAAGUCUAGUAACCACAACAAUGAAAAGUAGGUACCCUCGCAUCAUGAGUUGGAUAUCGAAUAAUCAUCCCCCAGAUGCUAAAUUGGAAGAAGAGUUCUUUUCCAAUCCUAAUGUAAGUGCUUAAGUAUCUUUGUUAUUUGAGAUAGUUUUCUUUAUGUUUUUUUUUUAUCUGUUUUAUCUAUGUAUGUGACCUGAAUGUUGUGCCAGUAUUUGACCUUUUUUAUCAUUUUCUAUUCGAUAUUGGCGUACGUGUUAUUGAAUAUUCUAUUACAGGAUUGGCAAUACAUUAUCCUUGAAGACCUUCGGUUUUCGAGAAAAAUUAUAAUCAAUGCGGUAAAGAAUGUUCUAACUAAUUUUGCAUUGAAAUUCAAUGAUGCACAAAGGGAGAUUUUGGUAGAUACGUGUUUCUCCUAUCAUAUGGAUUGCCAUGAAAUUGUAUCAACCGCAAUCGAUACAUUACUUUAUGUUAAGGGAGAUUAAGCCACUGAAUCUCGAGGAGGUGUGGUUCAAGAUUGAGAGAGAUUUAUCCCCCUUUUUUUCUUAUGUUUUGCUUAGUUACAAGACUCGAAUAUAUUGGCAACGAUAAUAGAAGGAAACUUAAAUCAAUACCAUCAAGUACAAAUGACAAAUAUUUUAGUCAACAAAAAAUUGUGACAACUGAAGACGUUAGAGAUGUGUGUCUUUUUCUAAUAGAUGUUCGAUAAACUGUUGUUUAUAAUAUUGUACCCGCUCUCCACAUUGUAUAAGAAGGUGGUUGAGCAUUAUUUGUUUGCACUUGUUGAAGAUUUCGAUGUCAUGGAGAUGUUUUCAUAGGGGAAAGAAUUGUUUGAGAUGUCUAUAAGUUAUGUUAAAGAGGGAUUGAGCAAUAAAUCAACCCAUUACAAGCCUAAAGGUUUUCUAGUAGCAUUCCAGGUUUGUUUAUACGAAUCAAUUCAGAGUCUAGUAACCACAACAAUGCAAAGUAGGUACCCUUACAUCUUGAGCUGGAUAUCAGAUAAUAAUCGCCUGGAUGCUAAAUUGGAAGAAGAGUUCUUUUCGAAUCCCGAUGUAAGUGUUUAAAUAUCUUUGUUAUUCGAGAUAGUUUUCUCUAUGUUUUUUUUAUAUGUUUUAUCUAUGUAUGUGACCUGAAUGUUGUGCUAGUAUUUGAGCCUUUUUAUCAUUUUCUAUUCGAUAUUGACGUACAUUUUAUUGAAUAUUCGAUUGCAGGAUUGGCAAUACGUUAUCCUCGAAGAUCUUUGAUUUUCGAGAAGAAUUAAAAUCAAUGCGGCAAAAAAUGUUCUAACUAAUUUUGCAUCGAAAUUCAAUGAUGCACGAAGGGAGAUUUUGAUAGAUAUGUGUUUCUCCUACUACAUGGAUUGCUAUGAAAUUGUAUCAAUCACAAUUGAUACACUACUUUAUGUUGAUGGAGGGUCAGCAACUGAAUCUCGUGGAGAUGUGGUUCAAAGUUGCGGGGAGAUUUAUCCGAUUUUUAUUGCAUGAGUUCUGCCGUGUUCUCCACGUUGUACAAAAAAGGUGGUUGAGCAUUAUUUGUUUGCACUUGUCAAAGAUUUUGAGGCCAUGGAGAUGUUUCCGUGGAGGAAAGAAUUGUUUGAGAUGGCUAUAAGUUAUGUGAAAAAGGGUUGAGCAAUAAAUCUAUCCAUUACAAGCUUAAAGGUUUUCUAGUAGCAUUCCAGGGUUGGUUAUAUGAGUCAAUACCAAGUCUUAAUGAUCUAUGACCACAAUGAUGCAAAGUAGGUACCCUGGCAUCAAGAAUUGGAUAUCGGAUAAGCAUCCCUUGGAUGCUAAAUUGGAAGAAGAGUUAUUUUUUCCCCAAUCUUGAUGUAAGUUUUUAAAUGUAUUUGUGACUAAUAUAGUUGCAAUGUCAUUCAAAAAAUUCUAUUUGCUAUGCUAAGUAUUUUUAAUGCUUUUAAGGUAAUAGAUUGAAGUAAAUGGAAUUGAUCCGCUGGGCAUGGAUAUGGUGAUACCAUAUAUGAGUGGUGUACCACACACCAAAUCACAACCACGACAUCUUCCAUGUGAAGUGCAUUUCCAGGAGAAUUUAGGUCACAAUCACUUGAGUACUCAUGCAGGCACAAGUGCAAAUGUUCAAUCAUCAGGUCAGAAAUCUACAACAUUGCUGCUACUGAAUAUAGGUAGAAGAAUGCGAAAAUCAAAUGACAUUGAUGACGAAUUUGUUAACCUCCCACUAAGACGCUAAAAGACUUCAUGUGGUGUCCAUUCUCCAAUGGAACCACAAGCAAUACAUUGUGUUGAGGGUUCAUUAGAGAGAUAGAGGUUUAAGCAACCACAGAGAUGGCGGAUAACACAGCGGAUGAUACAUACUUGGAAAUAACCGGAUCAUUUGAUAACCUAAAUCCAUGCUACUGGAGAAAGUAUUUUGAUAGAUAUUUGAGAAAUUCAAAAAGGAGUUCAAUAUCUAUACAAUUAAAAAACAUAGAGUUGGUGAUGGAGCUAGAUGAUGAAAAGUCUCAAAUAUUAGCAUUGAAAUUGGAUAGAAAUCAACAAAUGAAUGAUAUUAUCCGCUCUCAAAGAGAUGUUAAAUUUGAUUUCUUCGGGAGAAGGUCGAAUAUGAACUAGUUUAAGGAUUCUGUGAUUGCUAUCGUAUCAUGUUCUAUUGAGGAAAUUCUAAAGAAAUGACUGAAACAAGUAGAGUGCAAAUUGGUCGAUAUUCUGAAAAUGUUGAAGAAGUAAGUUUGUGAGAUUACUAAGCUUUUUCCCGUUCGUUAGUUUAAUUUUGACAUUUAAAUUUUUGUUGUAUAGAAGAAUAAAACAUUAGAAAAGCAAGAGUAAGAUGGAAUCUGAUAACGAACCUCCAUAUCAAGAUCUUAUUCAAACUCCUUCAUUUGAUUUAGGUGUUGGAUCCACUUAAAUGCCUAUGAAUUUAGGCGAGCUGAGUGAUCUGUUCACAGACAAACAAGUCCAACAAGAAGUAGGCGAUGUAAUAUCCCGAAAAUUCAUAAAAUAGAAUUUAAGUUAUGUGUGCUAUAUUUUAAUAUUUCCAAAAGUUAGGGACUAAAAUGUAUAUAGCAAAUUUCAAUUUCAUUUGGGUUAAAAUGUAGAUAUUGACGGAGUAAUAAUUUGUAUAUGAAUAUUGGGCGCGUUGGAUAGAUCGUAAUUAAUCAUGCAUGUUAGGCUCAAGAAAAAGUUGAUUUGGAUAAUUUAAGCCUAAGAUAUUGACAUUUAAAGAAAUUGAUGUUUUAUAGUAUUUUAAUUAAUUUAAUGGGUAAUUGUCUUUGAGCCUUCCACUUGGUUAGUGUUAAAUCCAUCCUAAUCACAAAUAAUAUAUAUUAUAACUUUCCACCACUAGCCACGUUUCACGUUGAUAAGAAAUGUUUAACUGUCUUCCUAAAUUAUUUGGAUAAGUUUAUCAUUUGAAGCCUUUAUCCAAGUUUCUUGUGGCACACGUUUUCACCACUCUAGAAUUCUAUUUGCACCAAAAUACUCCACACAGCAUAUGUAUAUGUAGACGGCAGUUUCAAAUUGGGAAUUGUUUCCAGCAUAAAUAAUGAACAAAAAGGGUCCCGAAAGGCAAUUUUCACUCUAAGGCAGCCAAGAAAGAACUACAAGAUUUGGAACAUAAUUUUGGAUUUCUUCUUUCAAGAAUUUAUUCAAUCUUACGAGGUAGGAUUACGAUGUGCAAGUGGUUCGUCUCGUUUAAAUUAUUUAUUCAUGUUGAUAAAUGUUAUACUCAUGAAAGUUAUGAUAUGAUUAUGAUAUUUUGAAAUAGCAACCCGGUACCAAAGAGAUGAUAUGAUACGACAUGAGCUCUUACCGGUUCUGAAGAUAUGAUAUGACGAUUAGAACGGGUCGUUGGUUGGCGAGCGGUGCGGUGGAAUUGUGAUGCCAGAAAUUAUGGAAUUCAAGAUAAAUAAAUUCUGAGUAACAUGAUUAGGAAGUUUUAUUUAUUUAUUUUUCUUUGCGUUAUUUCAAUUUUAUCAUCAUGUUAAAUUUGAAAUUUAAUGUUUGAAACAUGGUUCAGUUAAUUAUGUUUUCCAUAGAAUGUUUGACAUCAUUUAUUUAAUUACGAAAUAAAUGUUUUUGGUAACGAUUCCAAAUCUUUAAAUUUUGGGUCGUUACAGUUUGGUAUCAGAGCAUAGGUUUAAUUUCCUGUAGAUAAAUUUAUAUAUAUAUAGUAAAUGGAGAGACGUGAAUAGUGAUUGUCAUGGUUCACAUAUCACUGUAUAAUGUGAACUGUGACAUAACUGUUAUGAUUAAAAGUGCUUUUCUUAAAAAUAAAGAAAGUAGGUAAUGAAAUUUAUAAUCUUUAGGUAUGUUUGAAUUGACUGUCAGAGCCUUCCUUUAAUAUUGAUUUAAUAUACUUUUAUCUACAUAAAAGAAUUCAAGCAAAGAACAAGUGGUUAAAAAAAAAUUUUUUUAAAUUCUGGAUUCAGGUAUAUAUAUAUAUAUAUAUAUAUAUAUAUAUAAAAUAACUAAAUGAAUAAAUAAAUUCAAAGGGGUGUUUGAGUGUUUUGUUUCACGUUUGGUUAUUACAUAAAGUUUGAAGCCUAUUCUUCUUUAAUCUAAAAGUGCGAAAUAGACCCAUUAGCUACUUCUAAAAUAAUAAUAAUGAAAAUAAUGAAAAUAAAUAAGUAAAUAAAAUGAAAUAAAAUAAAUUUUGAAAAUUAUUUUAAAUGAAAAAUACAUAUAAAUAUGUAUAUGUAUGUAUGUAUGUGUUCUAAAUGUCGUGUGUAAUGAAUAUUUAAUUGUUAGUUGUUUAAUUGAGUAAUGUUAUAUAUAUAUAUAAUAUAUAUAUAUAUAUAUAUAUAUAUAUAUAUAUAUAUAUAUAUAUAUAUAUAUAAUUGUGACCAAAUGGGAAUGUAGAAUGAGAGCAAAAGAUGUUAAUGCCUCAAAAGAUAAAAUAGGAUUAAAUGACAUGUUUAUAAUUUUUAAUUAAUUAUUACUGAUUUUCAAUCGCCAUGUUAUUUUGAUUCUAACAUGCUAUGUCACCUGAACUAAAUGAUGAAAUUGCAACUACAGAAAGUUUUAAAGAUUCCUUGAUUGGUGUUAUUUCAAAUAAAUUUUCCAAAAAUCCCAAAUGAUUUCCUUUUUUUUUUUUUCUUUUUUUUAUCUUUUUUUUUUUUUUUUUUUCAACAUAGGCAAGGUCUCAAAAGUUUAGUUGGUUUUAAUUAAUCCAUUAAUAGACAUGAUAUAAGAAGACUAUUAGGUAGAUGUAACUAUUUGAAUUAAGUCAAUAAUGCAUCAUUAAACUUGUAACCGGCCCAACUUUCCGUUUUAAGAAUUAAAGAAUUUAAGUUUAAAAAUUAAUUAUUAUGAUAAUAAGAAAAGUUUAGUCGAACUUAUUGCAUUUGCUAGUAUAUAUAUAAACAUUGGAUUUUACACGUUUUAAAUGUUACGUGUAAUAAAAUGUUUAAUUGUUUCAUUGUGCAAUUUGUUAAAUGUUAAUAUUUUUAUGAAAAUUUAUGAAUUUAACGAUAAUAAUAAUUUAAAGUUAUUAAAUAUGUGAAUGAUCUUUGGCACUCAACGACCAUCAAUCAACCACCCUCCAACGACUCUAAGGUAUGUAAAAGAGUAAGAAAAUAAAUGCAGUUAGAUGUUUUCAAUAAUUUCAAUAUUUUAGAUUGCCUACUUCUAAAUCUUUAAGACAUGCACUUUAUUUCCCACUAAAUUGAUGAUAUGUAUUACGAUAAAAAUAAGUAUAACGUGAUAGACUUAGUGCUGAAAUGUGAUCGUAACUUCAUAUUAAAUUUUAGGAAAUGGCACCACCUACUCAUACGAAUUUGAUGCGCAAUUUACUACGAGCCAUACAAGAGUUGAGCAGGCAAAAUCAAGUACCUCCACCACAAAAUGUACCGCCACAGCAGAAUGCACCACAUUUUGCCCCUGGAGCUGUCUCAGUGGUUGAGCAGUUUGGUAGGUACAAGCCUUCCACUUUUGACGGUAAUUCUGAACCACUGGUUGUCGAAGAGUGGAUAAGAGGCCUGGAGCCCAUAUUUCGACACAUUGCUUGUGCGGAUGCACAGAAAGUAUUAUGCGCAGAAUUUAUGUUGAUUGGAGCAGCUGGUCACUGGUGGGAAUCUGUUUCACGUACAAGGAUGGAAGAGCAGCAACGUAAUCUGACUUGGGAGCAGUUUAAAGACGAAGUGAUGGCAAUAUAUUUCCCACAGGCUUUGAGGGACUUCAAGGAAUCAGAAUUUCUGCAGCUCAGACAGGGAACAUGUCACUUACUGAUUAUGAAAGACAGUUUGAGCAGCUCUCAAGGUAUGCCCCGCACUUGGUGGAUACAGAAGUUAAGAAAAUUAGGAGGUUCGAGAAUGGACUGCGCCCUGAGAUCGGCAUGAUCAUUAUGUCCCAUCGUUUCACCUCAUAUCGUGAAAUGUUGGAGAGGGCUCAUGCUAUUUCAUAUCAGAGGAUCUCAUUUGAACAGUAUGCCCAGCAGAGCAAGGAGUCGUUGGGGAAAAGGAAGUGGAGUGAUCAAGGUAAGAACAGACAUAACUGGCACAAUAAAAGGCCAAGCACAGGAGUUCGUAUUGGUGGGACGAGUGGGAGUAUUACACCCUAUCCUAAGUGUAAUAAACUCCACAGGGGUGAAUGUUUACUUGGGAAGAACAUGUGUUUCCGGUAUGGUAAACCCGAACACAUUGCUCUCAACUGCACAGAGCCUCCAAAGAGGAAAGAUGAUGAUCAAGACAAGAAUAAGAAAGCAAAGGCUCGAGUUUUUGCACUGAAUCAGCAUGAGGCGGAGCAGGAUCCGAAUGUGAUUGCAGGUAUCUUACUAUUAAUAUUUUCAACAUACGUGCUUAUGUUCUUUUUACCUAUGACCAUACAUUAUUUUAUCUCUGUCCCUUAAUUGCUAGUCUAACACUAUAAUUACAAACAGGUAUUCUGUUAUUAUCUAAUGUACCCGCUUACAUACUUUUUGAUUCUGGGGCUACCAAUUCUUUUAUCUCUACAUCCUUCGUCGCUAGGUUAAACCUUGCAUGUGUGAAAACGAAUUAUGAAUUAGAGGUUGGCAUCCCUUCAGGAAGAACUCUUUGUACAAAUCGGAUGACUAAGGCUAUAAAGUUAGAGAUUGAUGGGAAAAUAUUACAAGUAGACUUAUACCUUUUGGAGAUGAAAAAUUUCGAUGUUAUUUUGGGCAUGGAUUGGUUGGGACUUAAUCAUGCGACCAUUCGAUGUCACGAGAAAGAAGUAUUGUUUCACAGAUCGGGAGAAGAAGAAUUUCGUUUCUUUGGAGCAAAGUUCAAGUCUUUGCCUAGUCUUGUAUCAACUAUUCAAGCGGAAAAGAUGUUGAAAAAAGAGUCAUGUCAAGGAUUUCUAGUUAAUAUCACCAGUCCCCAACAUCCAGAAACGACUGUUAAUGAUAUUAACAUUGUGCAAGAUUUUGCAGACAUAUUUCCAGAAGAUUUACCAGGCAUUCCAUAAGAUAGGCAAGUGGAAUUUACAAUUGAUUUGGUUCCUGGAGCAGCACCAGUAUCCAAGGCCCCGUACCGAAUGGCAUCGAAAGAACUUCAAGAAUUGAAGUUACAAUUAGAGGAGUUGUUGGAGAAAGGUUUCAUUCGACCAAGUGUAUCUCUUUGGGGAGCUCCUGUACUUUUUGUGAAGAAGAAGGAUGGAAGUAUGAGGAUGUGCAUUAACUACCGGGAAUUAAACCAUUUGACCAUAAAAAAUAAAUACCCGCUGCCAAGAAUAGAAGAUUUAUUCGACCAGUUAAGAGGUGCUACAGUGUUUUCAAAGAUCGACUUGAGGUCAGGGUACCAUCAGCUGAAAAUUAGGGCAAGUGAUAUACCAAAAACUACUUUCAAGACUCGUUAUGGACACUAUAAAUUCACUGUCAUGCCUUUUGGUUUGACCAAUGCUCCAGCUGUAUUUAUGGAUCUCAUGAACAGAGUGUUUCAUCAAUACUUAGACCAAUUCGCCAUAGUAUUUAUUGACGACAUACUCGUGUACUCCAAAGACAAGAAACAGCACGAGGAACAACUCCGAGUAGUACUUGAAACCUUGAGGAAUGAGAAAUUAUAUACCAAAUUCAAGAAGUGCGAAUUUUGGCUUGAUCAUGUAGGUUUCCUUGGUCAUGUGGUCACCGCCCAAGGAAUCGAAGUAGAUCCUACAAAAGUAGAAGCAGUAACAAAUUGGCCAAGGCCGAGCAAUGUCGGUGAAGUUCGCAGUUUCUUGGGAUUGGCUGGUCAUUAUAGAAGAAUCAUUGAAGGCUUCUCAAAAAUAGCAGGGCCGAUACCCAACUGACGAGAAAGGGGCUGAAGUUUCAGUGGACAGAAAAAUGUGAGAAAUGUUUUCAAGAACUCAAGCAGAGACUAGUUUCAGCUCCUGUAUUGACGAUACCAGAUGGCUCUGAUGGAUUUGUGAUUUACAGCGAUGCCUCCAAACAAGGUUUAGGCUAUGCAUUGAUGCAACAUGGAAAAGUGUUUGCUUACGCCUCGAGACAGUUAAAGCAGUAUGAACAAAACUACCCAACACACGAUUUGGAGCUUGCAACAGUAGUUCACGCCUUAAAGAUAUGGCGUCAUUAUCUCUAUGGUGGGAAGUGUGAAAUUUAUACAGACCACAAGAGUCUCAAAUACUUUUUCACAUAAAAGGAACUGAAUAUGAGGCAGAGGAGAUGGUUGGAGUUAGUGAAAGAUUAUGACUGCACAAUUCAUUACCAUCCGGGUAAGGCUAAUGUAGUUGCAGAUGCCUUAAGCAAAAAGACGGGAGCGCAGUUAGCAGUUUUACCUACGGUGCAAGAACACUUGAUAAGGGACUUUGAGAAACUAAGAUUGGAAGUUAUCACACCGCCAACUCAGACUACUGCAAGAAUAAGAGCAUUUAUGAUUCAACCAACUCUUCGGGAUCGAAUUAAAGAAGCACGGGAUAAGGAUCUGUUUUUACAGAAGAUUAAAGCUGAGAUUGGUACAAACAAGCGUAUAGGAUUUGAGGUAUCUGUAGAUAAAGUAUUGACUUUUAAAGGAAGGUUGUGUGUACCUAAAGAUGAAAGUAUAAGAAAUGAGAUAUUGGAAGAGGCUCACUCUACUCCGUAUUCCGCACAUUCAGGUGGUACGAAAAUGUAUCGAGAUCUCCAAGAUACAUUUUGGUGGAGAAACAUGAAGAGAGGAAUUGGUCUAUUCGUUGAAAAAUGUAUUAUCUGUUAACAGGUCAAGGCAGAACAUCAAAAGUCAACAGGGCUACUGAAACCGUUGGAUAUUCUAGAAUGGAAGUGGGAACACAUAACGAUGGACUUUGUGGUAGGCCUCCCGAGGUCAACAAAAAGUCACAAUGCUAUCUGGGUAGUGGUGGAUCGUCUAACAAAGUCAGCCCAUUUUCUACCAUCAAAGUAAACUUCAACAUGGAACAGCUCACACAGUUAUACAUCAAAGAGAUUAUCAGAUUGCAUGGAAUUCCAGUCACCAUUGUUUGAGAUAAAGACCCGAGGUUCACAUCUAAAUUUUGGAAAAGCUUGCAGAUAGCCAUGGGGACGAAACUGAAAUUUAGCACUGCUUAUCAUCCUCAGACGGAUGGACAAUCAGAAAGAACCAUUCAAACUCUGGAAGAUAUGUUGAGAGCAUGUAUUCUGGAUCUUGGAGGGAGUUGGGAAAUACACCUACCUUUAGUAGAGUUUGCUUACAACAAUAGUUUUCAAGCCACUAUAGGUAUGGCCCCAUAUGAAGCCCUUUAUGGUAGAAAGUGCAGAUCCCCUAUCCAUUGGGACGAGGUCGGGGAAAGCAGAAUUUUGGGUCCUGAAAUCAUUGAACGAACAGUUGAGGCAGUUGAUAAAAUUAGAACAAGAAUAAAGGCAGCACAAGACCGUCAGAAAAGUUAUGCUGACAGUAGAAGAAAAGAUUUAGAAUUUCAAGUGGGCGACAAGAUUUUUCUAAAGGUAGCACCAAUGAAGGGUAUAUUGAGAUUUGGAAAGAAAGGGAAGUUGAGACCAUGAUUUAUUGGACCUUUCGAGAUUCUCUAAAGGAUUGGUGUUGUAGCUUAUCGACUUGCCUUACCACUUGAACUUGCAGCAGUGCAUAAUGUAUUCCAUGUUUCGAUGCUUAGAAAAUAUGUUCAUGAUCCCAAUCAUAUGGUAAGUUACCAAACUUUGGAGGUACAAAAAGAUCUAUCAUAUGAAGAAAUUCCAACGAUGAUUCUGGAAAGAAAAGUACACCAACUCAGAAACAGAGAAGUUCCCCUGAUCAAAGUGCAAUGGCGAAAUCAUGGACGAGAAGAGUCAACAUGGGAGAAGGAAGAAGAGCUUAGAACCAAGUAUCCAGAGCUCUUCGAUUAGCCAAGGUAAAUUUUCGAGGACGAAAAUAUUUUAAGGAGUGGAGAUUGUAAUGUCCCGAAAAUUCAUAAAAUAGAAUUUAAGUUAUGUGUGCUAUAUUUUAAUAUUUCCAAAAGUUAGGGACUAAAAUGUAUAUAGCAAAUUUCAAUUUCAUUUGGGUUAAAAUGUAGAUAUUGACGGAGUAAUAAUUUGUAUAUGAAUAUUGGGCGCGUUGGAUAGAUCGUAAUUAAUCAUGCAUGUUAGGCUCAAGAAAAAGUUGAUUUGGAUAAUUUAAGCCUAAGAUAUUGACAUUUAAAGAAUUUGAUGUUUUAUAGUAUUUUAAUUAAUUUAAUGGGUAUUUGUCUUUGAGCCUUCCACUUGGUUAGUGUUAAAUCCAUCCUAAUCACAAAUAAUAUAUAUUAUAACUUUCCACCACUAGCCACGUUUCACGUUGAUAAGAAAUGUUUAACUGUCUUCCUAAAUUAUUUGGAUAAGUUUAUCAUUUGAAGCCUUUAUCCAAGUUUUUUGUGGCACACGUUUUCACCACUCUAGAAUUCUAUUUGCACCAAAAUACUCCACACAGCAUAUGUAUAUGUAGACGGCAGUUUCAAAUUGGGAAUUGUUUCCAGCAUAAAUAAUGAACAAAAAGGGUCCCGAAAGGCAGUUUUCACUCUAAGGCAGCCAAGAAAGAACUACAAGAUUUGGAACAUAAUUUUGGAUUUCUUCUUUCAAGAAUUUAUUCAAUCUUACGAUGUAGGAUUACGAUGUGCAAGUGGUUCGUCUCGUUUAAAUUAUUUAUUCAUGUUGAUAAAUGUUAUACUCAUAAAAGUUAUGAUAUGAUUAUGAUAUUUUGAAAUGGCAACCCGGUACCAAAGAGAUGAUAUGAUACGACAUGAGCUCUUACCGGUUCUAAAGAUAUGAUAUGAUGAUUAGAACGGGUCGUUUGUUGGCGAGCGGUGUGGUGGAAUUGUGAUGCCAGAAAUUAUGGAAUUCAAGAUAAAUAAAUUCUGAGUAACAUGAUUAGGAAGUUUUAUUUAUUUAUUUUUCUUUGCGUUAUUUCAAUUUUAUCAUCAUGUUAAAUUUGAAAUUUAAUGUUUGAAACAUGGUUCAGUUAAUUAUGUUUUCCAUAGAAUGUUUGACAUCAUUUAUUUAAUUACGAAAUAAAUGUUUUUGGUAACGAUUCCAAAUCUUUAAAUUUUGGAUCGUUACAGGCGAUGUCAUAGCAAGAGUAUUGAAGGCCAUUGUGCUUGGUGAUCCAUAAAAAUUUACAUAUGAAAGUAGCAAUGAGACAGGUCACAUGCACAUUAAAUGUCAGAAGUCAUAGGUCACACACAUACUACAUGUCUCAAUUCACAAAUGCAGUUACAAGUUACACAAUAGUUAGAGGUCAUAUAAAUAAAAAGUCACAGGUUACAAAUAUAAUACAAUUUAAAUAUCACAAACUCAUCAGAGUUCACAAAUUACAACUCACAAAGUAAUACAAGUCCAUAACAAAACAAAAGUGCAAGUGUCUAUUCAUUUAACAUAGAUCAAAUACAUUUAGCCCAUGUUUGAACCUUAUUUUUUUCAAACUCAUUUUCAAUCGCACAUUCUUUCAUAAAAUAAUUUUACACGUAUACCUAAAGCUUUUUUUUUACCACAUUUUCCCAAAUAAUCAUGGGAAAAUUGUAGCAGUUAUUUCUAAUCUUUCACUUUUUUUUUGCAAAUUUUACCAUAACAUUCAAUUUGUGCCACCCACAGUUCCAAACCUUUCAAAAAUAUACGCAUCGAAAUCGUUCAUUUGACCGUUAGUUGACCAAUAAAAUUAAGUUUUGACCAAUUUAAAAGGGUAAAAGAGUAAUUUUGCUAUUUUACCCUAUAAAACAAUUAAAAUAAAUAACUAAAACAAAAUAAAAAUAAAUAAAAGGAAAAAACUAUUCGCCUCUUUCUUCACCCCACCCAAAACCACCGCCCAAAUCCACUGAAACAAGACCUCCGCCUCAACUCUCCAAAUAGAGGUGACCCACUAGAGGUGAGCCAGUAGCUGUACUCGUUGCACUAUCAUUCUCCCUUUUCUCCGCUACGUGCACAAUGGCACUCUCCGUCUACACCACAGUAUAACUAAAUUUUCUACUCUUAUAUUCAUCGCCAAGGAUAUAAUAAUUUAUAUAUUCGCAUUUGUUUCGGAGUUCUCAGAAAUUGGAGAAGACGCCGAAAUCGUUCCUCUUUUAUUUUCUCUUCUUUUUCUUGCAGUUAGUGUGAGUGGGUGAUGAUGCUGGAGGGAAGGUCGAUCGAGGUUGGAGCAGGAAAAAGUGGAGAUGGUGGUGGACGAGAUGUCACUGUUUUCCAUGACGGAGAGUAUUUUGAAGGAGAAAUUGCGCUCUUCGGAUCUCAACCCUAUGGAUAGCGGUGUUCGACGGAGGCGAAGGUCUUGUUUAGGUGGAUUCGGCAAUGGGAUGGGGUUGGAGGUGAAUAGUUUUUUUCUUUUAUUUUUAUUUUGUUUUAAUUAUUUAUUUUGAUUGUUUUAUAGGGUUAAAUAGCAAAGUUGUCUUUUUAUCCUUUUAAAUUGGUAAAAAUUCAAUUUUAUUGGUCAACUAACGAUCAGAUGAACGGUUUCCAUCCAUUUGGAUUUCAAAUGCAUAUUUUUGAAAAAUUUGGGACUGUGAUUGGCAUAAAUUAAAAAUUAGAGUAAGGUUUGCAAAAAAUAAAAGGUUAGGGACCGCUGCUACAAUUUUCUCAAAAAUCAUUAGGCCAAAACCCAAAAAGGGGCCUCAAAUGAGGUUUAAACCAUAUUUGAUGGGCCUUUUUUUUAAUUUUUUUUUUUUUAAUAGUCGUUUUCAUUUACACAUUUACCCGUUAAAACAUAAUGCAAGUAAAUUCAAGACUUUUCUAUUUUUCAACCGCAUAUUUUUCAAAAUUUUACUAUUUAAUUUUUUAUUAUUAUUAUUUUAUUUAUAUAAUGGCCAUCAAUGGGAGCUUAGCGUUGUUUAGACGUUAUGAUGCUGGGAUCUCUUCGGUAGAGGAAGAAGAAGAUAAAACCGUGGAACUCUCGGGACUCCCAGGGAAAAGGGGACCUAAACCAGCUAAGAUACUCCGGUUUCUGUUCGUCGCUGAUGAAGGAAAAUCAAUGUUAAAUACAGCUAAGUUGGAUGGUGCAACGCCUAUUUUUCAAAACUAUUCUACUCAUGCCAAAGAUGCAGUUCUGGUCACAUUCCACAACUGGUUGACAGGGGAUUUAUUGAAUAUUUUUUAUGAGAUUUUUAUUUUCUCCAGUUCUUUUGUACCAUUAUUUAUUGCCUUAAAUCUUGUAUAUGCAGAAUUUGUUCAUCAAUUAUUGCAAUGAGUUGAUAGCUCUGCUUUGAGAAUCCAAGAAAUUCGUGGAAUUUUGAUUGUCAUUUUCGAGAGUUAAGCGACCCAUUUGAAAUUUAUUUAUUAUUAUUAUUUUUUUAAAACUCAUAAUAAGCUAAAAUUUUUGCACCCACGUCAAGGGUUUGCAAAUAAAGUUAGCGCCUUUGGUUCCUUGAAGCCUCAGAAUCAGGACGUUAGGUUUGAUUCGAAAAGAGAACAUAUAAAAUUGGGGAAAAGUGUUUGUGUUAACGCCAGUUCUAGUACCCUUUUGGAACUUGUGCCUGAAACCAGGAAAAUUUUGAAUUUGAGAUUCCCAUGUAUGAUCCUUCUAAGGGCCUUGUGGUGGAUCUAGCUGUUGUAGGUGGUGGCCCUGCAGGACUAGCGGUCGCACAGCAUGUUUCAGAAGCUGGGCUAUGAGUUUGCUCGAUUGAUCCUUUACCCAAAUUGAUAUGGCCCCAAUAAUUACGUUGUUUGGGUUGAUGAAUUUGAGGGCACGGAUUUGUUGGAUUGUCUUGACGCCUCCUGGUCGGGUGCUAUGGUUUUCAUUGACGACAAGACAACUAAAGAUCUUGAUAGACCUCGUGGGAGGCUAACAGGAACCAGCUGAAAUCGAAAAUGAUGUAGAAAUUCAUUUUGAAUGGCGUCAAAUUUCAUCAAGCUAAGAUUGUGAAAGUAACUCACUAGGAAUCAAAAUCUUUGUUGAUUUGCGAUGAUGGUGUUACCAUUCAGGCUGCUGCUGUGGUUCUUGAUGCGACCGGAUUUUCCAGAUGUCUUGCACAGUAUGAUAAGCCUUGUAUAGCUUACAGGAUUUGAGCAGAAGUGGAAGAACACCCUGUUGAUGUAAAUAAAAUGGUUUUCAUGGAUUGGAAUGACUCACAUCUCAACAAUAAUAAAGAGCUGAAGGAGAGAAAUAGCAAGAUUCCAACUUUUCUCUGUGCAACGCUAUUUUCAUCGAAAAGAAUAUUCCUUGAAGAAACAUCCCUUGUAGCUCGUCCUGGAGUUCCUGUGGAUGACACUUAAGGAAUGAAUGGUAGCUCGGCUGAGUCACUUAGGUAUAAAUAUUAGAAGCAUUGAAGAGGAAGAGCAUUGUGUAAUUCCAAUGGGGGGCCGUCUUCCAGUUUUACCUCAGAGAGUUGCUGGGAUUGGCAGUACAGCUGGGAUGGUGCACCCGUUGACUGGGUAUAUGGUGGCAAACUAUUGGCAAUGACUCUGGCCAAUAGAAAGUAGACGCCUAAGCGAAUUCUUUUGUUUUGGUAUGGACAUUCUUCUCAAGCUUGAUUUACAAGCCACCCGAAGGUCUUUUAAUGCUUUUUUCGACUUGAAACCUCGUCAUUGGCAUGGAUUCUUGUCACCUGGGCUAUUUCUUAUACAUCUCAUACUUUUCGGGCUCUCUUUUUGCUCAUUCCAACAAUACUUCUAGGAUAGAGAUCAUGGCAAAAGGCACUGCUCCUUCUGUAAAGAUAAAGACAGAGAGCCCACAAUUUUCAUCCCUGUAUGUCAACCCUAGGUGCGAUAUCUCUUUAUUGCUUUAACCUUUUAAGUAAAUGCAGUACGAGUUAGCUUCUUUUCAUCGCAUCUUUUUUGAGUUUCCUCUUUCUGAGUGAAGGAUUAUGUUGACUGAGCUUAUCAUUGUACAUAACUACAGAACAUAUAAUCAUAUCUUUCCAUACAGAAGUGUAAUUUUUUGUGCCAGUUAAGUCCAUCGGUAUCAUUUUAGUAAGCUGUUAAUUUCAUUUUCUCUGCCUGCUAUGUCUACUGGAUUUUCUCUACUUCAAAAUUUCGUCAUGUCUCUAUUAUCUCCAUACAAUCCUAAGUAUAAAAAGUGAAAAAUAAAAGAUGAACACAAGUUAGUAAGAAUAAAAAAGAAAAAGAAAAAGAAAAAAAAAAUACUCUCCCGGUCAGACUCAACUUGUUUUCCGGUGGACGUAUUUCUGCCUCAUCUCCAAGUUAAAUGCAACCCAAAUCAUGAAGCCUCUGGAAAUCUAAAACAUAUUUUUCCUUUUCUCCUUUUUCAUAGAACAGAUUCUCAUGAUUGUAGCAAUAAUCUGGUGUACAUUUGAAAACUACCAGACAACAUGGCAAGACAAUAAGCAAUCACCCAAAAAUUGGCUGUAGUCCUAGAAUAUUUCCGCUGUAGUCCUAGAAUAUUUCCUUUCCAAUGUUGUAAUUACUGAAACAUUGGCAUGUAUACUGUAUAUAUUGUCUUUCUCAACACUCGAUCAACUAAAAUUCUUUAGUAUUAUAAAACUCAUUUCACAGCUAUACUAAUUCUGCCAUAUGGAUAUACUUUUUAGUUACACUACACCUAGAAUUCUCUACCCGGAAGAUGGCAAGAGGCUUAAUAUCGUAAUUUAAGACAUUAAGGCUUGUUCAUUAUCAGACAGAAGAUCCUUGAAUUGACGAUCUCAGUACUCCAUUAUUCUCAACAUAUCCAUCCAUAAUGCUAUUGUAGUAUUGCCUUGUUUUUGUUUUUGUUUUUGUUUUUUUAAUGCAGUUAAAUCUUGCCCCUCACUUGAUUUAAUUUCUUGCUCCGCCUCUUGCAGGAUUAGUUACAGUAAAAAUCAAUGAUUAGGGAAUUAAACAAAUAGUCUGAUUAAACAUGCACAUCACAUACAAUACCACAAAAAUAGGAAUUUAUUUUGAUUGCUUUAAAUGGACAGUGACAUACUAAGUGGAGAGAAAUUUUAUCCUAGAAUCAAAUUGGGCUCGUCGGUUCAACUGGAAAAAAAAUGGAAAGUGAUCCAAAAUCUGGUCCCGUAGCAUGUAAUUUCCACAAGAUGAAAACUAUAAAAAACGGUAGUUUUAGGAAAUUUACAUGAGAGAAAGGAUGAUUCUUUUGAAUAAUUUGUUAAUAUCUUCAAUUAAAUGUUAUUCAUUACAACAACAUACGAGGAGUUCAUUAAGUACACAACAAAACCCAAAUGAAUAGUAAAAAAAAACCAACACACAAAAAAACCCAAACGAACAGUGUUAAAAAAAAAAAAAAAAAAAAAAAAUUUAAAAAAAAAAAAAAAAAAAAACAUUUGCAAAUGAAGAGCUUCUCCUUGUAGGAGAUGCUUGUCUCCUUAGGAUCGUGGAAAAGCAGAAAAAUAUGUCUGCCCCGUACUAAGGGCAAGGGCAAAAAUUGCACCUAGAAAGGCAAGGACGGUCCAAGGACUGCUGAAAUGUUUGUGCAUCGAUUCAGCUAUCCAAUACCGGCAUUUAUUCCUGCAAUACGUGUCAAUCUUCCCCUUAGCAUAUGCAUAUGCGUAAGGAUCAGGUACCAAACCAUCAGCUAUCUCGUUAAAGAGUGUGGCCAAGUGUUCGUCACUGCCUAGAUUGUUGACAAGAAUUCCCUUCUUUCGGAGCUCUUUAACAUCAUUGGCAUGAUCAAUGAGUGAAUCCAUUAGCCAAAUGUAUGACGUAAUGUGAGAAUCAUGAGGGCCAUUAGGACUCAUUUCAUAAGCCACUAAGUUUAAUAGCAAAGGUUUUGUUGUAUCAUCAACGAACAAAGGAGGGAGCAUCAUAGUUCCAUAAACAAGGUGAUCUUUGAACAUUACAUCAGUAACGCAAUGAGUUUUACUUGCUCUGAAACGAAUUCCCGCUUCUUCGAGCUCUGUUACUGAACGAUAGGAAUUCCAUUGAUCUGAUUCAUCCAUGGUUCCCUCUUUAUGAUUAGGCUUAGCUAGGCCGGCGAGAUGUUUACUCAUUAGGUCUAGAAGGUGAGGGCUUGCAUCCAAUUGUAAUUUUCUUUUGUCGUUUGUUUGACCACCAGGACAGUGGUCAUUGACAAACUUCUUGACCGCAUCACAGCAGCUUUUAUUGACAAAUUUCUUGACCGCAUCACAGCAGCUUUUAUUGACAAAUUUCUUGACCAAAUUAGUGCAUGAAGUUUUUUCAGGUGGCCUUGGGAAAAGGUCAAGGAAAUCCGAAAUCAACUCUGUAUUAUCUCCGAACCUGGAUUUCAACAAAACUUCUAGUACUAGUAAAGGAAUUUGAUUCUCUAGCAAGAACAAGUCCCUCCACACAAAAGCACUGAGGUAACUCUUCAUUGUGGGUAGUUGAUCUUCUUCUUUUGGUUUUAUCGUUGUUAAGAUGUACAUAUAUUGAAGCACAAAGCAGGCAUCAAGAAACAUCAUUUUGGUGAACGAUUCAUUGUCAUAGCAUGUAGUUGUGCCUUCCUCAUAGUAUUCUCGGGCACUGUCAGCCACCUUCGCCACCUCUGCAUAUAAUUGAUUGAUAGAUAUUUGAUCACCACAGGCAAGGCAGAAUUGAUUUGCAAAUUUAAAUUUUAGCUUCUCUACUGCUUCGAGCUCUGGAUUUCCAUGAUGAUAAGGGCCUAUUGAAACUACGAGAGGAACAUAACAUUUUUUGUUGGAUUCAACCUCACGCAGCAUUGAUGGAACCUUUUCUAUUCGCUGUUUCUUUGUUGUGUCUUCAACAUAGUUCUUUAUAUUGAUUAACCACUCAUCCACUCUAAUUUUGUUGCAAGCAUGAAAUUGCGUCUGCACAUAUUAUUAGGUUGGAAAUUUUGGUAAAGCGUCGUGUUUGUUGAUACUACAGUUUGAAUAAAUAUGAUAUUAUACAUUUGUACACGAAAAUGAUACACAUGUUAAGACUUAAUGAUAAAUGAACUUGAUGACAACAUCAAACAACCAACAUCAAGCAAUUAUCAGUGGCAUAUAGGCCAUCAACGUGGAGAUUUGAUGAUAGGAUGGUGAAAGUCGAACAAAAUAAAAUUUAUAGUCUUUCAUUAUUUAAAAUUAACAAGACAUUGGUUUCCUAUCAAGUAUAGAUACAAAUUUUACAUUAUAAAAUUGAUACCAAAUAUUUUACCAUAUCAAAAAGAUCGGGUUGAAUGUUUGGUAAAGCUUAGAUUUUCAUUUUUCAUUUUUUAUUUUGGUUACACAUGCUUUUAGUUCACACACACACACACACACACACACACACUUUUUUUUUUUUUUUUCAUAGAACCUAAAUUUAGGGUUGGCAACGGUUCGAUUGGGUCAAAAUCAUCACCGAACCACCAAAUUUUUGGUCUUACCAUUACUGCACCAUAACCACUUAAGUUAGAUCGAUCCGACUCGAUUCGUAUCUCAGGUCGGGCUGUUAAUAACCACAAAAUAAAUUAUUCUUUUAUAGGCCCAGCCAUCAAAUUGAAAAAAAAAAUUAUGAAAAAGAAAGUCAAUGAAAACAAAAACACAAUACUAAGUCAAUUAGCAAAAACAAUAGUCGAAACAAUGGGUAGAGCAAGUAGAGAUAAAGUUUCCACUUGGGAUGAACUAAAACUUUUUUUUGGGCCAACCUUUUUACUAUGCCCUACACAGACCUAUCUAUUUUCUAAAAUAAUUAACUUACAAAUAUGUACCAUCUUUCAUAUUGAGAAUUUAUGUGAAUGAACUAGAAUUUUGGUGGAGAAUUGUUACGUAUAUGAAAUUACAAUGAAAUUAGAUUUAGAAAUUGCCGAGACUUUUUGUAUCCCGUAUAUAUUAUUUUCUCGUUUAAAGGACUUAAUUUUAUAUAUAACACUCUCUUGAAAGAACAAUUUAUGAUUAUUUUUUGUGUAACACAGUAUUAAUUAAUAAGCAAUAAGGAUUAAGAUUAAUUAGCUAGUAGUAAAAUGUGCCUAUAUUAACAAUCGGACAUUAUGAUAACCAAUAAAAGACAAAAACGCAAAGUAAAAAAGUUUUAAGGAAAAUGUUACCAUUCGCUCCCAGGGUAAGCCUUGCAUUUUUAUGUUGUGCAUAGACUUGGAAAGUACAGUGUUGGAGUAAUAAGAAAAUUAUGUUUUGUUAUUGUAUGACAUAUGAAUUAGUCUUAUAUUUAUACAUGUCAUAAGAAGGGAAUCUCUUAGACAAACUUAAUUUUGUAAAUCACUUUAGAAAACUUCCUACUUAAUUUUGAGCAAAUGAUAAGCAUAGAAUAAUUUUACAUAGUAAAGAUUAUGCUUUUCAGAAUAAAAUUUUAUCUUUCCAGCCAUCCAGAGUUAUAAUUUUGUCUCUUCUUCCAUUAUAAUGUUUUCCUCUUUUGCUUCUCUUCUCCAUUUUUAGAGUAUGAUAUUGUAUACUCUUUGGUACAUUGUAAAGUCGAGCAAGAUUACAAACUCAAGAAAUAUUUAAUUUGACCAGAAGCACAAUGAGCUUAAGAUACAAUAUUUUGGUAACUUGUUAGUAGAGUUCACAAGAAAUUGUAACACGGCCGUAGAACAAAGGUUAGCACUUAGAGUUAACAAGUAAAUAAGUUCCAUUAAACUAUCUAAAAGGAUGUGACUUGAUCUCUCGAUGAGUUUCAGUAAAAUAUUAAAGUUCGACUUAAACAACAAAAAGAUGGUGUAUAUAAUAGAUUUACAAAAUGGUUUAUAUAUAGAUGAAAUGUCAAAAAGACGGUAGAGAAGUUUUUUUUUGUUGAAAAAAUUAUGAGCCAAUCAUAUUUCACUACAUCAUUUAUAUGUAAAUCAUUAUAUACAUAUAGCAUAAUCGUUGUAAAAGCGUCUUGUCAAAAUUCAUUUUAACUUGUAUCUCAUGCAAAUCCUAGUGUUAUAAUUGAUUACAAUCGUAUUAUAUACACUUUUACAUGUAUCUCGUGCGAAUCCUAGUGUUGUGUAUAACACAAAUAGAAUUAUUUUAAGCAACUUUAACAAGCUUGGAAUUGUAAUAUGAUUUGUUCCCACUUGGUGCCUUUUUUCUUUUUUUUCAUCAUCAUCACAAGUUUGGAAUAUUAACAUGCUAAACACAAGGAAUAAUCAAACACAACAGACACACCAAGCAAGGUGUGAAACUGCAAGUUAUUAAAAUAUCUUGAUAGAUUAGUGUUUUUUUUUUUUUUCAUUAUAAUCACUCUUUCGUAUUUUGUCAAGAUAAUAGAAAAUCGAGAUAUAUAAGAAUGAAAUUUUCAUUUAUCAAGUGGUGGAGAUUAGUGUCAACGUCUCAAACAUAGUGAAGUGAAGUAAACAAUAUCAUUUGUGCUCCUGUUUUUUUAUUCAAAACCAAAAUCGACAAUUAAUUUUAACCAAAUAUUGAUCCACAACUUUAUCAAUUUUUUAUUAAAAUUUACUAAAAAUAUGAUUUUAAUCCCUAUUAAAUAGGGGCUAUUUAUAUAUUAAAGAAGAAAAAGAGUUAUAAUCUUAUUAUAUAUUGCUUAAACAUAUUUAGUACUUCACGCCAACCAUGUUAUGCUAAAAUCUCACACAAGUACAGAGAAGCAUAAUAAGUAAUAAAUUGAUCUAAGAGUCCGAAUUAUCAUUUUCGCGAGGAUCUCAUAUUUUGCUUAAUAUUAACUUUAACUCAAAUAGCAAAAUUGUAUGGUGAUUAUGAUUGAAUAUUCAAACUCUAUGAACUAACUAAAUAUAAAGCGUUAAACUAAACCACAAAGCGUUUAUGAACAUUCUUUUAACUAAAAUCAAUAGGACCUCGAAAUUCCCUAUAUUCUUCCAUUUUAAUAUCAACCCAAGUAAUUGACAAUAAUUAUUUAGACUCGACGAUCAAUUUUUUUAUUUAAUAAACUCUCUUGAGUAAUGUUAAAUAUAUUUCCACAUAUAACCUUGUUAUAUUUGUACGAAGAGUGUGAAUAAAUGAAAAUGGAUUAAAGUUAAUUAAUCUCUCUUGAGUGAAUAAACGAAAUUCCCUAUAUUUGUACGAAGAAUGUGAAUAAAUGAAAUUCCCUAUAUUCUUCCCUUUUAAUGUCAAAUAUAUUUCCACAUAUAACCUUGUUAUAUUUGUACGAUCAAUUUUUUUAUUUAAUAAUCUCUCUUGAGUAAUGUUAAAUAUAUUUCCACAUACAACCAUGUCAUGCAAAACAUAUUGGUAUAUUUAUUUAUUUUUUGUCAGAUUGUUACUACUUACUACAAUUCCUAUUCCUUCCCUCAAGAAAAAGAAUCACGAAUUCAUUCAAUUAUUGAUCAAGUAACUGAAAGCAUUAAUAACCUAACAAUCAAUCAAGCUAAACAAAUAUUUAACAUCAAAGUAAAAUUAAUAUUAAAUUUCAAAAUAUAAUGUUCAUCGUCAUCAUAUUAUCUAUAAAAUUAGGCAAACAUCAUAAAAUUACAAAAACGUGUUUGGAAAUAGUAAGACUGUAAUGCCCCAAAACCUAUGCACCAGAGGUUACUUGAAUAAUCGCUUUAACCAUUAUAAAAGUUUAUUGACGCAUUAUAACAUAUAAAAAAAUUUGAAGAAACGUAGCGGAAUACACUAAACUAUUUUUUGUCUCAUAAAAAGUCACAUAAAUUUAAACCACUAAUGAAAUAUAAAUUUAGCACUUAUUUUUUAAAAAUUCAACAUUGAUUUAAAAAAAAAAUUCUAAUUUAACUAAAAAAAUGUUUUCUAGCUAUAUACUAAAUAUUAAAAGAAAAUCUUAAAUUCUUGAUCUAGCAACACGGACUCUGUCAGCGGUUUCAACUUCCAACUCCGAUCCAUCAAAUGUCUGUAAAAAUAAUUUAAAAUAUGGAAUGAGCAUAUGAAUAUACUCAGUAUAGAUUUCAUCUCAGUAUUUUCAUGAUUUAAUAUGAAAAGCAAGUAAAAUACUUACAUAACAUAACUUUUUUAGUAGGAUAAAAAACUGAUCGUCUCAUUCUCACUUAAAUCAUACUCAUUCUCAAUCUCCACUUAGGGUAUUUAACCAUGUGGCUGGUUUUCGUGUAGAUCUACAUAUUAGUGCCCCCAUGGUGUUUCCCACAACAUCUUUCUUUAGUUUGGAUCACAUAAUAGCACAUAAAAUACUUAGCUUAAAACAUUAAAAAGUGAAAACACAAAAUCACUCGGUAUUUAGAGAAAUUCAUACCUAUUCGUUAAAUUCCUUGUGUGCUUGAGCUAUUUAGGAUUGAAAAUUCUGGCGAACGAAUCUCAAACACGCCGAAAAAUUUUCUUUUCUUUUCUUUCCUUUCUCUCUCUUUCUUUCAUACGUUUUUUUUCUUUCUUUCUACCUCUCUAAAUUUGCAUGAAUUAAAGUGCACAAUAAGAGGAUAUUUAUAGGUGUGAUAAUGAUAAUGAUAUACUUCGAAUUUAAAUUGGACUCUCAACAAACAACCUUAUCAAAUAAAAUUUAAUUACAUGAGGAUAAUAUUCUAGUAUAAAUAUUUUAAAAUCCUAAAUUUAUCUAAACACCUUUAUAUUAAAUCAUCCGAUAAUAAUUCAACACAUAUCCAAACAUUAAAUUUUAAUUUCGUUAAAAAUCUUAUUUUCAUAGGUAUGAUAAAAUUCUAACCUUCUUUAAAUACUUUCAUAUCAGAUAAUUCAAUUAUAAUUUAAUAGAUGUCCCAAAUUUAAUUUUAUGUGAAACUCAUAUAAAUUCAAUUAUUAGGAAUAUUAACACAAGAUCCUAGAAAAUGGUUAAGUUGCUUAGUCACCCUAAAAUUUCAAAACGUAUAGUUAUCCCUCAUAAUAUAUUGUACAAAUAUUUUGGGUAUAACAUCCUCCUCUCUUUAAAAAAUUUCGUCCUACAAAUUUACCUUGGUUAUCAAAAACUUGUGAGUAUUUAGCUUUAAUAUCUACUGUCACACGUUUUAUGCAACAUGAUUUAUACUGCAAGUGUACGAUGUCAACUUUUGUAAUAUACUAUUAGAGUAAGAGUGUCGAACCCAUAUUGAUUGAUAUUUAAAUCAUUUUGAGUACUAUAAUUAUUUCAGCUUUCACUUUAUUUAGAAAAUCAAAAUUUAACACGAUGUUUUAUACUAAAUGAGAUGAACGAUGCAAGUAAAUAAGGGCAAUUUGAAAAGUUUCUUAUCAAAUUAUGAAUGCAUAGGGAGUGAUUUCACCGUACUAUCGACAAUGUUUUUCAACCGUUAUAACUAUUUCUAUCAAUGUUUCCAAAAUUUAUAGGCAAGAACACUAAAUUAAUUUCAUUUCCCUCUCGAGAGAGUCAAAUAGAAUCUAUUUCUAUAUUUUAAUUUCAAUAUCUCUAUUCCGAACUAAAACAUAAAAAUCAUCAAGCACUUUGUUCUUAAUUUAAACAAGCCUCAAAGAUAUCGCAUUUUCUCUCGAAACCUACAAAAUCUAGGUUAUGUUGUCUUAGAUCACACCUAAAUUUGUCUCUCUCGAGCACCGAAAUUUAAAGUAUCAAUCAUUCAAUUAGUGGCCAGUUAAUUGAAAGUAUUACACAAGAAUCAACAUAAAUAAAUAAGCAGAAAGAUUAAAUAAAAUAAUUAUAUCGGAAUCAAAACAUGUCUAAGGAUGUUACAUCAAACCCUAGAAUUAAUGUUUAGUUCAUGAUGGAAGAAUUAAAUCUAAAUAAAUUGAUGAAUAACAUAAAGAGAAAAAGAAAGAAAACCUCUUUUGAAGCUUUUAAUUGGAAAUUCCCUUGAUGUUCUUCAUGCCUCAUUGCCCUUGAUGAAUUGUCUUCAAUCUUGCCCCCUUCAAUUGUUGUGUUUGGCCCUCAUCUUCUUUUUCAAAAUAGGGUUUUUUGAAUGGUAUUUAUAGUAUGUUGGGAUCUUGGACGAAUUAGGGUUGGAUUGGGCCAAGAAAAGAUUCCAAAAAUAUAAAAGACGUGUUUUCCUGCACAUCCGGUGUCGAUAUGGGCACUGCGGCACCAGGCUUGCUGCUCAAAUUCAGAUUCAUGGGCACUGCAGCGCCCAGAUUGGGCGCCUCGGCGUUUGGUUCGGUCAGAAAUGACAGACUGCACACUUUUCAGUAUUUUUAACAUAACUUCUUUGUCCAAUGUCCGAUUGAGGUGAUUUAAGAUGCAUUGAAAAGUUAACUCAAAGAGCUACAAUUUUGAUUCAGACAUUAUUCUCCAACUCGAUCGUUUGAUUUGUCAAAAACAGGUCUCAAUGUGAGUCUAAAAUUCUGGAGCGUAACUUUUCGGUUGGAAAUUGAUUUGUGAUCAUAUUUUGCCUAAAUUUGAUCCCUUUGACAUCUUUCCUCAUGCAUUUGACUCCUAACACUCUCGGAUCUUUUUCGUGAGGUUCGUACAAGUUUUGAUUAUUUGCAUUUUAGUCCCUGAAAUUUGAAUCUCUUACAAAUUGGUCAUUUUUCUUCAAUUUCGCCAACUUUUGUUUAUUUCUUUCAAUUUCAUCAACCUGCAUCGCAAUACAAAAACACUCAUUAAAAUUAUCUAAAACACUCUCAAGGAUAGGAAAAUAACGAAUGACGUGGUACAAACAUAAUGAGUAUGGAGCACUCAUCAUCUACCUCAUGUUCCUAAGUGGACUUUUCCAUCGUGUGAUUCCGCCACUGAACUUUUACUAAUGGAAUUUUUCUAUUUUUGAAGUGUUCGAAUCUUCCUAUCCAAGAUGACGCUUGGAGUUUCCUCUUAAGUUAGAUCUGAAUGAAUGUCUAAUGGUUUAGGAUUAAUCACAUGGCCAAGAUCUGAUACGUAUUUUUGAAGCAUAGAGAUAUGAAAGACAUUGUGUACUGCUAAAAGUUCAGAAGGCAAUGCCAACUCGUAAGCCACAAUUCCCACACGUUUCAAAAUCUCAAGAGGUCCUAUGUAUCUUGGUUGGAGUUUUCCGCUUUUGCCAAAUUGAACAACUCUCUUCAUAGGAGUUAUUUUUGGGAAAACUUUGCUACCAACCUCGAACUCAAGAUCCUUCAUCCUAUUAUCUGCAUAACUUUUCUAUCGAUCUUGGGCAGUCUUUAUUCUAGCCCAAAUCUUCUCAAUAGCUUAAACUGUUCGCUCAAUAAUCUCAUGCCCUAGAAUUCUUCGCUCACCAAAUUCAUCGCAAUGAGUUGGAGAUCUACACCUUCUACCAUACAAAGCCUCAUAAUGAGUCAUUCAUAUAGUAGUUUGAUAGGUAUUAUUAUAGGCAAAUUCUACUAAUCGUAGAUGUUUUUCCAGUUUUCUCCAAGAUCUAGGACACAUGCUCGAAGCAUGUCUUCAAGAAUUUGAAUAGUCCUCUCUGACUGAACAUCUGACUGUGGAUGGAAAGCUAUCUAGAAGUUUAGCUUAGUCCACGUUUCCUUGUGCAUACUUUUCCAAAAUUUUGAAGUGAUCUCGGAUCUUUAUUUGACACAAUAGAGACGAGGGUCCCAUGUAAUCUAAUCACUUCUCUAACAUAUAAUGUAAGAAGUGAACAGACUUUGUCAAUCUAUCAAUAAUAACUCAGAUUGCAUCAUUUCCUCUAUUUGAUUUUGGAAAACCAAUUACAAAAUCCAUGGCAAUGUGCUCCCAUUUCCAUUCAUGAAUUUCUAGUGGGUUUAAUAAUCCUAACGGUCUUUGAUGUUCUGCUUUCACUUACUGGCAAAACAUGCACUUCUCUACAAUUAGACCUAUUCCUCUUUUCAUAUUUCGCCACCAGAAUGUGUGCUUUGAAGAUCUUUAUACAUCUUUGUUCCUCCAAGAUGUGCUGCAUAGGGGGCGAAGUGAGCUUUUUCUAAUAUUUCUUUUUGUAUUUUCUCAUCCUUCGGUACACGCAAUCUUUCUUUAAACAUCAAUGUAUUAUCUUCAGCUAGCUGAAAACCUUUUCGUUUGCCAGUGCCAACUUCACCUCUAAUCUUUUGUAGAAAUGGAUCACUAUCUUGAGCUUUCUUAAUUCGAUCUCGAAUAGUAGGUUGAACUGAAAGAGCAGCAAUUUGUGCUGCAAUAUCUACUGGAGGUAAGAUCACCUCAAGUCGUAAGUUAUCUAUAUCUUUGAUUAAUGAUUUCUGUGUAGUAGGUAUAGCUAUCAAAUGUCGUACCAUCUUUCUGCUUAAUGCAUCAGCCGCUACAUUGGCCUUUCCUAGAUGAUAAUGAAUGGCACAAUCAUAAUCUUUCACCAUUUCUAGCCAUCUGCAUUGUCUCAUAUUCAAUUCCUUUUGGGUGAAGAAGUACUUUAGGCUCUUGUGGUCCAUAUAAAUAUCACAUUUAGCUUUGUAGAGAUAGUGUUGUCAUAUCUUUAGUGCAUGAACUACUGCUGCUAACUCCAGGUCAGGCGUUGGAUAGUUUUCUUCAUAGGACUUUAGUUAUCUGGAAGCACAUGCGAUAACUUUACCAUGCUACAUAAGUACACAUCUUAGACCGUGUUUAGAAGCAUCGCUAUAGAUAACAAAGCCUUCUGACCCUUUAGGUAUGGUCAAAAUUGGAGCUGAGAUCAAUUUUUGUUUUAGUUCUUAAAAGCUCUAUUCGCACGUAUCCGUCCAUUGAAACUUCACAUUUUCUCCCGUUAAUUGAGCCAUUACGAUGGCAAUCUUUGAAAACCCUUCAAUAAAUCGCCUAUAGUAACGUGUUAAUCCUAAGAAGCUACGCACUUCUCUAACAUUAGUUGGUCGAGGCCAAUUGGUAAUUGUUUCUAAUUUACUCGGGUCAAUUUCAAUUUUUUGAAUUUAGCAUAGAGCUUCUCCUUCUUCAGUAUUUCGAGAAUAAUCCUUAGGCUGAAUGUUCAUGCUCACUCUUCGAAUAGAUUAGUAUAUCAUCAAUGAAGACGAUAACAAACUGAUCCAGAUAGUUAUGGAAGACUCAAUUCAUGAGAUCCAUAAAGGUAGCUGGCGCAUUUGUCAAGCCAAAGGGCAUCACCAAGAACUCAUAGUGUCCAUAUCGAGUUCUAAAUGCGAUUUUAGAAACGUUAGUUGCUUUAAUUUUCAACUGAUGAUAACCUGCUAUUAAAUCAAUUUUCGAGAAGACCUUGGCAUCUUGUAGCUAGUCAAAUAAAUCUUCAAUUCUAGGAAGGGAAUAUUUAUUUUUAAUUGUAAUAUGAUUCUACUCUCAAUAAUCGAUACACAUUCUCAUCGAUCCAUCCUUCUUCUUUAUGAACAAUAUUAGAGCUCCCCAUAGUGAGACACUAGGUCUAAUAAAAUGCUUGUCUAGCAACUCCUACAAUUGUACUUUCAAUUCUUGAAGUUGUACUGGUGCCAUACGAUAAGGAGCCUCCGAAAUUUGCGUGGCACUCGAUACAAGGUCAAUAGUGAACUCGACUUCUCGAUUUGAAGGCAUUCCAAGUAAAUUUUCUAGAAUACAUCUGAAAAAUUCCUAACCACUAAGACUUCAUCAAUGAUUAACUCUUUCUAAUCAGUGCUGGUCAAAGAUACUAAGAACCCUUAAGCUGACUUGUACAGCCUGCACCGCUGAUAUAAGUCGGGGUAGAGGUUUCACCCUUAUUCCAAAGAAGUGAAAUUCUUCUUCACCAAGUCGUUGAAAAAUUACAUCCUUUUCGAAACAACAAAUGGUUAAAUGAUUUUUCGACAAUCAGUCCAUUCCAAGUAUAACAUCAAAAUCUUUCAUACCUAGGACCACUAAAUCUAUUUUUAUAAUCUUUCCAUCCAUUUCUAAAUUUAGGUUCCUCGCCAUGUAAUUUGCAUUAAGCACAUUCUAUAUUUGACUUUGAAACGAAUAUUGAAGAAAUGAACAAGUGUGUUGCUCCUGAAUCAAUUAAUAUAAAAAUGGCAAAUCAGAGAUUGAUAUGAUACAUGUCAUUACAUUGCAGUCGAGCUCUACCUCUUUUUGUGUCAAAGCAAAAACUCUAGCCUUGCCCACCUUUUGAGCUUCAGCCUUCUUUGAAUGUCCCUCAAUGCAAUCUUUGGCGACGUAUCCUGGCUUGCCACAUCUGUAACAGAUACCCUUUCCUGCCAAGUAUUCUCAUUUUUGAAGUUUCUGACAUUUAGGACAAAGAGGUUAUAGAUCCUUGUCACGAAUAUUGGCAUCUGUUUCUGUCCUUCCUUUCUUGUUGGGGCCUUUUCCAUUCUUCUUGCUAUUGUUGCACCAUUUGUGCUUAUCUAAGUAGACAAUCUGUUGCUUACUACUUUUAUAAAUUUGGUCAUCAUCAAAGGUGUAUACUUGAGCCUUAUCCAAAAUUCCCUGAUAAGUACCUAGUUGGAAUACUGACACUGCUUUUCUAAUGUCAGUUCUUAGUCCACACUCAAAGUAUCAAGUUCGUCUCUCUUCUGUGUCCACCAGGUGUGGGGCAAAUCUGGAUAACUCCUCAAAUUCACAAUCGGUAAGCGUUAUGUUUCUCUGCUUCAGCUCAAGAAACUCUGCUUCCUUCUUAUCUCCUAAGGUAGCUGGAGUACUACCUCUUUGAACUGUGCCCAUGUAAGGUUACACUGUUGCUCCUCGGUGUAGGACCACCAAUGACCUGCUUACUUUUCCAUCAUAAAUAUUGCACAAAAGAUUUUUUGUCGGUCAGUACAUUCCAUAAAUCUAAAGAUAUGCUCAAGAUAGCAAAACCAUUCUUCAGCAACCAGUGGAUCGGGACCACCUUCAAACACAAGUGGGUGCAGCUUGCGAAACUAUUUUUAUAAUUGAAGAUUUUCGCGGCCUGCCUCGUAGCUGUUGAGGUGUUGCUGUUGCGACAUCUCUCACAUAGUAGCCAGUAAUUCUCAUGCUAAGUUAGCUACCAUCUAAACCUUAAAUGUGGGGAUCGUAUAUUAGACGAUAAUCAAGUCAAUUCAACUAUCUUGGUAUAGCUGACGACGAUAAAAUAACGUUUCUGUUCACUAUAUUCUCAUUGUUUCUACUAAGAUUUGACUAAAUGGACUUUAUAUAUAUUAGUCUUCUUGUGGGUUUGCAAUAUUGUUUUUCGUUUUAUUGAUUGAAUAACAAGCAACUGAAAAGACUUCCAGGUAAGGAGAGGGGGACACAAGUGGGCCGCUUAAAUCACAAGCUAACCUUAGACAGUUUAAUCCUUUUUGACAAAGCCUUUUAGUCUUGUGAAUAUGCAAAUCAAGAAAACUCAAACAAUAAACUUCCCCGUUAGUAUUAUUAUUAUUAUUAUUAUUAUUAUUAUUAUUAUUAUUAUUAUUGUCAUUUGAUUUGAAAAUAACCGAACUAAUGUCAAUCUAAAUGCAUUCAUGUAGUUCAUAACUAAAUAUAUCCACUCAAAAGAUAUACACAUGACGUAGCUAUUACUACAGGAAAAUAUAAACAUGUGAUUCUACAAUAAGUGUUACAUAUAAAGCAGCUUUAUCUAAUUUAUUAAAAUUUCAACAUCCAAUAUCAUAAUCAUAAUUUUUUUUGCACUGUAAAAAAAAUCCAAAGCUCAUUAUACAGACAUUUAAAGCUAAUAAAAUGAUUUCAUACCUUAGAUCAUCAGUAUAUUUAUCUAAACACCUUUAUAUUAAAUCAUCCGAUAAUAAUUCAAUAUAUUUCCAAACAUUAAAUUCUAAUUUCGUUAAAAAUCUUAUUUUCAAGUUAUAAUAUGAUAAAAUUCUAAACUUAUAUAAAUACUUUCAUAUCAGAUAAUUCAAUAGUAAUUUAAUAGAUAUCCCAAAUCUAAUUUUAUGGGAAACUCAUAUAUAUCCAAUUAUUAGAAAUAUUAACGCAAGAUCCUAGUAAAUGGUUAAGUUACUAUGUCACCCUAAAAUUUCAAACAGCGCAUGUUAACAUAUAUAUAGUUGAAUAUAUUUGGGAGUUAUUUUUAGGGAUUAUAUUUAUCUAGUUUUCUUAUAUAUUAAAUGACUACACACACACACAAAAUAGAGAACACAAUGAAAGAAAUUUUUUUGCAAAAAUUAUCUCAAAUGGUCGGUCCCUUUUGGUCAUGGUAUCAGAGCUGGGGAAAGAGUUCUAAAGCAUUGCCUUCAUCUUCCUGUUCGACGUGUUGGUUGCCAGUUGUUGGUGGCUGUGUGGUUUCCAGCCCUUGGUUUGCAUUUUUUUCCGAUUCCGGUGCCAUUGUUUGUUGUUCUCUCUCGAAUCGUCCCAUUGGGUUCUCUCCUGUCAGCACGAACCCUCUGUUUCGAUCUUGGUGACGUCACUGUCUAAUUUCGCUCGUAUCUUUGCGUCUCUCAGGUUCCAACAACAUUGGUGGCGGCUUUUCCAGCGAAUUUUGGUUAGUUUUUACAGCUGGUGUCUUAGGUCACCAUCGUCCUUUCUUCCGAUCGAGAGAUUGUGAUGGUGAGAGCGUGUUUUUGGGUACCGAGUGCAUUUUCUUUGGUUUAAGGUAGGCGUUUACUGUUUAGGCCUUGUUUGAUUGGGCCUUCUUUUGGUUUUAAUUUGUUUGAUUGGGCUCUCAUCCGAUUGAGUAUUUACUUCAGUCAUAUUUUAGUUGGAUAAUUUGCUUCAUCAUGUCAUCAGAUAAAUUAGAAUUCUUUCCCGUUCGUUUUAAUGGCAAAAAUUACUUAGCUUGGGAAUUUCAAUUUCAAUUAUUUGUCAAAGGUAAGGAGUUAUGGGGUCAUCUUGAUGGCAGUGAUCCCGCCUCUAAAGAUGUAGAAACUUUGUCCAAAUGGAAAACCAAGGAUGCUCGGGUUAUGACCUAAAUCCUUAGUUCAAUUGAACCUCACCUUAUUCUCAAUCUGAGACCUUCUAAAACUGCUGCUAUGUAGGAUUGCCUUAGUAAUCCCACAUAAACAAGACAACACAACUAGAUGUUUUCAAUUAGAGUAUGUGAUGACACAAGGAAGUCUCUUGAUUGAAGAAUAUUUUUCAGGUUUUCAAAACCUUUAGGCUGAAUAUUCAUAUAUAAUUUAUGCUAAUGUUGCCGCUGAAGCUUUAUCGACUGUUCAGAAAAUGCAUGAGACAAGCAAAAGGGGUUAAUUCUUGAUGACGCUAUGUCCUGAUUUUGAGGUUGCUUGGUCUAAUCUGAUGAAUCGUCAUCCUGUAUCAUCAUUGGAUACUUGUUUGGGUGAACUUCUUCGUGAGGAGCAACGUAUAGUUACUCAGGCUACCAUGGAAUAUAGGGAUACUAUUAGUACUCUUGUUACUAUGAUUAUGCAGCACAAGAAAGGAAUUACAGUCGAGACAUGUGUGCUGUCCAGUGUUAUAACUAUAAAGCUUUUGGUUACAUUGCUCAAGAUUGUCCUAAGAAAUAUUGUAAUUACUGCAAGAAACAAGGUCAUCACAUAUCUGUUUGUCCCAUUCGACCAGAAAAGAAGCAUACUAAUGUCUAUCAUGCCUCUAUCGAUGCCUCUAGCCUUGUACAUUGUUCCUAAUCCUGCUUCUGCAUCCACCCUUACUCCUGAAAGGGUACAACAGAUGAUCAAUUCUUUUUUCUCUGCUUUUGAACUUUCAGGUACUCAUUCAACCUCUUCUAAGCUAUGGUUCUUUAACUCUAGAGCCUCUAACCAUAUGACCAAUAAUGUUAUUCCUCUGUCCAAUGUAAGAUAAUAUGAUGGGAAUCUAAAAAUUCACACCGCCAAUGGUAGUUCUAUGCCUAUCAGUGCUGUUGGUGACCUUUCUGCUUCUUUAACUAAUGUUUUUGUGUCUCCCAGCCUUUCUACAAAUUUAAUCUCGAUUUGUCAAUUAGUUGAUAACAAUUAUGAUGUUUAUUUUUCUCGUUCUGGUCAUGUUGUGCAAGAUUCGAUGUCCGAGAAGAUGAUCGCGAAGGGGUCUAAAGUCGGACGACUCUUUCCCUUGCAUAUUUAUCCUUUUCCUAGUACUCAUUUACUUUUAUUUGCAUGUAAUGUUGUUAGUACUGAUAAUAAGUUGUGGCAUAAACGUUUAGGCCACCCGAACUCUGAUGUACUUCGUAUUUUAUUUCCUUCUAAUUUAUUAGGUAAUAAAGGAUGUUCUUCUGAUCAUUUUUUUUAUUAUACUGCAUGCAAAAUUUUGCAAAAGUAAAAUUCUACCAUUUUCCUAUCAUGGAUCUCGUGCCUCACAAUGUUUUGAUAUUGUUCAUAGUGAUGUUUGGGGGAUUUCACCUAUUAUUUCUCAUGCAUGUUAUAAGUACUUUGUUAUAUUCAUAAUGAUUUUAGUCAUUUUACUUGAGUUUAUUUUUUAAGAGCCAAAGUCGAGGUCUUUUCAGUUUUUAAGCGUUUUCUUGCUCUCAUUGAAACUCAAUUUUCUAGUGACAUAAAGAUCUUACAAUCUGAUUUUGGGAGAGAAUACAUGUCAAAUGAGUUUCAGAACUUUCACCAAAUCAAAAGUAUCAUAUCCCAACAUUCUUGUCCUUGAUGCCGUAGCAAAACAGUGUUGUUGAGAGAAAGAAUCGUCACCUUCUAAAUAUAGCAAGAACGCUUUUAUUUAAAGCAUCCAUUCCCUCUCGAUUAUGGUGUAAAGCACUUUCCACAUCAGUUCAUUUAAUUAAUCGUUUACCCUCUUCUAUUUUAAAUCAUGCUCCUCCUUACUUUAGGUUGCUUGGACAUUUACCAUCAUAUUCUGAUCUACGUAAUUUUGGUUGUGUUUGUUUUGUACAUCUUCCUAUUCGUGAGCGACAUAAAAAACUUACUGCUCAGUUUGUUAAGUGUGCUUUUCUUAGCUAUGUUGUCUCUCAAAAGGGUUAUGUUUGCUUUGAUCCUCAUGCUUAACGUAUCCAUAUUUCUAGGAAUAUGGUUUUCUUUGAAAACCAGUAUUUUUUUUCAUCUCAUGUUGAGCUGCCCUCUACAUCUUUAUCUAUUCUACCUAACUUUUUUUAUUCCCCAAAUGUUGUAACAUGAUUUAAACUAGGACUUGAGUAUGAACGACGUAAUCGUAAGUUUAGCGCCAUUUUUUCUGUGCCCCUUUCAAGAUCUCGACCUGGCUCCAAAUCUUGCUACAACUCCCAUAUGUCUUCGUCGAUCUAUACAUCCUUCUCGUCCACCUGAUCAGUAUGAUUUCUCCUCUCCUAUCUCUCUUGUAGUUACUUUAUCUGCUAUUUUCAGUCCCACUUGUUACAAAGAGCCCAUGGAACAUGAGUAUUGACAAAGGGCAAUGUAAGCAGAACUUCAGGCACUUGAGGAGAAUCAUACUUGGAACGUUGUACCUUGUCCUCCUCAUGUGAACCCUAUUGGAUGUAAAUGGGUUUUCUCUAUAAAACUUCAUUCUGAUGACUCUGUGGAUAAGUAUAAAGCUCGUCUUGUAGCUCUAGGUAACAGACAGAUAUUUGGGGUUGACUAUGAUGAGGCCUUUACUGUUGUUGCCAAAAUGACCACAAUUAGAACAAUCUUAGUGGUUGCUGCCUCCCAGUCAUGGAAAUUCAUCAGUUGAUGUGAAGAACGCCUUUCAUUAUAGCGAUCUUCACGAAGAGAUUUAUAUGAAGCUUCCCUCUGGUAUGACUACUUCAUCUUAUCAUAAUAUGUGUAGACUACAAUGUUCUCUUAAAGCCUCAAGUAGGGCGCCGAGCUUGGUUUGAAAAGUUUCGUACCACACUCAUUACCUUCAGUUUUACACAGAGUCAGUAUGAUUCUUCUCUCUUCUUCCACAAGUCUGCCUCGGGUAUUGUACUUCUUUUGAUUUACGUGGAUGAUAUUAUCAUCAUUGGCACUUAUUGUGGUUUCAUUUUGAAGCUUCAACGAUUAUUGCAUGCCACUUUUCAUAUAAAAUAUAUUGGUCAGCUCAUAUACUUCAUGGGACUGGAAGUUCAUCAUCGGCCUAAUGGUAUUUUCUUAAACCAGCAUAAAAUAUUCAGGAUCUUAUUGCGUUGGCUGGGAUGGACGAGUCUUCUUCUGUGGAUACUCCUAUGGAAGUCAAUGUAAAAUACUAGAAAGACGAAGGGUAUCUUUUAGACGAUCCAACUUUAUAUCGUCGCCUCGUUGGGAGUCUUAUCUAUUUGACUACCACUCAUCCAAAUAUCUCCUAUGUCGUCCAUCAGGUUAGCCAGUUUAUGUCUUUUCCUCGACAUCUUCAUCUUGCAGCUGUUCGUCGUAUUGUUCGCUAUCUUCGUGGAUCACCUACUCGUGGGUUGUUCUUUCCUAAAGGGUCUUCUUUUCACUUUUUGGCCUACAAUGAUGCUGAUUGGGCUGGAUGUUCGGAUAUGCAUCGUUCUACUACGGGUUGGUGUACAUUUUUGGGUGAUGCAAUGAUCUCUUGGAAAUGUAAGAAACAGGAUUGUGUUUCUAAACCAUCUACUGAGGUGAGUAUUGUGCUAUGUCCAUAGCUUGUUUAUAUAUUAUUUGGUUACGUGGUCUUCUGGAGGAACUUGGGUUUUCUCAAACUUACCCUACUCCCCUUCAUGCCGAGAACACUAAUGCUCUUCAGAUUGCAAGCAAUUCUGUAUUUCAUGUUGCAUCAAGUACAUUGAGGUUGAUUGUCACUUUAUUCGUGAUACUUUGAUGGAUCGAGUGAUAUCUCUUCCCUACAUUUCUUCUGAUCUCCAAGUGGCAGAUGUGUUCACCAAAGCACUAACUCGACUGCGGCAUCAAUUCCUUGUUGGCAAAUUGUUGCUGGUUGACCUCCUAACAUCAAUUUGAGGGGGGAUGUUACCGUAUAUAUAGUUGGAUAUAUUUGGCAAUUAGAUUAUUUUUAGGGAUUAUAUUUAUUUAGUUUCCUUAUACAUUAAAUGACUGUACAUAUAUAUACACAAUAGAGAACACAAUGAAAGAAAAGUUUUUGCAGAAAUUAUCUCAAUUGUUCGGUCACUUUUUGUCAGUGUAGUUAUGCCUCAUAAUAUAUUGUACAAAUUUUUUGGGUAUUACAGAGACACUAAGACAUCACCUGAAUUUCAAUUUAUAGUUCCAAGAUUAUUUUAAAUUGUGGACGAAUCACAAUAUUCCAUGUAGAAGUCGACUUAAAUUAGGCAACAUUUCUUUUCUGUAAGUAUUCACCUUGAACACUGGCAAUAAAUUUUCUCUUCUCGUGUGCGUAUAGUAUAAACCCUGCCAUCACGUGGUUUAAUGCUUUCCUUCCCGUUCAAGUUAGUCCCUAAAUUUUCCUAUUGGUUUAGCUCGAGUCCUUUCCUAUUUACAUUAUGAAUCCUUCAUCUUUCAAUUAUAAAAUAACUUAAUCCCCAUAUUCCGUAAUUUGUUCUUUUUUAGUCGUUAUCAAUCGAUUACGUUCCCUUUCUUCAUAUAUCAUCCAACAUCAGAUUUUUCUUAAAAUAAUCAAUAUACAACCAAAAUUAAGUAUUGAAGCAAUACAAGUACUCCCAAACGUCCAUUUUCAAUGUCAAGAUAUGUUAGACUUAUCACAAGUCAUUAAUUAGAGACUAUAUUCAACAAAAUGGGGAGUAAAUCAUUCCUUUAAAUUUAACUUGUAACGGCAAAAAAUUUUUCUUUGAGAAUUUUAUUAACAGCCUCUUUUCAAUGAAAAAAACGAAAAAGUAGAUUUUUUUUCUAAUGUGUACUUACAUAUAUUCCUUUAAAUAGAACCGUAAAUAAUACAUGACUAUGUUUUGUGGUUGAAGCGUUCAAAGUAACUUCUAUACUAUCAAAUUAAAUAAUUUUUUUUUCACGUUAUAGAAAAUAUUAACCUUUUCAAAUAUGUUUAAAAACUUGGCAAGAGUAAUCGACAACGGGCUCCCCCACAAAAGGUACUAGUCGUGUGCAUUAUAUCACUGAAGGGUCAAUGACAGUCAAGUGUUCGUUGAGGGUUCGAACGAUGACAACCUUUUGUCAUUAUUAGUAGGGACCAUGUUAUAUAUACAUAAUUUUUUUAUUUAAUCAUUUACCUACUACUCACAAAAGGAGGUGGGGCUACAUUUGAAAAUUUUUAUAUUCACGCGGGGCCUGCAUGCAUUGUGAGAGGAGGACAACUUUCGGUACAAAUGAACUUGUCCCAUUUAGUAGUUUCUACUACAAUUUGCAACGAUGAUGAUAGGAAUUGGAUUGAGAAUAACAAAAAAAAUAUUAGUAUGUAGUUGAAGAGUAGCAUGAGGAGUUGAGAAAGGUAAAAAAGAUAAAGAUAUGACGAUGAUAGGAAAAUUUUUAAAUAAUAUUACACACUAAUCCAACGACCCGAUAGUAUGGCUAGAUUCAUGACUGAAUCGAUUCUCACAACUAUACAUAAGUUUAUACAAUACAGUGGACGGAUGAAUGUCCUAUAAGGGAUGUUCUAAGUAUACUCUCCUUACAACGUGUAAGUAAAUUCAAAUUACAAAACCAAUUUUGCUUUUGUUUUUAUGAUGCAUGGCCCAUUGAAAUUUGUUGACGACGAUAAGAUGCCAAGUUCAAGUCUCCUAUUUUUCUUUGGCAACUUAGUUAAAAUUGUUUACAAACUCAAACUUUGUAUAAAUACCGUUCAACAUUUUUUUUCUAUAAUAGUUUAUGAAAUGGUAGAGUCAAAAUAUUUUCAACAUCGAAACUCUUUUUAUGUCUUCAAAGUUUGUAGAAAUUUGCAAACAAAAUGUGUAAGACUAGUUGACUAGCCGGAAAAAUAUGGAAGGUUGGUUGGCUGAAGGCACUUUGAUGCUUAAGUUAAUUUUGUUUAUGUAGAAAAAUCUAAAAUCAAGUCGAGUUUUAGUAAAAUGUGUCCCCAUGUUUAUAAUAUAUUGGAGUUUCUGAAUUAAGAAAAGGAGUCAAUAGAAUCAUUGUUCUUAACUUAAACUCUAUACGCCAAGCAAUUGAGAUAUUGAGUUUCACGCUUAUAGUUUUAAGCUUUAUCGGCGGCUUCAGAACAAGCAUUGACCUCAAUAACAUGAAAUGUGUGAAAAUACAUUAUUAACUUUGAGUUCGAUUUUAAUCAGCUUUUUAUAACUGAACCAAAGUGGGGCUAUAAUGUUGUGGCGAAAAUAAAAUAAUGCCAGAAAAUAAAAAACAAAUUACGUUGUAAAUCGAGGUAGGCCACUGCCGGAAGGGAAAUUGAACACGCCCAUCUCACUAGGAUUGGUCAAAAUUGAAGAAGCUUCAGUGUUCAUGCCUUUUUUCCUUGCAUCCCAAGUAGAACCUAUAUAUAUACAAUCCUGUCGAUCAUUGAGAUAUAUACAUAUACAUAUACACACCAAAUGGCAGAUUUGUUUAUUGAGCAGGCAAAGCAAUAUUCAGAGAGAAGGCCCAGUUAUCCACAGGAAUUGUUCCUAUUCAUUGCAUCAAAAACUCCAUCUCACGAUCUCGUUUGGGAUGUUGGCACUGGAAGUGGCCAGGCUGCAGCAUCUGUGAGUCUUUCUCCUUGAACUGCAAAAUUUUGAGCUAAUUUUGUGUUUUCUUCACAAAUUAUGAUCCGGGACUUAGGUUUUAAGCCCUAAUCUCAAUUACUCGAUAUGAUGGUAAAAAUCUCGAUUUCAUUGUAUAUUGUAGUAGAAAAAGAGACACUUCAAGUGGGUUCAGAAUUUAUUUAAAGAAUUAAGACUCAGUUAAAUUAUAUAUCGACCUAAUAUGAACCUCUGUAUUGUUUUUCAGUUAGCAAAGAUCUACAAGAAUGUGGUGGGCACAGACACAAGCCAAAAGCAACUUGAUUUUGCUGCCAAACUUCCAAAUGUGAGAUACCUUUGUACACCUCCCAAAAUGCCCAUUUCUGAGAUUGAACACACCAUUGCACUACAAUCCAGUGUUGAUUUAGUGACCAUUGCUCAAGCCAUGCACUGGUUUGAUCUUCCCACUUUCUACCAACAAGUGAAAUGGAUACUGAAGAAACCCA
rnacentral:lncRNA from 1 species